rnacentral:lncRNA from 1 species
UUUUUUUUUGUUUCUUGUUGCUACAUUCACUGGUAGAAAAAGGGCCUAUAAUCCCGGUUCGUAAGGGCCUUUAGUCCCGGUUCCUGAACCGGGACUAAAGUGUCGGUACUAAUACCUCCCCCCUUUAGUCCCGGUUCAAUCUAGAACUGGGACUAAAGCCCCUCCACGUGGGCAGUGCGCAGAGCCCAGUCAGUAGACCCUUUGGUCCCGGUUGGUGGCACCAACCGGGACCAAUAGGCAUCCACGCGUCAGCUUUUUUGUGGCUAGGGUUUUUGUUUUNNNNNNNNNNNNNNNNNNNNNNNNNNNNNNNNNNNNNNNNNNNNNNNNNNNNNNNNNNNNNNNNNNNNNNNNNNNNNNNNNNNNNNNNNNNNNNNNNNNNNNNNNNNNNNNNNNNNNNNNNNNNNNNNNNNNNNNNNNNNNNNNNNNNNNNNNNNNNNNNNNNNNNNNNNNNNNNNNNNNNNNNNNNNNNNNNNNNNNNNNNNNNNNNNNNNNNNNNNNNNNNNNNNNNNNNNNNNNNUUUGGGGGGUUAAUUUAGGUGUUUCAUAUAUUGUGUUAGCUAGCUAUAAUUAAUAUAGAGAAGUGUCAUCUCUUAUGUCCGUGCUUGGUCGACGCUACGUACUAUACAUACGUAUAGAGAGGACUAGACACGCUGGCUAGCUAGUAAAGCAAACGAAGGAAACAGAAGAUCGUCAUGAACAUAUAUGCAUACAGAGAGAAGUGAUAUCGACCACCUCUCCUUCUCUGAGAGAUUGGUCGAACAACAAGUUCUCGUAUAUCUAUCUGACAGUACCGGCUACAUAUAUACAAUAAUUAUCUCUUACAAAUAUAAUCAUACGGACUCAGGGUUCACAUAGAAUUCUCCGUCUUCAGGGAUCACGUGGUCAAGAAAGAAUGCCGCCAAUUCCUCUUGAAUUGCUCGCAUGCGAGCUGGUGCUAGGAGUUCAUCCCGCUUCCGAAACAUCUAAUUUGAAGAAGGGGGUCAAUACAUAUAUAUAUAUAUAUGAAUGAAUGAAACUCAACACAAAUGAUGGUAAUAAAAUAAAAUUGUGAAUAUUGUUAUUUACGUACUUCAUAUUGUUUGUUAGAGUACCCGCCCCGCUCACACGUCGUGUGGCGGAUGGACUCGCAGAUGUAGUAUCCACAGAAAUCAUUCCCUUGUUCCUGCCACAACCACUUUACAAGAAAUAGAGGUCAAUCAAACUGAUAAGCAAGAAUGCUAAAUGGUAUUGAUGAAACUAGCGCUUGAAUCACUAGGAGAUGCGCGGAACAUGCUACUAUAGUACUUACUUUCGGGUGUCUAAAUUCCAGCUCCUUCGGCAGUCCCGGAACUUUUUUGGUGAAUUUUCUCCAAACCCUGCCGGACAAAGAAAACAAUUACUUGAUAUCAGGAAAUGAACAAAGUUGCUGAUAUGGUGGAUAAUGAUCGAUUUAACUUACUUCUUGAGGAUUUCAGUCAUGUCUGCAUAGUCCUGGGGAUCUUUUCGUUUUGAGUCUAAGACGGUUACUAGUCCCUGCUCAAGCUUAAUCUCUAGGAGAAUAUAGUGGAAACUGCACACGCAUGCAUAACUCAUGAAUUGCAUUACUAUAACCUUGAGUAAUAUAUAAGGGAAAUCGAAUACGCACAAGACAGUAACACUCACUUGAAGUUGUAAGGAAAGAGUAUUAUAUCUUUGUUUUGAUUUAUUACGAACGAUUGUAGCAAGUUGGCCUCGGUAGCUGCGGCAUGAAGUUUAACCUGAAUUGCAUCUAUGAGAUAUGUGUUAAUGAACCCAAUAUCAACGACUUGUCUUUUCUUCAAUUCGACGAUCUUCAAUCUGCAUAAUAUAGUGAGGAUGAUUAUAAAUACAUGCAAUGAAAGAGCUAAGCUAUAUAGAGAAACUUAAUGACAGAAGUAGUACUACUUACAGACAGUAGCAGGCGACCGUUGUUUUAUCGAGGGCCAAUUGAUUGAAAAACUGAUAGAACUCCUCAAAUGGAAUAGGCAACAGAUCAAUUCCAACGAGGUCAUGCUCCUUUUUAACUUUCACAUACAAAGUACUACUCCCCCCAGAGUCUCUGCAGAUUUUCAAGUACCAAUCAUGCAAUCUUCGCAUCAUCAUUGAUAGAGAUCUUUCAUCUUUGACGAGAGGCUUCCCGUACUCGUAUCUUUGCAUCUGCAUCUGCAUGGGUUCAUAAUGUACUUCGUCGGGCAGGUAAUCAGCAAGAUUGCUAUAACCGGGCACCAUCCUCGGAUCAUUAGCGACGUUGUGGCUAGGCACCUUGAGCGGGGGGCAUGAUUGCUUCGCUUGUUUGCCGAGCUGGGCAAUUUGUUUCCCAGCUCGUCGUUUUUUCUGCCUUUCAUCACUGACAGUACUUCCCGGCCGCUCCGCUUCAGCAAAUUCCUUUCCAAUAAUGCGCUCAUAGUUUCCUUUCGGCGGAUCAAACUUUGGUGGUUUUGUCAGGGCAGCCAGAGUGCGCUUCACUUUCACCCCAUCUACCUUCUCCUCCGGAGGUGGAUGUUUCUUUGCUUUCACCCCUUCAAAGAAUUUCCUCACUUCUUCUCGCGCGAUCUCGGCGUUCUCCUCCUGGGUCCUCUCGUAUGGUAACUUCUCUGGAGUCUUUAGAGAAGGACCGAAUCUGUAUGUCCUCCCGCCUCUGGUUGUACUGCUAGACGCCGACCGAGCAGACGAAGCGGUUGUCUUUUUUACUUGCUUAAGAGGCGGAGGAGAAGGACUACGACCCGCCGGAGCAGCUAGAGCGGCGGCAGGUCUCUUUUUCCCUUGCUGACGAGGCGGAGAAGGAGGAGGUUGGCUGCUCGGGCGCGUCGGCGCAGGCGGAGACGGAGGCGGAGUGCCGCCACGCGCCGGAGAAGGAGCCGGCCGAGGGCCCUGAUCGUCACUCGCCGGAGGAGGAGGCGGUGGAGGAGGCGGAGUGCCCUGACUCGCCGGAGGAGGAGGAGGAGGCGGAGGCGUCCAGUUCGGAAGGUUGAUGAGGUCCUUCCGCCAUAGGCAUGGAGUCUUCAGAGCAGACCCCAGCCGAGUCUCCCCUUCACCGGUAGGGUGGUCAAGCUGGAGGUCCUCAAAUCCCUCCGUUAUCUCAUCCACCAUCACCCUAGCAUAUCCUUCUGGAAUCGGCAUGCAGUGAAAAGUUGCGCCGGGUUCAGUAGGAUAAACAGAGCCAACAGCCGCCUUGACCUUCAAAUUCAUCCAUUGCGUCAUAAGGUGGCAAUUUUGAGACUCCGUUAUAGCAUCCACAGGAUAGCUGGCAGGAGCCGUCAAGGCAUGCUGCAGCUGAAGCAGCUCGGUGGAAGCCACGCUGCUUCUGCGCUGAGAUGGCGGGGUAGCUUCGGGGAUGGCUUCGGCAGUAUGUUUGCUGCGAUUUGCUUCUCGUUCCUCUAUCGCUUGUACCCUUGCAUGCAGUGCCUGCAGUUCAGUCUGCUGCACUUUUUUCCUCCUCUCAUGGGAUUUGUAACCGCCUGCGUCCGGAAACCCAACCUUCCACAGAACGGAGCCUGGCGUGCCUCGUGUCCAUCCAGGGUGCUCAGGAUUCCCGAGGGCCAUUGUGAGCUCGUCGUGCUCUCUGUCUGGAAAGAACAUCCCUUCCUGCGCUGCGUCGAUAUAGUGCUUAAGCUUACUGACUGGUAUGUCCAUUUGUUCGUUCGUCCAAAUGCAUUUCCCUGUUUCGAGGUCCAAGGUUCCGCCAGCCCCGAAGAACCAAGUCCGGCAACGGUCUGGCCAGUUAUUUGUCUCUGGUUCGAUCCCUUUAUGAACCAGAUCAUUCUCAACCUUGGACCACUUAGGCCGGGCUACGAGGUAGCCACCUGACCCCGUGCGAUGGUGAAGCUUCUUCUUCGCGGCAUUUUGCUUGUUUGUCGCCGACAUCUUCUUACUCUUUUCCGAUGUCUUGUAGGCCACAAAUGCGGGCCAGUGAUCUCUGAUCUUCUCAUAUUUGCCCUUGAAUUCUGGUGUCUCUUUUUUAUCGACAAACCUAUUCAGCUCUUUCUUCCACCUCCUGAAUAGAUCUGCCAUCCUCUUCAGAGCAAAAGACUUGAUUAAUUUCUCUUUAAUUGGGUUCUCUGGAUUAUCCUCUGGCGGUAGGGUGAAAUUUGACUUCAGCUCAGUCCAAAGAUCAUUUUUCUGCAUAUCAUUGACAUAAGACACCUCAGGGUCUUCUGUAGCCGGCUUAAACCAUUGAUGGAUGCUUAUUGGGAUCUUGUCCCUAACCAGAACCCCGCACUGAGCAACAAAUGCACUCUUUGUCCGAAGGGGUUCAAUAGGUUGGCCGUCGGGCGCGAUUGCUGUGAUCUCAAGCUUUUCAUCCGAGCUCAACUUUUUCUUCGGGCCUCGUCUCUUUACCAAAGUUGUGCUCGAUCCGGAGGGCUAGAAAAAAGAACAAAGACUUAAUUAAUAUGUGUACAUACCAAAACAAUGAAUGCAUCAAUCAGCUAGUCAGCAUAGGCUUAACUAAUAUAUAUACCUGGCCGGACUCGGUUCGGUCACCGGAGCCGUCAUCACGGUCUCCUUCUUGCACCGGCAUUGGGUCACCGGCGCCGUCCUCAUGUUCUUCUUCUUGCACCGGAAUUAGGUCACCGUAGCCAGCUUGUUCACCCUCUCCUUCCAGACCAUCGAUAUCGUUGAGAUAGUACGAGACGGCAUCACUUCCUUGUGCGAUUAUCUCCCUCAACAAUGCUUCUUUUGUUGCUUCGUCUAGGGCGGUGUCCAUAGUUUCUACAAAUAUUUACAACAUGGCAAUUAUUAUUCAAACAUGAUAGAUGGAUAUAUUAGUGCCAAACGUAGAACUAGCUACCUAAUCAUAGUAAGCUAUCGGGAGGGGGUAUAUAUCGACAAUGACGACACUACAUCUAUAUAUGUCCCUCGACGACCCUCGUUCCCGAUAAAAAAAGAGGAAGAAGAAGAAAAAAAAGAGGAGAAGAAAGAAUAGAGGAGAAGAACUCCUCUAUUCUUUCUUCUCCUCUUUUUUCUUCUUCUUCCUCUUCUUUUUUUAUCCUCUUCUUCCUCUCAUGUUCGAGAGGAUCGCCUUGGGGUCGGGAGGUUGCCUAGUGUCAAAGGAUUCAACAAAACCAUGUCUUCAUCAUUAGGCAAAAGUAACAUGUGCAUGAUGGUAGGAAGCUCUUCAAAGUUGUUCUGGAACGGAGUCCCAGAUAGGAUAAUUCGCUUUUUGGUACAAAGUUCAGCAAGAGCCUUCCGAAUAUCGCUAUUUGGAAGGCCUUUGCUGAAUUCGUACCAAAAGGCGGAUUAUUCUAUCUGGGACUCCAUUCCAGAACAACUUUGCAGAACUUCGUACCAACAUGCCCUAGUUACUUCCGGCUAAUGAUGAAGGCAUGAAUUUCUUCAAUACUUUGACACUAGGAAACCUCUCUCGACCCCUCGGCGAUUCUUGACCCCUCGAACCCUCAACGACCCUGAAACCCUCGACCCUUGACCCCUUAACGACCCUCGACCCUCUACCCUAGUUCCCGACCCUCGACCAAUAGAGGAGAAGAAGAAAGGAAUAGCUAGAGGAGAAGAUCGAAGAAAAAAAGAAGGAAUAGUGGAGAAGAAGAGAAAAUAGAAUCUCCUCUUCUUUUUCUUCUGUUUUCUUCUUCUUAUUUAUUUCUCCUCUUCUUUUCGGUAGAGGAAACCCUAAAUAGCUAGCAAGUAUCGUGGGUGUGAGAUACAUGUGGCCUUCGGUGUCGGACACUACAUCCACGUCCCACAAGUGACGUGGGCGUCGAAACCCGCGCCACUUGUGGGAUGUGGAUGUAGUGUCCGACACCAACGGUACAUGUAUCUCACACCGACGAUACUUUCUAUUUAGGGUUUCUCGACCCUCGACCCUCGACCCCUAGGCGACCGUCGAUCCCUCUCUUUUUUUUCUUCCUCUUCUUUUUUAUCCUCUUCUUCCUCUACCGCUCGGCGACCCUCGACGACCCUCGUUCCCGAUAAAAAAAAGAGGAAGAAGAAGAAAAAAAAGAGGAGAAGAAAGAAUACAGGAGAUCUUCUCCUCUAUUCUUUCUUCUCCUCUUUUUUCUUUUCUUAUUCCUCUUCUUUUUUUAUCCUCUUCCUCCUCUCAUGUUCGACGACCCUCGACCCCUCGGCGACCNNNNNNNNNNNNNNNNNNNNNNNNNNNNNNNNNNNNNNNNNNNNNNNNNNNNNNNNNNNNNNNNNNNNNNNNNNNNNNNNNNNNNNNNNNNNNNNNNNNNNNNNNNNNNNNNNNNNNNNNNNNNNNNNNNNNNNNNNNNNNNNNNNNNNNNNNNNNNNNNNNNNNNNNNNNNNNNNNNNNNNNNNNNNNNNNNNNNNNNNNNNNNNNNNNNNNNNNNNNNNNNNNNNNNNNNNNNNNNNNNNNNNNNNNNNNNNNNNNNNNNNNNNNNNNNNNNNNNNNNNNNNNNNNNNNNNNNNNNNNNNNNNNNNNNNNNNNNNNNNNNNNNNNNNNNNNNNNNNNNNNNNNNNNNNNNNNNNNNNNNNNNNNNNNNNNNNNNNNNNNNNNNNNNNNNNNNNNNNNNNNNNNNNNNNNNNNNNNNNNNNNNNNNNNNNNNNNNNNNNNNNNNNNNNNNNNNNNNNNNNNNNNNNNNNNNNNNNNNNNNNNNNNNNNNNNNNNNNNNNNNNNNNNNNNNNNNNNNNNNNNNNNNNNNNNNNNNNNNNNNNNNNNNNNNNNNNNNNNNNNNNNNNNNNNNNNNNNNNNNNNNNNNNNNNNNNNNNNNNNNNNNNNNNNNNNNNNNNNNNNNNNNNNNNNNNNNNNNNNNNNNNNNNNNNNNNNNNNNNNNNNNNNNNNNNNNNNNNNNNNNNNNNNNNNNNNNNNNNNNNNNNNNNNNNNNNNNNNNNNNNNNNNNNNNNNNNNNNNNNNNNNNNNNNNNNNNNNNNNNNNNNNNNNNNNNNNNNNNNNNNNNNNNNNNNNNNNNNNNNNNNNNNNNNNNNNNNNNNNNNNNNNNNNNNNNNNNNNNNNNNNNNNNNNNNNNNNNNNNNNNNNNNNNNNNNNNNNNNNNNNNNNNNNNNNNNNNNNNNNNNNNNNNNNNNNNNNNNNNNNNNNNNNNNNNNNNNNNNNNNNNNNNNNNNNNNNNNNNNNNNNNNNNNNNNNNNNNNNNNNNNNNNNNNNNNNNNNNNNNNNNNNNNNNNNNNNNNNNNNNNNNNNNNNNNNNNNNNNNNNNNNNNNNNNNNNNNNNNNNNNNNNNNNNNNNNNNNNNNNNNNNNNNNNNNNNNNNNNNNNNNNNNNNNNNNNNNNNNNNNNNNNNNNNNNNNNNNNNNNNNNNNNNNNNNNNNNNNNNNNNNNNNNNNNNNNNNNNNNNNNNNNNNNNNNNNNNNNNNNNNNNNNNNNNNNNNNNNNNNNNNNNNNNNNNNNNNNNNNNNNNNNNNNNNNNNNNNNNNNNNNNNNNNNNNNNNNNNNNNNNNNNNNNNNNNNNNNNNNNNNNNNNNNNNNNNNNNNNNNNNNNNNNNNNNNNNNNNNNNNNNNNNNNNNNNNNNNNNNNNNNNNNNNNNNNNNNNNNNNNNNNNNNNNNNNNNNNNNNNNNNNNNNNNNNNNNNNNNNNNNNNNNNNNNNNNNNNNNNNNNNNNNNNNNNNNNNNNNNNNNNNNNNNNNNNNNNNNNNNNNNNNNNNNNNNNNNNNNNNNNNNNNNNNNNNNNNNNNNNNNNNNNNNNNNNNNNNNNNNNNNNNNNNNNNNNNNNNNNNNNNNNNNNNNNNNNNNNNNNNNNNNNNNNNNNNNNNNNNNNNNNNNNNNNNNNNNNNNNNNNNNNNNNNNNNNNNNNNNNNNNNNNNNNNNNNNNNNNNNNNNNNNNNNNNNNNNNNNNNNNNNNNNNNNNNNNNNNNNNNNNNNNNNNNNNNNNNNNNNNNNNNNNNNNNNNNNNNNNNNNNNNNNNNNNNNNNNNNNNNNCGGCGAGCACGGGCAGGGGCGCGGGGCGUCAUCGGGGAUGGGAACUGGCGAUGAAAUCUGAAAAAACGUCAAGUCUUUGCUUAUAUGGAAAAGGCAUUGGUCACGGUUCGUGGCACCAACCGUGACCAGUGCCCCCUUUUAGUCCCGGUUGGUGCCACCAACCGGGACCAAAGGCCAAUUUUCGGCAGCCCAAAGGGCGGGAAGCGGCGGCCUUUGGUCCCGGUUGGUGGCAGCAACCGGGACUAAAGGGGGGCAUUGGUCAUGGUUGGUGCCACGAACCUUGACCAAUGCCCCCUUUAGCCCCGGUUAGUGCCACCAACCGGGACCAAUGCCCUUGUGCUGUCGGCGCCCAAAAGUUUAGUCCCACAUCGCUAGUUGAGAGGGCUCGGGAGUGGUUUAUAAGCGCUGCUGCGCCCACCCUCCUGAGCUCCUCUCAACUGCAGGCUUUCAGGCCUAACCUGUCAUUGCAAUGCCUGUGGGCCUACUGGGCCUGUUGCGUGCCUGAAUCCUCGCCCAUGUAGGGUUUCUAGUCGUAUUCAGGCCGUGGAGGCCCAGUAGGUGGCAUUUUUUUCUUUUUUAUUUCUACAUUUUUUUGGUUUUUUAUUUUUUGCUUUUAGGUCACAAAAAUUAUAAACUUUCUAUUAGUGCCAUUAGUUUUAAAUUUUAAAUAGUUUAUUUGUGUGAAUCACUAGUUUAUGAAUAACUUUACUAUAAAAUUAGAAUUGUUUUUCUGUUUAUUUUUUAUUUCUACUUAAAACUAAAUACUUACAGUUUUUUAGUGAUUUCUUUUUGCUUUUAGGUCACAAAAAUUAUAAACUUUCUGUUAGUGCCAUUAGUUUUAAAUUUUAAAUAGUUUAAAUUUGAAUUUUUAAAAAUUUGAAGAAUAUUAUAGUUUUAUUUUAGUUUAAUUACUUACAGUUUUUUAGUGAUACUUAUAGUUUUAUUUUACUUAUAAUUUAAUUUUUUUUGUUUUCUUCUUUUGUUUUAUUUUUUGCUUUUUAUUUUUUUAUUUGUACUCUAUGUAUGUGAAUCACUAGUUUAUGAAUAACUUUACUAUGAAGUUAGAUUUUUGAGUGAUUCUUUUUCCUGCUACUUAAUAUUACAGUGUUUUAUCAUUAUACUCUAUUUGGUAAUUUUAGGUUAUUUUUAAUAUCUGUUUUAAUCAAAAACAAAUUUUGUUAUUUUUUUGCUAUUAAAUUCUUUUUGCUAUUAAUGUGUUGAACAAAAAAUACUUUCUGAAUUUAAGUUGCAUAAAUUUUAUAUAAGUUUAGUUUCAAAAAUACUAGAGGUUUAUAAAAACUUUUUAAUUGAUUCCUUUUGCUUUUUUGAGCUAUAAGAUCCUGAAAUUGAAAAGCAUUUCAAAUGAACUCCGAAAAGGUUGAAAGUUGGCAUGGUAUCAUNNNNNNNNNNNNNNNNNNNNNNNNNNNNNNNNNNNNNNNNNNNNNNNNNNNNNNNNNNNNNNNNNNNNNNNNNNNNNNNNNNNNNNNNNNNNNNNNNNNNNNNNNNNNNNNNNNNNNNNNNNNNNNNNNNNNNNNNNNNNNNNNNNNNNNNNNNNNNNNNNNNNNNNNNNNNNNNNNNNNNNNNNNNNNNNNNNNNNNNNNNNNNNNNNNNNNNNNNNNNNNNNNNNNNNNNNNNNNNNNNNNNNNNNNNNNNNNNNNNNNNNNNNNNNNNNNNNNNNNNNNNNNNNNNNNNNNNNNNNNNNNNNNNNNNNNNNNNNNNNNNNNNNNNNNNNNNNNNNNNNNNNNNNNNNNNNNNNNNNNNNNNNNNNNNNNNNNNNNNNNNNNNNNNNNNNNNNNNNNNNNNNNNNNNNNNNNNNNNNNNNNNNNNNNNNNNNNNNNNNNNNNNNNNNNNNNNNNNNNNNNNNNNNNNNNNNNNNNNNNNNNNNNNNNNNNNNNNNNNNNNNNNNNNNNNNNNNNNNNNNNNNNNNNNNNNNNNNNNNNNNNNNNNNNNNNNNNNNNNNNNNNNNNNNNNNNNNNNNNNNNNNUGAUUUUUUUGAGCUAUAAGACCCUGAAAUUGAAAAGCAUUUCAAAUGAACUCCGAAAAGGUUGAAAGUUGGCAUGGUAUCAUCAUUUCACCCACAUAGCAUGUGCAACAAAGUUGAGAUGGUUACGGCAAAAACUGGAUGCACUUCGUGUACAAAACGGACAAUCUCUUUCGAAGUAUCAGGGUUUCGGACGAAAGAUCAUCUGUUACAAAGGGAUUUCAUUUUCUUGAACUUAUUUGAACUCCAUAUUUUUCUGUGUUCAAAAUGCACCAUUCAAAGACACAUCAUCAAUUUUCAACCCUUUCUGACUUCAUUUGUUAUUUUUCAUGCAUUUAUUGAUUUUUUUGAGCUAUAAGACCCUGAAAUUGAAAAGCAUUUCAAUUGAACUCCGAAAAGGUUGAAAGUUGGCACGGUAUCAUCAUUUCACCCACAUAGCAUGUGCAACAAAGUUGAGAUGGUUACGGAAAAAACUGGAUGCACUUCGUGUACAAAACGAACAAUCUCUUUCGAAGUAUCAGAGUUUCGGACGAAAGAUCAUCUGUUACAAAGUUGGCAUGGUAUCAUCAUAAUAGUUGCGGGAGAAAGUCUUCACUUUUUCUUCGCUUGUGUCAUUUGCUUAUUGCGCCGUAACCAUGGAUAAUCUUAAUUGUUUAUCAGGAUGCUUGGGUCAGCCUUGACAUUGAAGGGAGGAAUUUCAUGAAACUUUUCAUAAUCUUCAGACAUGUCUGUCUUGCCGUCCACUCCCAGGAUGUCCCUUUUUCCUGAAAGAACUAUGUGGCGCUUUGGCUCAUCGUAUGAUGUAUUCGCUUCCUUAUCUUUUCUUUUUCUCGGUUUGGUAGACAUGUCCUUCACAUAGAUAACCUGUGCCACAUCAUUGGCUAGGACGAACGGUUUGUCAGUGUACCCAAGAUUUUUCAGAUCCACUAUUGUCAUUCCGUACUGUGGGUCUACCUGUACGCCGCUGCCAAACAGAAUGACCCAUUUGCACUUAAACAAAGGGACCUUAAAAUCAGGUCCGUAGUCAAGUUCCCAUAUGUCCAUUAUGUAACCAUAAUAUGUGUCCUUUCCGCUCUCGGUUGCUGCAUCAAAGCAGACACCGCUGUUUUGGUUGGUGCUCUUUUGAUCUUGGGCGAUCGUGUAAAAUGUAUUCCCAUUUAUCUCGUAUCCUUUGUAAGUCAAUACAGUCAAAGAUGGUCCCCUGGACAACAAGUACAACUCAUCACAAACAGUGUUGUCACCUCUGAGACGUGUUUCCAACCAACUGCUGAAAGUCCUGAUGUGUUCAUCGACAUACGGGGUCACCAAGGUAGAGUUCUGUAGAACUGUGUAGUGUGCUUGAGACCAAGAAUAUCCGUCCCUGCAUAUUAUUGAGUCUCUUCCAAGAGUGCCUUUUCCAGUCAGUCUCCCCUCAUACCGCGAUUUAGGGAGACCUAUCUUGUUAAGGCCAGGAAUGAAGUCAACACAAAACCCGAUAACAUCCUCUGUUUGAUGGCCCAUGGAGAUGCUUCCUUCUGGCCUAGCGCGGUUACGGACAUAUUUCUUUAGGACUCCCAUGAACCUCUCAAAGGGGAACAUAUUGUGUAGAAAUAUGGGCCCCAGGAUGACAAUCUCGUCGACUAGAUGAACUAGGACGUGCGUCAUGAUAUUGAAGAAGGAUGGUGGGAACACCAGCUCGAAACUGACAAGACAUUGCGCCACAUCACUCCUUAGCCUUGGUACGAUUUCUGGAUCGAUCACCUUCUGAGAGAUUGCAUUGAGGAAUGCACAUAGCUUCACAAUGGCUAAUCGGACGUUUUCCGGUAAAAGCCCCCUCAAUGCAACCGGAAGCAGUUGCGUCAUAAUCACGUGGCAGUCAUGAGACUUUAGGUUCUGAAACUUUUUCUCUGGCAUAUUUAUUAUUCCCUUUAUAUUCGACGAGAAGCCAGUCGUGACCUUCAUACUAAGCAGGCAUUCAAAGAAGAUUUCUUUCUCUUCUUUCGUAAGAGCGUAGCUGGCAGGACCUUUAUACUGCUUCGGAGGCAUGUCGUCUUUUUCAUGCAAACGUUGCAGGUCCUCCCGUGCCUCCGGCGUAUCUUUUGUCUUCCCAUACACGCCCUAGAAGCCUAGCAGGUUCACGCAAAGGUUCUUCGUCACGUGCAUCACGUCGAUUGAGGAGCGGACCUCUAGGUCUUUCCAGUAGGGUAGGUCCCAAAAUAUAGAUUUCUUCUUCCACAUGGGUGCGUGUCCCUCAGCGUCAUUCGGAACAGCUAGUCCACCGGGACCCUUUCCAAAGAUGACGUAGGGUAAAUCAUUGACCAUAGCAAGCACGUGAUCACCGGUGCGCAUGGCGGGCUUCUUCCGGUGAUCUGCCUCGCCUUUGAAAUGCUUGCCUUUCUUUCGACAUUGAUGGUUGGUCGGAAGAAAUCGACGAUGGCCCAGGUACACAUUCUUCCUGCAUUUGUCCAGGUAUAUACUUUCAGUGUCAUCUAAACAGUGCGUGCAUGCAUGGUAUCCUUUGUUUGUCUGUCCUGAAAGGUUACUGAGAGCGGGCCAGUCGUUGAUGGUCACGAACAACAAUGCCUUAAGGUUAAAUUCCUCCUGUCUGUGCUCAUCCCACGUACGUACACCGUUUCCAUUCCACAGCUAUAAAAGUUCUUCAACUAAUGGCCUUAGGUACACAUCAAUUUCUUUGCCGGGUUGCUUAGGGCCUUGGAUGAGAACUGGCAUCAUAAUGAACUUCCGCUUCAUGCACAUCCAAGGAGGAAGGUUAUACAUACAUAGAGUCACGGGCCAGGUGCUGUGAUUACUGCUCUGCUCCCCGAAAGGAUUAAUGCCAUCCGCGCUUAAAGCAAACCAUACAUUCCUUGGGUCCUUUGCAAACUCAUCCCAGUACUUUCUCUCGAUUUUUCUCCACUGCGACCCGUCAGCGGGUGCUCUCAACUUCCCAUCUUUCUUUCGGUUCUCACUGUGCCAUCGCAUCAACUUGGCAUGCUCUUCGUUUCUGAACAGACGUUUCAACCGUGGUAUUAUAGGAGCAUACCACAUCACCUUUGCAGGAACCCUCUUCCUGAGGGGCUCGCCGUCAACAUCACCGGGGUCAUCUCGUCUGAUCUUAUACCGCAAUGCACCGCAUACCGGGCAUGCGUUCAGUGAAGGAAAUAUGCCCUAGAGGCAAUAAUAAAGUUGUUAUUUAUUUCCUUAUAUCAUGAUAAAUGUUUAUUAUUCAUGCUAGAAUUGUAUUAACCGGAAACAUAAUACAUGUGUGAAUACAUAGACAAACAGAGUGUCACUAGUAUGCCUCUACUUGACUAGCUCGUUAAUCGAAGAUGGUUAUGUUUCCUAACCAUGAACAAAGAGUUGUUAUUUGAUUAACGGGAUCACAUCAUUAGUUGAAUGAUCUGAUUGACAUGACCCAUUCCAUUAGCUUAGCACCCGAUCGUUUAGUAUGUUGCUAUUGCUUUCUUCAUGACUUAUACAUGUUCCUAUGACUAUGAGAUUAUGCAGCUCCCGUUUACCGGAGGAACACUUUGGGUGCUACCAAACGUCACAACGUAACUGGGUGAUUAUAAAGGAGUACUACAGGUGUCUCCAAAGGUAGAUGUUGGGUUGGCAUAUUUCGAGAUUAGGAUUUGUCACUCCGAUUGUCGGAGAGGUAUCUAUGGGCCCUCUCGGUAAUGCACAUCACAUAAGCCUUGCAAGCAUUGCAACUAAGAAGUUAGUUGCGAGAUGAUGUAUUACGGAACGAGUAAAGAGACUUGCUGGUAACGAGAUUGAACUAGGUAUUGGAUACCGACGAUCGAAUCUCGGGAAAGUAACAUACCGAUGACAAAGGGAACAACGUAUGUUGUUAUGCGGUCUGACCGAUAAAGAUCUUCGUAAAAUAUGUAGGAGCCAAUAUGGGCAUCCAGGUCCUGCUAUUGGUUAUUGACCGGAGACGUGUCUCGGUCAUGUCUACAUUGUUCUCGAAUCGUAGGGUCCGCACGCUUAAGGUUUCGAUGACAGUUGUAUUAUGAGUUUAUGAGUUUUGAUGUACCGAAGGAGUUCGGAGUCCCGGAUGAGAUCGGGGACAUGACGAGGAGUCUCGAAAUGGUCGAGACGUAAAGAUCGAUAUAUUGGACGACUAUAUUCGGACAUCGGAAAGGUUCCGAGUGAUUCGGGUAUUUUUCGGAGUACCGGGUAGUUACGGGAGAGGUAAUGGGCCUUGAUGGGCUUUAGUGGGAAGAGGAAAAGGCUGCUGCGCCCCCCCUCCCCUUUGGUCCGAAUUGGACUAGGGAAAAGGGGGCCGGCCACCUUUCCUACUCCUCCUAUUCCUUCUCCCUUCCUCCCCUCUUGGUGGACUCCUACUAGGACUUGGAGUCCUAGUAGGACUCCCUAUCCUGGCCGCACCUUUGCCUUGGCCGGCCUCCUCCUCCUCCAUCCUUUAUAUACAGGGGCAGGGGGCACCCCAUAGACACACAAGUUGAUCCUUGAGAUCGUUCCUUAGCCGUGUGUGGUGCCCCCUGCCACCAAAUUCCACCUCGAUCAUACCAUUGUAGUGCUUAGGUGAAGCCCUGCGUCGGUAGUACAUCAAGAUCGUCACCACGCCGUCGUGCUGACGGAACUCCUCCCCGAAGCUUUGCUGGAUCCGAGCCCGGGGAUCGUCAUCGAGCUGAACGUGUGCUAAGAACUCGGAGGUGCCGGAGUAACGGUGCUUGGAUCGGUCGGAUCGGGAAGAAGACGUACGACUACUUCCUCUACGUUGUGUGAUCGCUUCCGCAGUCGGUCUGCGUUGGUACAUAGACAGCACUCUCCCCUCUCGUUGCUAUGCAUCACCAUGAUCUUGCGUGUGCGUAGGAAAUUUUUUGAAAUUACUACGUUCCCCAACAGUGGCAUCCGAGCCUAGGUUUUAUGGUUUGAUGUUAUUUGCACGAGUAGAACACAAGUGAGUUGUGGGCGAUACAAGUCAUACUGCCUACCAGCAUGUCAUACUUUGGUUCAGCGGUAUUGUUGGACGAGACGACCCGGACCAACCUUACGCGUACGCUCACGCGAGACCGGUUCCCUCGACGAGCUUUGCACAUAGAUGGCUUGCGGGCGACUGUCUCUCCAACUUUAGUUGAACCGAGUGUGGCUACGCCCGGUCCUUGAGAAGGUUAAAACGGAGUCUAUUUGACGAACUAUCGUUGUGGUUUUGAUGCGUAGGUGAGAUGAGUUCUUACUUAAGCCCGUAGCAGCCACGUAAAACUUGCAACAACAAAGUAGAGGACGUCUAACUUGUUUUUGCAGGGCAUGUUGUGAUGUGAUAUGGUCAAGGCAUGAUGCUGAUUUUAUUGUAUGAGAUGAUCAUGUUUUGUAACCAAGUUAUCGGCAACUGGCAGGAGCCAUAUGGUUGUCGCUUUAUUGUAUGCAAUGCAAUCGCGAUGUAAUGCUUUACUUUAUUACUAAGCGGUAGUGAUAGUCGUGGAAGCAUAAGAUUGGCGAGACGACAACGAUGCUACGAUGGAGAUCAAGGUGUCGCGCCGGUGACGAUGGUGAUCAUGACGGUGCUUCGGAGAUGGAGAUCACAAGCACAAGAUGAUGAUGGCCAUAUCAUAUCACUUAUAUUGAUUGCAUGUGAUGUUUAUCUUUUAUGCAUCUUAUCUUGCUUUGAUUGACGGUAGCAUUAUAAGAUGAUCUCUCACUAAAUUAUCAAGAAGUGUUCUCCCUGAGUAUGCACCGUUGCCAAAGUUCGUCGUGCCGAGACACCACGUGAUGAUCGGGUGUGAUAAGCUCUACGUCCAAAUACAACGGGUGCAAAACAGUUGCACACGCAGAAUACUCAGGUUAUACUUGACGAGCCAAGCAUAUACAGAUAUGGCCUCGGAACACGGAGACCGAAAGGUCGAGCGUGAAUCAUAUAGUAGAUAUGAUCAACAUAACGAUGUUCACCAUUGAAAACUACUCCAUCUCACGUGAUGAUCGGUUAUGGUUUAGUUGAUUUGGAUCACGUGAUCACUUAGAGGAUUAGAGGAAUGUCUAUCUAAGUGGGAGUUCUUAAGUAAUAUGAUUAAAUUGAACUUAAAUUUAUCAUGAACUUAGUCCUGGUAGUAUUUUGCAAAUCAUGUUGUAGAUCAAUAGCUCAAGUUGUUGCUUCCCUGUGUUUAUUUUGAUAUGUUCCUAGAGAAAAUUGUGUUGAAAGAUGUUAGUAGCAAUGAUGCGGAUUGGAUCCAUGAUCUGAGGAUUAUCCUCAUUGCUGCACAGAAGAAUUAUGUCCUUGAUGCACCGCUAGGUGACAGACCUAUUGCAGGAGUAGAUGCAGACGUUAUGAACGUUUGGCUAGCUCAAUAUGAUGACUACUUGAUAGUUUAGUGCACCAUACUUAACAUCUUAGAAUCGGGACUUCAAAGAUGUUUUGAACGUCAUGGACCAUAUGAGAUGUUCCAGGAGUUUGAAGCUAAUAUUUCAAGCAAAUACUCGAGUUGAGAGAUAUGAAGUCUCCAACAAGUUCUAUAGCUAAAAGAUGGAGGAGAAUCGCUCAACAAGUGAGCAUGUGCUCAGAUUGUCUGGGUACUACAAUUGCUUGAAUCAAGUGGGAGUUAAUCUUCCAGAUAAGAUAGUGAUUGACAGAAUUCUCUAGUCACCAUCACCAAGUUAGUAGAACUUCGUGAUGAACUAUAAUAUGCAAGGGAUAACGGAAACAACUCCCAAGCUCUUCGUGAUGCUGAAAUCAACGAAGGUAGAAAUCAAGAAAAACAUCAAGUGUUGAUGGUUGACAAGACCACUAGUUUCAAGAAAAGAGCAAAGGGAAGAAGGGGAACUUCAAGGAGAACGGCAAGCAAGUUGCUGCUCAAGUGAAGAAGCCCAAGUCUGGUCCUAAGCCUGAGACUAAGUGCUUCUACUGCAAAGGGACUGGUCACUGGAAGCAGAACCACCCCAAGUGAUUGGCGGAUAAGAAGGAUGGCAAAGUGAACAUAAGUAUAUUUGAUAUACAUGUUAUUGAUGUGUACUUUACUAGUGUUUAUAGCAAACCCUAAGUAUUUGAUACUAGUUCAGUUGCUAAGAUUAGUAACUCGAAACGGGAGUUGCAGAAUAAACAGAGACUAGUUAAGGGUGAAGUCACGAUGUGUGUUGGAAGUGGUUCCAAGAUUGAUAUGAUCAUCAUCGCACACUCCCUAUAAUUUCGGGAUUAGUGUUGAACCUAAAUAAGUGUUAUUUGGUGUUUGCGUUGAGCAUGAAUAUGAUUUGAUCAUGUUUAUUGCAAUACGGUUAUUCAUUAAAGUAAGAGAAUAAAUUGUUGUUCUGUUUACAUGAAUAAAACCUUAUAUGGUUACACACCCAAUGAAAAUAGUUCGUUGGAUCUCGAUCAUGGUGAUACAUAUAAUCAUAAUAUUGAAACCAAAAGAUGCAAAGUUAAUAAUGAUAGUGCAACUUAUUUGUGGCACUGCCGUUUAGGUCAUAUUGGUGUAAAGCGCAUGAAGAAACUCCAUACUGAUGGGAUUUUGGAAUCACUUGAUGCUUGCGAACCAUGCCUUAUGGGCAAGAUGACUAAAACACCGUUCUCCGGAACAAUGAAGCAAGCAACAGAUUUGUUGGAAAUCAUGCAUACUGAUGUAUGUGGCCCGAUGAAUAUUAAAGCUUGCAGCAAGUAUCAUUAUUUUCUGACCUUCACAGAUGAAUUGAGCAGAUAUGGGGAUAUCUACCUGAUGAAACAUAAGUCUGAAACAUUUGAACAGUUCAAAGAAUUUCAGAGUGAAGUGGAAAAUCAUCGUGACAAGAAAAUAAAAGUUUCUACGAUAUGAUCGCAGAGGUAAAAUAUUUGAGUUACGAGUUUGGCCUUCAGUUAAAACAAUGUGAAAUAGUUUCACUACUCACGCCACCUGGAACACCACAGCAUAAUGGUGUGUCCGAACGUCAUAACCGUACUUUAUUGGAUAUAGUGCAAUCUAUGAUGUUUAUUACCGAUUUACCACUAUCGUUUUUGGGGUCAUGCAUUAGAGACAGCUGCAUUCACGUUAAAAAGGGGCACCAUCUAUAUCCGUCGAGACGACGCCUUAUGAACUAUGGUUUGGCAAGAAACCAAAGUUGUCGUUUCUUAAAGUUUGGAGUUGCGAUGCUUAUGUGAAAAAGUUUCAUCUCGAUAAGCUCAAACUCAAAUCGGAGAAAUAUGUCUUCAUAGGAUACCCAAAGGAGACAGUUGGGUACACCUUCUAUCACAGAUCUGAAGGCAAGACAUUCGUUGCUAAGAAUGGAUCCUUUCUAGAGAAGGAGUUUCUCUCGAAAGAAGUGAGUGGGAGGAAAGUAGAACUUGAUGAGGUAACUGUACCUGCUCCCUUAUUGGAAAGUAGUUCAUCACAGAAAUCUGUUCCUGCGACUACUACAUCAAUUAGUGAGGAAGCUAAUGAUGAUGAUCAUGUAACUUCAGAUCAAGUUACUACCAAAUCUCAUAGGUAAACCAGAGUGAGAUCCGCACCAGAGUGGUACGGUAAUCCUGUUCUGGAAGUUAUGUUACUAGACCAUGACGAACUUGCAAACUAUGAGGAAGCGAUGAUGAGCCCAGAUUCCGCGAAAUGGUUUGAGGCCAUGAAAUCUGAGAUAUGAUCCAUGUAUGAGAACAAAGUUUGGACUUUGGUUGACUUGCCCGAUGAUCGGCAAGCAAUUGAGAAUAAAUGGAUCUUCAAGAGGAAGACAGACGCUGAUAGUAGUGUUACUAUAUACAAAGCUAGAAUUGUCGCAAAAGGUUUUCGACAAGUUCAAGGUGUUGACUACGAUGAGAGCUUCUCACUCGUAUCUAUGCUUGAGUCUGUCCGAAUCAUGUUAGCAAUUGCCGCAUUUUAUGAAAUCUGGCAAAUGGAUAAACAAAACUGCAUUCCUUAAUGGAUUUACAAAAGAAGAGUUGUAUACGAUGCAACCAGAAGGUUUUGUCAAUCCUAAAGGUGCUAACAAAAAUAUGCAAACUCUAGCGAUCCAUCUAUGGACUGGUGCAAGCAUCUCGGAGUCGGAAUAUAUGCUUUGAUAAGUUGAUCAAAGGAUAUAGUUUUAUACAGACUUGUGGUGAAGCCUGUAUUUACAAGAAAGUGAGUGGGAGCACUACAACAUUUCUGAUAAGUAUAUGUGAAUGACAUAUUGUUGAUCGGAAAUAAUGUAGAAUUAUUCUGCAAAGCAUAAAGGAGUGUUUGAAAGGAGUUUUUCAAAGAAAGACUUCGGUGAAGCUGCUUACAUAUUGAGCUUCAAGAUCUAUAGAGAUAGAUCAAGACGCUUGAUAAGUUUUUUCAAUGAGUACAUACCUUGACAAGAUUUUGAAGUAGUUCAAAAUGGAGCAGUCAAAGAAAGAGUUCUUGCCUGUAUUAUAAGGUGUGAAGUUGAGUAAGACUCAAAGCCCGACCACGGCAGAAGAUAGAAAGAGAAUGAAAGUCAUUCCCUAUGCCUUGGCCAUAGGUUCUACAAAGUAUGUCAUGUUGUAUACCAGAUCUAUUGUAUACCCUGCACUGAUUUGGCAAGGGAGUACAAUAGUGAUCUAGGAGUAGAUCACUGGACAACGGUCAGAAUUAUCCUUAGUGAAAUAAGGAUAUGUUUCUCGAUUAUGGACGUGACAAAAAGGUUCGUCGUAAAGGGUUACGUCGAUGCAAGUUUUUGACACUGAUCCAGAUGAUUCUAAGUCUCAAUCUGGAUACAUAUUGAAAGUGGGAGCAAUUAGCUAGAGUAGCUCCAUGUAGAGCAUUGUAGACAUAGAACUUGCAAAAUACUUACGGAUCUAAAUGUGACAGACCCGUUGGCUAAAAUUAUCUCACAAGCAAAACAUGAUCACACCUUAGUACUCUUUGGGUGUUAAUCACAUAGAUAUGUGAACUAGAUUACUGACCCUAGUAAACCCUUUGAGUGUUGGUCACAUGACGAUGUGAACUAUGGGUGUUAAUCACAUGGUGAUGUGAACUAUUGCUGUUAAAUCACAUGGCGAUGUGAACUAGAUUAUUGACUCUAGUGCAAGUGGGAGACUGAAGGAAAUAUGCCCUAGAGGCAAUAAUAAAGUUGUUAUUUAUUUCCUUAUAUCAUGAUAAAUGUUUAUUAUUCAUGCUAGAAUUGUAUUAACCGGAAACAUAAUACAUGUGUGAAUACAUAGACAAACAGAGUGUCACUAGUAUGCCUCUACUUGACUAGCUCGUUAAUCAAAGAUGGUUAUGUUUCCUAACCAUGAACAAAGAGUUGUUAUUUGAUUAACGGGAUCACAUCAUUAGUUGAAUGAUCUGAUUGACAUGACCCAUUCCAUUAGCUUAGCACCCGAUCGUUUAGUAUGUUGCUAUUGCUUUCUUCAUGACUUAUACAUGUUCCUAUGACUAUGAGAUUAUGCAGCUCCCGUUUACCGGAGGAACACUUUGGGUGCUACCAAACGUCACAAUGUAACUGGGUGAUUAUAAAGGAGUACUACAGGUGUCUCCAAAGGUAGAUGUUGGGUUGGCGUAUUUCGAGAUUAGGAUUUGUCACUCCGAUUGUCGGAGAGGUAUCUCUGGGCCCUCUCGGUAAUGCACAUCACAUAAGCCUUGCAAGCAUUGCAACUAAGAAGUUAGUUGCGAGAUGAUGUAUUACGGAACGAGUAAAGAGACUUGCCGGUAACGAGAUUGAACUAGGUAUUGGAUACCGACGAUCGAAUCUCGGGCAAGUAACAUACCGAUGACAAAGGGAACAACGUAUGUUGUUAUGCGGUCUGACCGAUAAAGAUCUUCGUAGAAUAUGUAGGAGCCAAUAUGGGCAUCCAGGUCCCGCUAUUGGUUAUUGACCGGAGACGUGUCUCGGUCAUGUCUACAUUGUUCUCGAACCGUAGGGUCCGCACGCUUAAGGUUUCGAUGACAGUUGUAUUAUGAGUUUAUGAGUUUUGAUGUACCGAAGGAGUUCGGAGUCCCGGAUGAGAUCGGGGACAUGACGAGGAGUCUCGAAAUGGUCGAGACGUAAAGAUCGAUAUAUUGGACGACUAUAUUCGGACAUCGGAAAGGUUCCGAGUGAUUCGGGUAUUUUUCGGAGUACCGGGUAGUUACGGGAGAGGUAAUGGGCCUUGAUGGGCUUUAGUGGGAAGAGGAAAAGGCUGCUGCGCCCCCCCUCCCCUUUGGUCCGAAUUGGACUAGGGAAAAGGGGGCCGGCCACCUUUCCUACUCCUCCUAUUCCUUCUCCCUUCCUCCCCUCUUGGUGGACUCCUACUAGGACUUGGAGUCCUAGUAGGACUCCCUAUCCUGGCCGCACCUUUGCCUUGGCCGGCCUCCUCCUCCUCCAUCCUUUAUAUACAGGGGCAAGAGGCACCCCAUAGACACACAAGUUGAUCCUUGAGAUUGUUCCUUAGCCGUGUGCGGUGCCCCCUGCCACCAAAUUCCACCUCGAUCAUAUCAUUGUAGUGCUUAGGCGAAGCCCUGCGUCGGUAGUACAUCAAGAUCGUCACCACGCCGUCGUGCUGACGGAACUCCUCCCCGAAGCUUUGCUGGAUCGGAGCCCGGGGAUCGUCAUCGAGCUGAACUUGUGCUAAGAACUCGGAGGUGCCGGAGUAACUGUGCUUGGAUCGGUCGGAUCAGGAAGAAGACGUACGACUACUUCCUCUACAUUGUGUGAUCGCUUCUGCAGUCGGUCUGCGUUGGUACGUAGACAGCACUCUCCCCUCUCGUUGCUAUGCAUCACCAUGAUCUUGCGUGUGCGUAGGAAAUUUUUUGAAAUUACUACGUUUCCCAACAUUCAGAUCCUUGUAUGCACCGCGGUAGAGGAUGCAGUCAUUAGGGCAUGCAUGUAUCUUCUCCACCUCCAAUCCUAGAGGGCAUACGACCUUCUUUGCUGCGUAUGUACUGUCGGGCAAUUCGUUAUCCUUUGGAAGCUUCUUCUUCAAUAUUUUCAGUAGCUUCUCAAAUCCUUUGUCAGCCACAACAUUCUCUGCCUUCCACUGCAGCAAUUCCAGUACGGUACCGAGCUUUGUGUUGCCAUCUUCGCAAUUGGGGUAUAACCCUUUUUGUGAUCCUUUAACAUGCGAUCGAAUUUCAGCUUCUCCUUUUGACUAAUGCAUUGCGUCCUUGCAUCGACAAUGACCCGGCGGAGAUCAUCAUCAUCGGGCACAUCGUCUGGUUCCUCUUGAUCUUCAGCAGCUUCACCCGUGGCAGCAUCAUUGGGCACAUCAUCGUCUGGUUCCUCUUGAUCUUCACCAGCUCCCCCCGUUGCAGCAUCACCGUAUUCAGGGGGCACAUAGUUGUCAUCGUACUCUUCUUCUUCGCCGUCUUCCAUCAUAACCCCUAUUUCCCCGUGCCCCGUCCAAACAUUAUAGUGUGGCAUGAAACCCUUGUAAAGCAGGUGGGAGUGAAGGAUUUUCCGGUUAGAGUAAGACCUCGUAUUCCCACAUUCAGUGCAUGGACAACACAUAAAACCAUUCUGCUUGUUUGCCUCAGCCGCAUCGAGAAACUCAUACACGCCCUUAAUGUACUCGCGGGUGUGUCUGUCACCGUACAUCCAUUGCCGGUUCAUCUGCGUGCAUUAUAUAUAAUUAAGUGUCCAAAUUAAUAGAAGUUCAUCAUCACAUUAAAACCAAAGUGCAUACAUAGUUCUCAUCUAACAACAUAUAGCUCUCUAGAGCAUCUAAUUAAUUAAACCAUACAUUGAAACUAUGUAAAACAUUUCAAUGCGAAAACAAAUGCGAUCAUAAUCGCAACCAAGGUAACAAUUGAUCCAACGGCAUAAUGAUACCAAGCCUCGGUAUGAAUGGCAUGUUUUCUAAUCUUUCUAAUCUUCAAGCGCAUUGCAUCCAUCUUGAUCUUGUGAUCAUCGACGACAUCCGCAACAUGCAACUCCAAUAUCAUCUUCUCCUCCUCAAUUUUUUUUAUUUUUUCCUUCAACAAAUUGUUUUCUUCUUCAACUAAAUUUAACCUCUCGACAAGGUCGGUUGGCAUUUCCGAUUCACAUACAUCCUAGAUAAAUAAAAUGUAUGUCACGUUGGUCGGCAUAAUUUUCAUAAACAAUAAAUGAACCAAUAGUUAUAAAGAUAAUAUACAUACCAAAUCCGAAUCAUAGACAGGACGAGGGCCGACGGGGGCGGAUACCAAAACCAUCGCACUAUAUAAGAUGCAAUAAUAAAUGUAAGAAAAUGAUACAAGUAUCUAUCUAAACAUACAAGUAAGAAUAUUUUUCCUUUCAGAAAGAAGAUAAGAAUAAGAGCCUCACCACGGUGGUGUCGGUGAUGAGAUCGGCGCGGGUGAUCGACGGCGGUGAAGACAGGGACGGGGCUUGACGGACCGCUAAAUCUAGACAAAUCUCGAGGGAAAUGGAGCUUGGAGGUCGAGCUUCGAGAGGAGAAAGCUUAAGUAGUGUGGCUCGGGCAUUCCAUCGAACACCUCAUGUGCAUAGGAGGUGAGCUAGAGCACCACAAAGACCUCUCUCCCUCGGCCAGAAAAAACAGAGCACUGUGCUCUGCUCUUGCGCGAGGGGGUAUAUAUAGGCAAUUCAUUGGUCCCGGUUCGUGGCAUGAACCGGGACUAAAGGGGAGCCUUUGGUCCCGGUUCAAGCCACCAACCGGGACCAAUGGUGGUGGGCCAGGAGGGAGGCCCUUUGGCCCCGGUUCGUCCCACCAACCGAUACCAAAAGGUCCAGACGAACCGGGACCAAUGGCCCACGUGGCCCGACCAGCCCCCUGGGCUCACGAACCGGGACCAAUGCCCACAUUGGUCCCGGUUCAAGACUGAACCGGGACUAAUGGGCUGAGGCGGCCUGGACCAUAGCCCCUUUUUCUACUAGUGAUUAUAUACUUGUGGGAGUUUAGAUGUGACAUUCUUAAAAAACAUCUAGAUGUGAAUUAGACAAACUGUUAAUUCUUUCAUUUCACUCCUAAUGCACUCUCUCACACCCAUGCAGCCAAUGAAAAAUCACGCAUGCGGUGUAUUAAUUCCCUGGCCAUGGCAUCAACAACAAUGGCUUUCAGUGCAACCAAUGAAGUGGUUGCAUGCGUGCACCUUUCCAAAGCGAGGCCUUAUAAAAGGGGACAUGCUUGUGAUGUUGUGAGGCCUAAUAAACCCGAACGGAGGGAGUAGCUGGCGACCUCGGGACGGCUCAGACUCGUACAGAAAAAUGAUUGGGUCGUGUCCAAUACCGCUGUUCCGCGUAGCGAAAUAAAUGCGCCAGCACACGCGCUGUGAUCGAAAACAAUACUAGUACCUGAAUACAAAUUGGAAUACAUUGCAGGGCGCUGACCCACAUGCGAAUGAAUGGGGGAGAUUCGGGAUCAUCUGAGCCUGGGCUCAUAAUUGGGUAGCCCACCGAGACUUGCCUUCUCUCUAUCUGAUUUCUUUCACCAAUACUAACAAACCUUGGAUAAAACUAUGAUGCAAAAGGGUUGGCCAAAAAAAGCAAGAAAUUCUACGUUCCUUCUUUUCACUAUAAUUUUUCUCAAGGAUUAUCUCUAUCGGCCGAAUCAAACUUGUCUUUUUCCAUAUUUUUUUUAUUUUUCUCUGUUUUAUUAUUGCCAGUAUGUCUCCUUUGAUUGUUUCCAAACUAAAAGAGUCUAAUAAUUUAAAGAGUAAUAUCUUAAAGCAACAAUCGGGCUUAAAGCAGCAAGCAGGCAGGGCCUUGCUUAUAUAUGCGCUUUUUGCAUAAAUGACUGCGAAAACCAAACAACGAUUACGUACGGAAAAAGUAGGUUAGUUAUAGAAAAAUAAAAAACAAACAUCGAGAACAAAUAAAAAUUGAAACGCGCGCACUCGCCAAUUUGGCCGGCCAACUUUGAUUAUAGUUGAUGUUUUGGUAAGAUCCCAUUUUGAUUUGGGUAUGAGUAGAGGAAGACAAGAAUAAUUUGGAUUUAGUUUAUAUUUUAUUAAGAUUUAAUUUGAAUAAGUUAAUGUAUGAUGUUUCUUUUGGAAAAGUGUCAGUUUAUUUAAUUUAGUUAUAAUGCACGCGUCAAAUGGGCUGGCCCAAAUUGGCUGCGCUUGAGUGAAACAUCAUCUGUCAGACGCUCGUAGUCGUAAUAUAGUGUUGGUGAAAGGUGAGGCGACGCUACCAACUCCCGUGGGGGAGGAGAGAUGCACGAACCUACUGCUCCUCUUUCAAGGUUUUUAUACCCCUCUUUAGAGGUGUUAUAUAUACAAGAAAAAAAAAUCAACUUCCUUUCCUUGCAUGAGAUUUCGAAAUAGCCCGUCUCCAAAGCCCGACCCGGCCCAGCAGCUGCGUCCACCACGGAACCCCCCGCUCCAAAGUCCAAACCCUGGCUCCGUCCGUCCUCCUCCCCGAUCCCCUUUCACCUCUCUCGUCUCGCUCCGGCCAACGCCGCCUCCAGCCCCGGCCUCGCCUCCACCCUCCCUCGUCGCCGACGCCCCCCGCAUUCUCCUCCGCCCCCCCAUGGAGCCGAUCCAACCCACGGCCACCCAAGCGAGCAAGAUCCGCGUCCAGCACGAGCCCGCUGACGGCGGAUAUGCGGCGAGCGGGGCUAUCGGCGCCCUCCCUAUCCACCUCAUUGAGAAGAUCCUCGGAUUCGCGUCCAGCACGAGCCCGCUGGAUUCGGUGCGCCUCGCCGUCGUCUGCAAGUCCUGGGCGGCGGCCGUCUCCGAGCGGCUAGCGAGACCCACCCCCCACCUGUUCGCGCUCAAGCUCGCCAACGUGCACAGCCAGUCCCCGUUACGGUUCAUGCUGCCGCCCGAGGAGGAGCGCCGCCACCGCGGGGCCAUCUACUCCCUGCCGGUGAACGAGGAGGGCUCGCCGUCGCUGGUGGCCCCUGCCCGCUUGCCCUCCGUGGUCCGCGACCCAAAAGGCAUGAACUUUAAGCUAUCCGGCGCCCUGCCCUGCGGCCUCCUCUCCUUCGCGGUCGGCAACCGCGUUGUCCUCGUCAACCCCAUCACCGGCGCGUUCCGGAGCGACGUGUAUGCGCCCUUCGGGACUGGAGCUAAGGUGAGGGCCGUCGCCAGCGCCAACGCGAUCUUCGAUCACGACUACGCCGAGAGGAGCGUCCCGCUCUGCUGGUGCACGGGGGAGUGGUCCGAGCGGAAGCUGCUCUCUGAAGAGUUCAAGAACAUUUAUCUGAUGGCCUACACAGACGGUGUCUUCUACGCGCUGGAAUUCCGGGGUUGCGCCUACACGGUGGACACACGCGUGCCACCACCAUGGCGCCUGAAGAAGCUCCGUGCGCCGAGCAUUCUCGAGCAGUACACCCCGAUCCGCGGGCGCUUCCUCUGCUACUCGCACCUGCUGGAGUCGGAAGGGGCAGUCCUGUUUGUUGGUCCGGUGCUCGCACCACGACAACCCACAUGCCGUGAUACCAUCGGUGGCUUCGAGGUGUACAGGCUGGAUGUCAAGGCGGCACGAUGGGUGAAAGUGGAGAGGCUUGCUGCUGACAGGGCGCUUUUCGUGAGUGAGCAAUCAUCGUGCCUCGGAGGUGCCGGGGUGCAUGAGCAACUGCAUCUACUUUGUGGGUGAGGUUGAUGACUACUCCUACGUCACCUGGGGCGUCUACUCCAUGGAGGAGCGGAAGGUGCUGUUUCAGCGCCCCGUCGGUGGUUCUUGGGGAAGGUAUGCUGCUGCACGCUGGUUCCUCCCUGCUGUUGUGAUACCAUUUGCAGAUGCACGUGCGCAUUGUAUACUCGGGAGAAAGGACAAAAACCUAAGUUCUUCAGGUACAUCUGACUAAAAAUAUUUUGAGAAUGCAGUAUAGCAGUUAAAUGCAUAUUUUGAGAAUGCAGUAUAGCAGUUAAAUGCUAACACAGAUGGCUUCUUUUAUGCUGACAGAAGGACAGGAGGAUGGGAGCAAUUGUGCGAAAUCAAGAUGCUACUAUCAAUCCUUUGGCUCUGAUUGAGGUGUCGGCGGUGACAGGCAGGCUUAUAAAUCCCUGAGAUGCUACUAUGAAGCAGAAGUGCUAUUAUUCUAGGAUCUGAAUCUGAAGAUUCGUUUGAUGAAGUUAAUGUACUGGUGAAGUUUGAGGCUGUUUGAUUUGGUUGGUGUUUUGCAUGUUGUUGUAGACCUUGUAGCUUGGAUGAGCAUGAACUUGCUAGGCUGGCGCUGCUUUGGGUAUUUCUAAGAUCCAUUACUUUGGAACGGCGGAUCUCUCUCAGUCCGUAUAUGAUAUGGCGAGCACGGCGAUUAUGUUCAUCACCAAUGUGGUGGAAAUCCUCCAACUUUGUGAUGCAGUGUACUUGUAGAGUUGUUUUGUUGACAAAGGUGUAUGGUAUCGGCCAAAUUCUGUGCCAAGGCGUUGGAGUGCUCUUUGAAUCCUUUGGCUCUGAUAAUGGGUGGUUUCUGGUAGCAAUUUUUUGUGAUGGGCAUGGUGAGGUGUGCAUAUGUGCGUUGCAGUGCUCUUUGAAUCCUUUGGCUCUGAUUGAGGUGUGCAUAUGUGCGUUGCUGGGAGGUCGAAACAGCUUGAGAUGCCAAAUUCUGUUUGUGUCAAUUUGAAGCCUGAAAUUGGAGGGUUUUUUUUACUGAAGACAGCAACUCUAGUUCCCUUUUUGGUAAAAGGAGUAACAGAAUGUUUUCACCUGUCAACACACAUCGGAAGAGCAGGAGAUUUGCACCUGACAACGCCCGUCGAAACACGGUGAGUAUCCUGUUACUCUAGCUGGUAUUCUAGUGUUAAUCACCCGUCAGAAGCGCAGUAGAUUUUUCACACAACACUAGAGUUACUCCUUUUAACAGUAGUAUAUAUGAUCGUUUCUAUAACACUCUGCACAUAGAACAGUUCAACUAGAGAGACAAGGUGUCCGGUUGAGCUCCUCUUGCAGCAUCUCUUGCAGCAUCUCUUGCAGCAUCUCUCAUCCGGCUGAAGCUAUGUGAUGGUCGCCCCAAUUUUUUAAACGGAUAUCACCAGGCAUAUGGUAGUGGGUAGGACAGCGGGUCCUGAAGGAAUUUCAGUACUAGGAGAAGAAAUGCCAACUUCAGCCGGGUUCUCCCGGUGAGAGUGAGGAAUGGCGAACGCCGAUCACGCCCUGCCAUGCAGCAACGUCGAUUGGAAGGCAGCCCAUGUCCAGCAUCAAUGUCAGUUAGCGUCAUCGCCGACAUGUCUAGGUUUUCUUCGCAGGCAGAGCUGACCGAUCUGUACUGUAUAGAGUUGAGUGUGUAGCUGGGGAUGAUAAAUUGCAGUCAAAUCCCCACACCAGGUUUCAGUUCUGGGUCAAAAGCUUUGGGCAGCACAGUUUGUCUAAAACUGCAGUAUGUCAAAACCUCAGCGGGUCCUGAAGGUAUUUCAGUAUCUAAAAAAUGCAGUUUUCCAUGGCUUUGGGAAAACCACUGACGCGUCUGCCAAGUCACUUUUCUCUGAUUUUCAGCGGUUGUUAGGUUGCAUGGAUAAUCUACACGAUCUGACCAGCUUGUGCUAACGGCUGCUUUAUGCACGUUCAUACAAUAAAAUAAAAUAGAAAAAAGGAAAGAAUGUACAGGCAAAAAGGGAAUAGGAAAAAAAGAAUGAAAACAAAAUGCAUAAGUAACAAACAUGAAAAACAAAGAGAAAGAAGAAUAGAGAAAAGCCACGCCGAUCUACGCGUAACGGACCAGACAAUACAUCGAAAAGCCAGCCCCUCUAACUAAACAAGAAUACAAGGGUCGUUUGGUUGGCGUCCGGCCAUGCCAAAACCGAGCGAGCCAACACUAGUAGAAAAGGGGGCAACGGUCCAGGCCGGGUCAGCCCAUUAGUCCCGGUACAGUCUAGAACCGGGACAGAUGGGGGCAUUGGACCCGGUUCGUGAGCCCAGGGGGCCGGUCGGGCCACGUGGACCAUUGGUUCCAGUUCGUCUGGACCUUUUGGUCCCGGUUUGUGGGACGAAUCGGGACCAAUGGUCCUGGCUCCUGGCCCACCAUCAUUAGCCCCGGUUGGAGGCAUGAACCAGGACCAAAUGGGUGCCUUUAGUCCCGGUUCGCGCCACGAACCGGGACUAAUGAGGUGCCUAUAUAUACCCUCGCCCGCGAGCAGAGCACUUCAGUGCUCCGUUUUUCUGGGCCGGCGAGGGGAGGGGUUUGUGGUGCUCUAGCUCACCUCCUAUGCACAUGAGGUGUUCGAUGAAAUGCCCGAGCCACACUAGUUAAGCUUUCUCCUCUUGAAGCUCGACCUCAAAGCUUCAUUUUCCUCGAGAUUUGUCUAGAUUUAGCGGUCCGUCACGCCCCACCCCCGUCUUCACCGCCGUCGAUCACCCUCGCCGAUCUCAUCACCGACACCACCGUGAUGAGCCUCUUGUUCUUAUCUUCUUUCUGAAAGGAAAAAUAUUCUUACUUGUAUGUUUAGAUAGAUACUUGUAUCAUUUUCUUACUUUUAUUAUUGCAUCUUAUAUAGUGCGAUGGUUUUGGUAUCCGCCCCCGUCGGUCCUCGUCCUAUCUAUGAUUCGGAUGUGGUAUAUAUAUUAAUCUUUAUAACUAUUGGUUCAUUUAUUGUUUAUGAAAAUUAUGCCGACCAAUGUGACAUAGAUUUUAUUUAUCUAGGAUGUAUGUGAACCGGAAAUUCCAACCGACUCUAUUGUCGAGAGGUUAAAUUUAGUUGAAGAAGAAAACAAUUUCUUGAAGGAAAAAAUAAAAAAAUUGAGGAGGAGAAGAUGAUAUUGGAGUUGCAUGUUGCGGAUGUCGUCGAUGAUCACAAGAUCAAGAUGGAUGCAAUGCGCUUGAAGAUUAGAAAGAUUAGAAAAUAUGCCAUUCAUACCGAGGCUUGGUAUCAUUAUGCCGUUGGAUCAAUUGUUACCUUGGUUGCGAUUAUGAUCGUCUUCGUUUUCGCAUUUAAAUGUUUUACAUAGUAUCAAUGUAUGGUUUAAUUAAUUAGAUGCUCUGGAGAGCUAUAUGUUGUUAGAUGAGAACUAUGUAUGUACUUUGUUUUUAAUGUGAUGAUGAACUUCUAUUAAUUUGGACACUCAAUUAUAUAUAAUGCACGCAGAUGAACCGGCAAUGGAUGUACGGUGAUAGACACACCUCCGCCGGGUGAUUGUCGAUGCAAGGACACAAUGCAAGGUCAUUGUCGAUGCAAGGACGCAAUGCGAAAGUCAAAAGGAGAAGCUGAAGUUCGAUCGCAUGUUAGAGGAUCACAAAAAAGGGUUGUACCCCAAUUGUGAAGAUGGCAACACAAAGCUCGGUACCGUACUGGAAUUGCUGUAGUGGAAGGCAGAGAAUACUGUGCCUGACAAAGGAUUUGAGAAGCUACUGAAAAUAUUGAAAAAAAGCUUCCAAAGGAUAACGAAUUGUCUGACAGUACAUACGUAGCAAAGAAGGUCGUAUGCCCUCUAGGAUUGGAGGUGGAGAAGAUACAUGCAUGCCCUAAUGACUGCAUCCUAUACCGCAGUGCAUACAAGGAUCUGAAUGCAUGCCCGGUAUGCGGUGCAUUGCGGUAUAAGAUCAGACGAGAUGACCCUGAUGAUGUUCACGGCGAGCCCUGCAGGAAGAGGGUUCCUACGAAGGUGAUGUGGUAUGCUCCUAUAAUAUCACGGUUGAAACGUCUGUUCAGAAACGGAAAGCAUGCCAAGUCGAUGCGAUGGCACAGUGAGGACCGUAAGAAAGACGGGAAGUUAAGAGCACCCGCUGACGGGUCGCAGUGGAGAAAAAUCAUGAGAAAGUACUGGGAUGAGUUUGCAAAGGACCCAAGGAACGUAUGGUUUGCUUUAAGCGCGGAUGGCAUUAAUCCUUUCGGGGAGCAGAGCAGCAAUCACAGCACCUGGCCUGUGACUCUAUGUAUGUAUAACCUUCCUUCUUGGAUGUGCAUGAAGCGGAAGUUCAUUAUGAUGCCAGUUCUCAUCCAAGGCCCUAAGCAACCCGGCAACGACAUUGAUAUGUACCUAAGGCCAUUAGUUGAAGAAUUUUUACAGCUGUGGAAUGGAAACGGUGUAUGUACGUGGGAUGAGCACAGACAAGAGGAAUUUAACCUAAAGGCAUUGUUGUUCGUGACCAUCAACGAUUGGCCCGCUCUCAGUAACCUUUCAGGACAGACAAACAAAGGAUACCACGCAUGCACACACUGUUUAGAUGACACUGAAAGUAUAUACCUGGACAAAUGCAGGAAGAAUGUGUACCUGGGCCAUCGUCGAUUUCUUCCGACCAACCAUCAAUGUCGAAAGAAAGGCAAGCAUUUCAAAGGCGAGGCAGAUCACCGGAAGAAGCUCGCCAUGCGUACCGGUGAUCACGUACUUGCUAUGGUCAAUGAUUUACACGUAAUCUUUGGAAAGGGUCCCGGCGCAAUAACUGUUCCGAAUGACGCUGAGGGACACGCACCCAUGUGGAAGAAGAAAUCUAUAUUUUGGGACCUACCCUACUGGAAAGACCUAGAGGUCCGCUCUACAAUUGACGUGAUGCACGUGACGAAGAACCUUUGCGUGAACCUGCUAGGCUUUUUGGGCGUGUAUGGAAAGACAAAAGAUACACAUGAGGCACGGGAGGACCUGCAACGUUUGCACGAAAAAGACGGCAUGCCUCCGAAGCAGUAUGAAGGUCCUGCCAGCUACGCUCUUACGAAAGAAGAGAAAGAAAUCUUCUUUGAAUGCCUGCUCAGUAUGAAGGUCCCGACUGGCUUCUCGUCGAAUAUAAAGGGAAUAAUAAAUAUCCCAGAGAAAAAGUUCCAGAACCUAAAGUCUCAUGACUGCCACGUGAUUAUGACGCAACUGCUUCCGGUUGCAUUGAGGGGGCUUCUACCGGAAAACGUCUGAUUAGCCAUUGUGAAGCUAUGUGCAUUCCUCAAUGCAAUCUUUCAGAAGGUGAUCGAUCCAGAAAUGGUACCAAGGCUAAGGAGUGAUGUGGCGCAAUGUCUUGUCAGUUUCGAGCUGGUGUUCCCACCAUCCUUCUUCAAUAUCAUGACGCAUGUCCUAGUUCAUCUAGUCGACGAGAUUGUCAUUCCGGGGCCCGUAUUUCUACACAAUAUGUUCCCCUUUGAGAGGUUCAUGAGAGUCCUAAAGAAAUAUGUGCGUAACCGCGCUAGGCCAGAAGGAAGCAUCUCCAUGGGCCAUCAAACAGAGGAUGUCAUCGGGUUUUGUGUUGACUUCAUUCCUGGCCUUAAGAAGACAGGUCUCCCUAAAUCGCGGUAUGAGGGGAGACUGACUGGAAAAGGCACGCUAGGAGCGGACUCAAUAAUAUGCAGGGACGGGCAUUCUUGGUGUCAAGCACACUACACAGUUCUACAGAACUCUACCUUGGUGACCCCGUAUGUCGAUAAACACAAGAACAGUCUGCGCUCCAAACACCCGGAGCAGUGCGACGACUGGAUUACAUGUGAACACAUUAGGACUUUCAGCAGUUGGUUGGAAGCACGUCUCAGAGGUGACAACACUGUUUGUGAUGAGUUGUACUUGUUGUCCAGGGGACCAUCUUUGACUGUAUUGAUUUACAAAGGAUACGAGAUAAAUGGGAAUACAUUUUACACGAUUGACCAAGAUCAAAAGAGCACCAACCAGAACAGCAGUGUCCGCUUUGAUGCAACAACCGAGAAGGGAAAGGACACAUAUUAUGGUUACAUAGUGGACAUAUGGGAACUUGACUACGGACAAGAUUUUAAGGUCCCUUUGUUUAAAUGCAAAUGGGUCAAUCUGUCAGGAGGCGGGGUACAUGUAGACCCACAGUACGGAAUGACAACAGUCGAUCUGAAAAAUCUUGGGUACACUGACGAAUCGUUCGUCCUAGCCAAUGAUGUGGUACAGGUUAUCUAUGUGAAGGACAUGUCUACCAGACCGAGAAAAAGAAAAGAUAAGGAAAUGAAUACAUCAUACGAUGAGACAAAGCGACACAUAGUUCUUUUAGCAAAAAGGGACAUCCUGGGAGUGGAGGGCAAGACAGACAUGUCUGAAGAUUAUGAAAGGUUUCAUGAAAUUCCUCCCUUCAAUGUCAAGGCUGACCCAAGCAUCCUGAUAAACGAUGAAGAAUAUCCAUGGUUACGGCGCAAUAAGCAAAUGACACAAGCGAAAAAAAGUGAAAACUUUCUCCCACAACUAUUAUGAUGAUACCAUGCCAAAUUUGUAACAGACGAGUAUGCUAUGCCAACUUUUUCAGAGUUCAUUUGAAAACUAUGAAUUUAGGUCGAAUUUUCUCUAUAGGUGCAUCUAUGUUCAUUUUUUAGUAAAGUUAAUCACAAAUGUGAUUCACACAAAUUUUAAAAAAUUCAAAUUUUAACUAUUCAAAUUUGAAAACUAAUGGCACUAAGAGAAAGUUUAUAUUUUUUUCUAAAACUAAUGGCACUAUCAGAAAGUUUAUAAUUUUGCUGACCUAAAAGCAAAAAGAAUUAAAAAAUAAAGCCAGAAACAAAAUAAAAUAAAUAAAGCAACAAAGAAAACAAAAAAACUAAAAAAGUGUUUUCAAAUUUGAAAACUAAUGGCACUAACAGAAAGUUUAUAAUUUUUCUANNNNNNNNNNACUAACAGAAAGUUAAUAAUUUUGCUGACCUAAAAGCAAAAAGAAUUAAAAAAAAGCAAGAAACAAAAUAAAAUAAAUAAAGCAACAAAGAAAACAAAAAAACUAAAAAAGUGUUUUCAAAUUUGAAAACUAAUGGCACUAACAGAAAGUUUAUAAUUUUUCUAAAACUAAAAGCUAAAAGAAUUAAAAAAUAAAGCAAGAAACAAAAGAAAAUAAAUAAUGCAGAAAACAAAACAAAAAAACUGGAAAAAAAAUUAAAUAUAGCAACAAUAAGUAUUUAGUUCUAAGUAGAAACAAAAAAAAAGUGCCACCUACUGGGCCCCCACGGCCUGAAUACGACUAGAAACCCUACCAUGGGCCAGUAUUCAGGCCCGCGGGAGGCCCAGUAGGCCCACAGGCACAGAUUGCAGUGUUAGGCCCGAAAGCCUGCUUUAGAGAGGAGCUUGAGAGGGAUGGCGCACCGCACCUUAUAAACAGGUGCGCCUCCCUCUCAACUAGCGAGGUGGGACUAAAUAUUUGGGUUCGGGGCAGCACAGGCCUUUGGUCCCGGUUGGUGGCUCCAACCGGGGCUAAAGGGGGGCAUUAGUCCCGGUUGGUGCUACAACCCGGGACUGNNNNNNNNNNAAUUUGAAAACUAAUGGCACUAACAGAAAGUUUAUAAUUUUUCUAAAACUAAAAGCUAAAAGAAUUAAAAAAUAAAGCAAGAAACAAAAGAAAAUAAAUAAUGCAGAAAACAAAACAAAAAAACUGGAAAAAAAAUUAAAUAUAGCAACAAUAAGUAUUUAGUUCUAAGUAGAAACAAAAAAACAAAAAAAACAAAAAAGUGCCACCUACUAGGCCCCCACGGCCUGAAUACGACUAGAAACCCUACCAUGGGCCAGGAUUCAGGCCCGCGGGAGGCCCAGUAGGCCCACAGGCACAGAUUGCAGUGUUAGGCCCAAAAGCCUGCUUUAGAGAGGAGCUCGAGAGGGAUGGCGCACCGCACCUUAUAAACAGGUGCGCCUCCCUCUCAACUAGCAAGGUAGGACUAAAUAUUUGGGUUCGGGGCAGCACAGGCCUUUGGUCCCGGUUGUUGGCUCCAACCGGGGCUAAAGGGGGGCAUUAGUCCCGGUUGGUGCUACGACCUGGGACUAAUGCNNNNNNNNNNNNNNNNNNNNNNNNNNNNNNNNNNNNNNNNNNNNNNNNNNNNNNNNNNNNNNNNNNNNNNNNNNNNNNNNNNNNNNNNNNNNNNNNNNNNNNNNNNNNNNNNNNNNNNNNNNNNNNNNNNNNNNNNNNNNNNNNNNNNNNNNNNNNNNNNNNNNNNNNNNNNNNNNNNNNNNNNNNNNNNNNNNNNNNNNNNNNNNNNNNNNNNNNNNNNNNNNNNNNNNNNNNNNNNNNNNNNNNNNNNNNNNNNNNNNNNNNNNNNNNNNNCUCCUCUUCUUUUUCUUCUUUUUUUUCUUCGAUCUUCUCCUUUUUUUUCUUUUUCUUCUUCUUCUUCUUCUUAGUUUUUAUCGGGAACGAGGGUGUCAAGGAUCGCCGAGGGGUCGAGGGUCGGAACUAGGGUCGAGGGUUCGAGGGGUCGAGGAUCGCUCGGCACUAGGCAACCUCCCGACCCCUCGGCGAUCCUCUCGAACAUGAGAGGACGAAGAGGAUAAAAAAGAAGAGGAAGAAGAAAAAAAAGAGGAGAAGAAAGAAUAGAGGAGUCUUCUAUUCUUUCUUCUCCUCUUUUUUUUCUUCUUCCUCUUUUUUUUAUCGGGAACGAGGGUCGUCGAGGGACAUAGAUGUAGUGUCGUCGUUGUCGAUAUACCCCCUCCCGAUAGCUUCAACACGUGGGGGGGGGUCGAUAUUACCCCCUCCUUGAAGCGUUCUCGAGGCCACCCCAAACCCUUGAAGCGUUGUCGAGGCCACCCCAAACCCUAGAGAAGCAGCGUCGAGGCCACUAAUUAAUAUAUAUGAUUCCUUACUACGUUUGCCACUAAUAUAUCCAUUUGUCAUGUUUGAAUAAUAAUUGCCAUGUUGUAAAUAUUUGUAGAAACUAUGGACACCGCCCGAGACGAAGCAAACGAAGCGAUGUUGAGGGACAUAAUCGCACAAGGAAGUGAUGCCGUCUCGUUGUUUCUCAACGACACUGAUGGUCUGGAAGGAGAGGGUGAAGAAGCUGGCUCCGGUGACCUAAUACCGGUGCAAGAAGAAGAACAUGAGGACGGCUCCGGUGACCCAAUGCCGGUGCAAGAAGGAGACCGUGAUGACGGCUCCGGUGACCGAACCGAGUCCGGCCAGGUAUAUAUAUAUUAGUUAAGCCUGUGCUAACUAGCUAAUUGAUGCAUUCAUUGUUUUGGUAUGUACACAUAUUAAUUAAGUCUUUGUUCUUUUUUCUAGCCCUCCGAAUCGAGCACAACUGAGGUAAAGAGACGAGGCCCGAAGAAAAAGUUGAGCUCGGAUGAAAGGUUUGAGAUCAUAGCAAUCGCGCCCAACGGCCAACCUAUUGAACCCAUCCGAACAAAGAAGGCAUUUGUUGCUCAGUGCGGGGUUCUGGUUAGGGACAAGAUCCCGAUCAGUAUCCAGCAAUGGUUGAAGCCGGCUACUGAAGACCCUGAGGUGUCUAACGUCAAUGAUAUGCAGAAAAAUGAUCUUUGGACUGAGCUGAAGACAAAUUUCACCCUACCGCCAGAGGAUGAUCCGGAGAAACCAGUUAAAGAGCAAUUAAUCAAGUUUUUUGCUCUUAAGAGGAUGGCAGACCUAUUCAGGAGGUGGAAGAAAGACCUGAAUAGGUUUGUCGAGAAAAAAGAGACACCAGAAUUCAAGGGCAUAUAUGAGAAGAUCAGAGAUGACUGGCCUGCAUUUGUGGCCCACAAGACAUCGGAAAAGAGUAAGAAGAUGUCGGCGACAAACAAGAAAAAUGCUGCGAAGAAGAAGCUUCACCAUCGCACGGGGUCAGGUGGCUACCUCGUAGCCCGGCCUAAGUGGGCCAAGGCUGAGAAUGAUCUGGUUCAAAAAGGGAUCGAACCAGAGACGAUGAGCUGGCCAGACCGUUGCCGGACUUGGUUCUUCGGGGCUGGCGGAACCUUGGACCCUGUAACAGGGAAGUGCAUUUGGACGGACGAGCAACUUGACAUACCCUUGAAGAAGCUUUGGUACUAUAUCGCUGCAGCGCAGAAAGGGACGUUCCUUCCAAACAGAGAGAACGACGAGCUCACAUCGGUCCUCGGGAAUCCUGAGCACCCUGGAUAGACACGAGGCACACCAGGCUCCAUUCCGUGAAGGGCUGGGUUUCCGGACGCAGGCGGUUACAAAAGCCAGGAGAGGAGGAAGAAAGUGUAGCAGUCCGAACUGCAGGCGCUUAAAGCAAGGGUACUCGGGAUAGAGGAACGAGAAGCAAAUCGCAGCAAAUGAACUGCCGAAGCUACCCCUCCAUCUCAGCGGAGAAGCAGCAUGGCUUCCACCGAGCUGCUUCAGCCGGAGCUUGUUUUGACGGCUCCUGCCAGCUAUCCCGUGGAUGCUAUCACGGAGGCUCAAAAUUGCCACCUUAUGACGCAAUGGAUGAAUAUGAAGGUCAAGGCGGCUGUUGGCUCUGUUUUUCCUAAUGAACCCGACGCAACUUUUCACUGCCAGCCGAUUCCAGAAGGAUAUGCUAAGGUGAUGGUGGAUGAAAUAACGGAGGGAUUUGAGGACCUCCCGCUUGACCACCCUACCGGAGAAGGGGAGACUCGGCUGGGUUCUGCUCUGAAGACUCCAUGCCUAUGGCGGAAGGAACUCAUCAACCUUCCAAACUGGACGCCUCCGCCUCCUCCUCCUCCUCCGGCGAGUCAGGGCACUCCGCCUCCUCCACCGCCUCCUCCUCUGGCGAGUGACGAUCAGGGCCCUCGGCCGGCUCCUUCUCCGGCGCGUGGCGGCACUCCGCCUCCUUCUCCGCCUGCGCCGGCGCACCCGAGCAGCUAGCCUACUCCUUCUCCGCCUCGUCAGCAAGGGCGGAAGAGACCCGCCGCCGCUCCGGCAGCUGCUCCAGCGCGUCGUAGUCCUUCUCCUCCGCCUCGUAAGCAAGUCAAGAAGACUGCCGCUCCGUCUGCUCUGCCGGCGUCUAGCAGUACAGCCAGAGGCGGGAGGAAAUACAAAUUCGGUCCUUCUCUGAAGACUCCAGAGAAGUUACCAUACGAGAGGACCCCGGAGGAGAACGCGAGGAUCGCGCGAAUCGAGAAGGAUGACUGGUUUCAAGGGUUGAAAGCACAGAGACAUCCACCUCCGAAGGAGAAGGUAGAUCCGGUGAAAGUGAAGCGCACUUUGGCUGCCCUGGCAAAACCACCCAAGUCUUCGCCGAAAGGCAACUAUGAGCGCAUUAUUGGAAAGGCAUUUGUCGAAGCGGAGCGGUCGGGAAGUACUGUCAGUGAUCAAAGGAUGAAAGAACGACGAGCUGGGAAACAAAUUGCUCAGCUCGGCGAACAAGCAAAGCAAUCGUGCCCCCCGCUCAAGGUGCCUAGCGUCGAUCCGAGGAUGGUGCCCGGUUAUAACAAUCUUGACGAUUACCUGCCCGACGAUGUACAUUAUGAUUUCCUGGACGUGCAGAUACACAGAUACGAGUACGGGAAGCCUCUCGUCAAAGAUGAAAGAUCUCUAUCAACGAUGAUGCGAAGAUUGCACGAUUGGUACCUGAAAAUAUGCAGAGAGUCUGGGGGGAGGAGUACUUUGUAUGCGAGAGUUAAACCGGAGCAUGACCUUGUUGGAAUUGAUCUGUUGCCUAUUCCAUUUGAGGAGUUCUAUCAGUAUUUCAAUCAAUUGGCCCUCGAUAAAGCAACAGUCACCUGCUACUGUUUGUAAGUACUACUACUUCUGUCAUUAUGUCUCUCUAUAUAGCUCAGCUCUUUCAUUGCAUGUAUUUAUAAUUAUCCUCACUAUAUUAUGCAGAUUGAAGAUCGCCGAAUUGAAGAAAAGACAAAUCGGUGAUAUUGGGUCCGUUAACACAAAUCUCAUAGAUGCAGUUCAGGUUAAACAUCAUGCCACACAAACCGAGGCCAGCUUGCUACGAUCAUUCAAAAGAAAUGAACACAAAGAUAUAAUACUCUUUCCUUACAACUUCAAGUGAGUGUUGUCUUGUGCAUAUUCGGUUUCCCUUAUAUAUUAGUUCAGGUUAUAGUAAUGUAAUUGAUGAGUUAUGCAUGCGUGCGCAGUUUCCACUAUAUUCUCCUGGAGAUUAGGCUUGAGCAGGGAGUAGUAACUGUCUUGGACUCGAGACGAAAAGAUCCCCAGGAGUAUGCGGACAUGACUGCAAUCCUCGAGAAGUAAGUUAAAUCGAUCAUUAUCCACCAUAUUAGCAAAUUUGUUCAUUUCCUGAUAUCAAGUAAUUGUUUUCUUUUGUCUGGCAGGGUUUGGAGAAAAUUCAGCACAAAAUCUCCGGGUCUGCCGAAGGAGCUGGAAUUUAGAUACCCGAAAGUAAGUACUAUAGUACCAUGUUCCGCGCGUCUCCUAGCUAUUGAUUCAAGCGCUAGUUUCAUCAAUACCAUUUGGCAUUCUUGCUUAUCUGUUUGAUUGACCUCUAUUUUUUGUAAAGUGGUUGUGGCAGGAACAAGAAAAUGAUUUCUGUGAAUACUACGUUUGCGAGUCCAUCCGCCACACGACCUAUGAGCGGGGCGGGUACUCUGACGAACAAUAUGAAGUGCGUAAGAAAUAAUAUUCACAAUUUUUGUUUAUUACCAUCAUUUGUGUUGAGUUUCAUUCAUUCAUAUUAUAUAUAUGUGUGUGUGUGUGUGUGUGUGUGUGUGUGUGUGUGUGUGUGUAUUGACCCUCUUUUUCAAAUUAGAUGUUUCGGUAGCGGGAUGAACUCCUAGCACCAGAUCGCAUGCGAGCAAUUCAAAAGGAAUUGGCGGCAUUCUUUCUUGACCACGUGGUCGCUGAAGACGGAGAAUACUAUGUGGACCAUGCGUCCAUAAUUUAGGAGAUUAUAUUUGUAAAAGAUAAUUAUUGUAUAUAUGUAGCCGGUAGUAUCGGACGAUAGAUAAACGAGAACUUGUUGUUCGACCAAUCUCUCGGAGAAGGAGAGGUGGUCGAUAUCACUUCUCUCUGUAUGCAUAUAUGUUCAUGACGAUCUUCGGUUUCCUUCGUUUGCUUACUAGCUAGUUAGCGUGCCUAGUCCUUUCUAUACGUAUGUAUAGUAUGUAGCGUCGACCAAGCACGGACAUAAGAGAGGACACUUCUCUCUAUUAAUUAGCUAUCUAACAUAAUAUAUGAAAUACCUAAAUUAACCCCCCCAAAAUCCCCAAACCCCCCUCCCUUUAAAAAAAGACCAAAAACCCCAGCCACAGAAAUGCUGACGUGUGGAGGUCUAUUGGUCCCGGUUGGUGCCACCAACCGGGACCAAAGGCCCUCCUGACUAGGCUCGGCGCACAGGCCAUGUGGAGGCCCAUCUGUCCCGGUUCUGGUUUGAACCGGGACUAAAGGGUGAGGGCAUUAGUAACGACCCUUUAGUCCCGGUUCAGGAACCGGGACAAAAGGCCCUUACGAAUCGGGACAAUAGGCCUGUUUUCUACUAGUGCAAAUAGUUGGCGAUGGAAUUCGGCACCGCGAAUUCACGACGAGAGGUUCGUGCGUUUAUCAUAAUUUUAUGAUUUAUUUUAGACGGCGAUAACUGCCACACAUAUAGGUGUUAAGGCUUAGUUUGGCAGCACUAUUUUUGAAAAAACACAGUAAUCCAAAACCUCAAUUUUUAAAUGCAUGGGCAACGAAUACUUCGGUUUUUAAAAACCAUGGUUUUCCUCAGUUUUCACAAUACCACCGAUGAGUUUGGCAACUGAUGUUUGACUUGCUGUGCCUUGCUCAACUAUACCCAUGGAGCUGAUCUGCAUGUAGAAACGGCGCCUAAUGCAUGCAGCAUGUCAUGCACGUCAAAUCCCCUCCUAGCUACCCGGGCAAAAAUAAAUAAAUAAAUUGUGUGUGUACAUGCGCCUAUAUGCGGAUAGAAUCGAUUGUGUAGCUCGCUUUGACCUGCUGCGUACGAGCGCUCCAACGACCAAUCGAUAUAUACUCCACGAGCAAGUUUGUUUGAAUCCCGCUUUACUCGUGUAUUUUGCAGCCAGUGAUCGGAUAGAAGCUUGCAAGAUCACUAGAAGAACGUAACAUGCGCGUCGUCUCUGUAGACAAACCAACAAACAAACCUGAAACGCCAAAUAAUUAGGAGCACUCUGUUGAAAAGACAAUAAAUAGAUGUAGACAAUCAGGCAAUGAAUUUGCUGAGUUCGGUUUAGAAAAAAGAGGCCCCGACCUUUUUUUAGAUACCGCAAAAAAACCACAGUAUGACAGAUACCUUAGUAUCUCAAACUACAAUAUUUAUUUUAUCCAAACACCUCAAAGUAUUUAAUACCAAAGUUUUUUCAAAAACCACAGUAUUUUCAGAAAACUGUAAAAAUACUUUGCAUCCAAACGCAUCCUAAGGGGUCUGCCUGCAUGUUUUGUAUCGUGUUUAAGAGGACCAGCCGACACGCCUACAUGUGGGCAAAACAACUAGCGUCCACACAUCUCCUUUUUCCUUACGGUCCCUCUCACACACCUACGUGUGGGCAAAAUGCAUAACGGCCACACAACCUCUCUCAGCCACCUACCUCACGGUCCCGCACGCCCCGCAUGACAGUCACCACACGUCCCUGCAGUUGCCAUGGUCCGGACCCUCUUCAAUGUCCGUUUAACUGCAGUUGCCAUGUCGACAACUACAGUUGCCAUGGUUGCUCAACUGCAGUUGCCAUCUCAGGUCAAGUCCCAUAUGCCAUUUUAGACAACUGCAGCUGUUGUGUGGUCUGGUUUACUAUAGUUGCCAUGAUUUAAAAACUUUAGAGGUUGCCACCUACUAACACUAAGCAGUUGCCAUGUAUGGUCUGAUUUACUACAGUUGCCAUGAUUUGAAAACCUUAGAGUUGCCACCUACUAACACUAGGCAGUUGCCGCGUAGCGCUACAAAGAGACAUGGCAAAACAACAUGUUCGGGUAAAAAAGAGUUGCCAUCUGCUUACAAGCACAAUAGGGCAGUUGCUGUGUACCCUGCAAAACACAUGGCAACUGACAUGUUCAGUAAAAAAAAGUUGCCAUCUGCUUACAAGCACGCUAGGGCAGUUGCCAUGUACACUGCAAAACGCAUGGCAACUGGCAGCUUGGAUGCGGAGGAGACGGGCGUGUGGGCGAGAUGGCAAAUGCCCACACACCAACCCUUGUGCAUGAGUAAAAACUGACGUGUGGACGAACUGCUAAACGCCCACACACCGGACCCUCCGUGUAGUGAAAUGAACGUGUGGGCAACCGAAUGAAUGCCCACACACCAGCUCAGUCCUACGUGGCAUCAUAAACAUGCCAAGAUUCAUGCACCCACAAACGAACGCGGAUCCACGCGUGUGGGCGAAAUGCAAACGCCCACACAUAUGGGCAUUAGUGUUUCCGUUUAUUUUUUACGCCUUUUAGAUAAUUUUGUAGUCCAACCAAACGGACGACUUCGGCCAACACCGAUAAUAUUUCGGUAAGGCAGAUGUCUGUUGCCAUCCAAAGCACCUAAGAACCCGACAAACGGGACAACAACAACUUAUAACCAAAACCAGGAAUUUGGUGGGCUGCGGCCCAUGAACAUGUGCUUGUGAAGUGAGCGUUAAUCGAACUCCCAACAGGCCCAGGGCAAAUCCUAUUGGCUGCGUAGAUUGAUGGAUUGACGUACCCCUGCCACUCAAAAAAAAAAGCAAGACUCCUUCGUUCCAGUUUUGGGAAAGUGAGUUCUUUUUCUUGUGUUUUCUUUAUACUUUUUCUUUCUUUUUUAAUUUCAAAUUUCCUUGUUUUCCAUUUUCUAAUUAGGGAAUAUUACUUUAAUUUCACAAACAUAUUAGAAUUUGAGAAUAUUCUUGGAAUUUGUGAACAUUUUUCUGAUUUUAUGAACAUUUUUUUUUCAAAUUUGUUAUUAUUUUCUCAAAUUCACGAACAUCUUUUGAAUUCGUGAAUAGUUUUUCAACUCAGUAAACAUAUUUAAAUAUACAGAUAUUUUUUGAAUUUCAUGAACAUUUUUUUUGGAUUCACAGACAAUGUUUUUAAAAGUAGCGAACAUUUUUGAAAUACGCAAUUUUUUUCCAAUAUUUUUCAAAUAUGUGAAUUUUUUUUGUAUUCACAAUCAUUUAUUGAAAUCACAAGAAUUUUUCAGUUCAUGAACAUUUUUUUCAAUUUCACAAACAAUUUCUGAAUUCAAGGUUUUUUUAAAAUCGACAACUUUUUUUGAAACCCAUGAAUCUUUCUCAAUUAUUGAACAUCUUUUAAGUUUUGUUAAAAAGGAAAAAUGGAACGGUAUAAAAAGGAACAAAACAGGCAAUGCUAGCUCCUACACUGUGUUGGCCUAGUUAUAAAAAAAUGUUGAAACUUCCAAAAUUGUUUACCAUUUCUAAGAAAUGUUUGAUAUUCAUUGUUUUUUAUUUUCUAGAUUUUUUAAAAUUUUCAAAAAUUAUUCUGAUUUUUCAAAAAUGAUCACAAACUUAUAUAUUUUGGUGUUUUCCAAAAAGAAGUUUAGAAAACAAUUGCAAUUUUUAAACGACAGCUUGUUCGCUGCUUCUUCGGUGUCUGUCAAUGGGUUGGCCCAGUAUAGUUGCCCUUUUGCCUCAUACUCCUAUUGGAUGCGCAUUACAACCCUUGUCGAAAGUGCAUAUCUGAGCUCGAGCUCAUAUGUGCUCUUUCUCUUAGAUUCGCACCACCCAUUGUAUAUGACGCUGUAUAGGGCUCCGUAUUCCCCAUAUUCGCUGCACACAGGCCCACCAUUGUCGGCUCAUAAAUGUGACAGGCCCCCGUUAAAGGUCCGCCCGCACUGACGGGCACUUACGAUCUGGGCCACGGCUCCGCUUCAUCUAGCACCAACGGACGCCGCCGCCCACAUCUGUUCCCCGAAAAUUCUAGACCUACGGGCUGAAAUGCACGGAAUACUCUCUACGGACUGACUUGUCCAUCACCUCGCCAAUCCCUUCCUAUCUGGUUUUUAAUUGCGGGUCCACUGUUUUCACGAUCAAUUCCCAGUGCCACCAGUUAGAUUCACCUCAUGACUGCCUCCUCAUCGUCCUCUGCCGCCGGCGACGUACUGCCUCUGAUGCCUUGUCCCGAUUGGGGCGGCAAGGUUAUAAGCUGGAUUUCCAGCGGCGGAGCUAGCCUGGGCUCCCUGUUCUACAGGUGCGUCAGGAAAGAUGUAAGAUCCCACUCACCCAGAAUUUUUUUAGUUCAAUCUCGGUUCCCAGUCUCACCUCGCCCACCGGUCUUGCACCCCAGGCUGGCCUGUGUGGAUUCAGAUCCACCGAGGUGUACACCGCCGUGUUCAUGAAUCUUCUAGCUGGCGGCCGAUGUCCCGUGUCCUGUGUAUUCAUGUUGACCCCACAGAUGGAUAUCUAUUAGUAUGUGUACUCAUUAGUGUCCUGGUUAGUUAUCCAUCAUGUAGUAGUAUUAGAAAAGCAAGUAAUGGAUGGUCUGUAUUUUGGUAUUUCCCCACUGUCCCUUUUGUGGCAACCAUGGUUAUGUGUCAUGUGGUCGUUGUAAUCAUCUCGUUUUAAUUGUUAUGUAAUUUUUAAAAUUUUGAUUGCUGCUACUUGGGACUCUCAGGUCAACCAAUCUGAUGCAUAAGCGGUGGUUGCUGCCAAAUUAAAAAAAAAUGAGAAGUAUUUUAUCCAAGUGGAAAAGAGCUUGAAACCUGACAAAGCCUACCUUGAAUGCUGCAAAUUUAGGCUGAACCUUCUGGACUAGAUUGAGGAGGAUCGACAGUUAGCCAUGCUUGAAUCCUUUUUCAGGAACAUGGUUAAACAGAAAACGUAGGACAAUAUCCAUUCAAAUAAUUGGUGGGAGAUGAAGAUGCAAGAUUAUAACAUUCUAGAGCUUCAACCCAUCUGAGAAAAAACAAUAUAAAAUCUGUUGAGGUGGAUGGUGUGCUGAAUUACUCUCCUGUUGCGAAACAAAAUAUUUUGACUGCUUUUUACAGAGAUCUUAUGGGAAGUCAGGCGACCUCAUCAUCGGACAUUGACUGGAGAAGCUGUACACCCUUCGGUUUCAUCUGUCCAGUUUUACGGUACCUUUCACGCCACAAGAAAUCUUGGCAGCGAUCAAGGGAAUUCCAAGUGAUUAGAGCCCGGACCAAAUGUUUUUUCUUCUGCUUUCUAUCAAGACUUUUGGCAGGUUAUAUGAGAAACGACAUUAUGGCUUUCUUUGAGCAAUUCCAUGAGGGGACACUGCAAUUGGACAGAAUAAAUGUGUCAAGAUGGGUUAUGGCUGCUUAUUUCAGUGGGAAGGAUGUGGGCGGACAAAAUUAUGUGUGCAACUAAAACUUGGUCUCAUAUCAGUGGUCUCAUACAAGGGUACAGGGAGGUCACCUGUGUACAGGUUGGUAAUGGCGAAUCCACUUCCUUCUGGAAAAGUAUAUGGACGACCAAUUGCCCUCUUUGUUUCCAAUUUCCAACCCUGUUAUCCCAUGCCUUGAGACCAAAUAUUUCAACGCUCGUUGUAGAAGAGGAGGUGUAUGGUUGUUAAUCAAGAAUCGGGCUAAGGUCAGAUCCGUGUCAAACAUUCUAAAUAUUCUUGGCAUCCAGACUGCUGAAGCUGAAGAUCUGGGUGACUAUUCUCCAACAUUCAGAGGCAGUUUUGAGAAAGGAGGCAGAGAUAGUGUGAAAUGGUGGCUGUUGCUAUCCUUUGGAUGAUUUGGCUCGCCAAAAAUCACAAAGUUUUUAACAGCAUCUCAAUCCCCCCUUUGACUGUGGCAAGACAAUGUUCUGAGAUUGUGAGGCUCUCGUCUCACAGGGCCAAAUGCUCUGCUGAACAUGUUUCUUCUCUGUCUCCAUUCGAUCUCCCUCUCUGUUUGUUCUCUUGUUCUUCCCUCUUCCCGCAUGUGUAAGAAUGUUCUGUAUGCCUAAUCUCAAACAGCUGAGUCAUUUGUAUUUCUCCAGCAGCAGACAUCACCCUUCCUCGAAUUCAUCUGCGCAUGUGGUUCACAGCUUUUGUGCAACUUCUUCUGAAUUCACUCGUGUGUACAAUGGCCCUAGUGUCUCCUUCGCUUUCUUCGGCAUAUGCCACUUAAACCAGCGAUAUGUUGUGUUUAGCAUGAUACUCUUAAUGGCCAGCUCCAUCGCCCGAUUCUGAUCUGCAAGCGCAGAGCAAGGCAUGGUUGAUUAUUCAUAUUCCCAAAUGUCUAAUUUAUGAAAGGCAAGAAUACGGGAUGCACCUCUCAGGAUUGUCCUCGGAGCCACACCUCCCAUUAUCCACAAAAAUUCAAAGGAAACCCACUCAAAUUUUCUACAAUCUCAAUCUCACACCAACACACCAGCUAGGAUCAUGCUCUAAAAAUGGUUGUUAACCCCUAAAAAGCCCAAAUGGCGUGUCAUACAGAUUUGUAUGACAGGUUUUGCCGAAUGUUGCUAGAUCCUUGGAAAAAAUUAUACUGUAGUAUGCUGCUUCCGUUCACCCACAUUAAGUUUUAAUUCUGCCGUCUGUAUCUGCUUGGACUUGGUACCUUAUCCAUUGAUCCAAAAAAGCUCCCUAUAAUGAUGUACACGUUUGCAAGGUUCACAUUGUUCUGCCUUGGCUGCUUCAAUAUAAUUGUGCGAUGCCCAGUGUAUUGUCUCACCAAAAUUGGGGGACAACAAGUGGUUGUGAGGCUCUCUAUGUUCGGUGAUGUACCAACCAAGCAGUCUUAAAAGCGCAGGACACUUGCACCGACAAGACCUCGUGUUCUAUACCCCAGCUUCACCCUGCACCGGUGCUGCAAAACAUCAGAUUUUUCUGCAACUACUCAAAUAAAUAAACCCAAACACAACUGUAUUGGAACUACUCCUUAACUUACAGAACAGCCACAAACAAUUUCUUGCAUACAUUUCGUUCUUUGAACAUUCAGCCUGGUCUUCCUAUAUCUUAUUCCAAAUCCUUUCCUCCCGAGAAUACAUGUUGUAGAAUUCGUAGGCCUCUCCCAGUGAGUCGAAACUUGUACCCAGUGAUGAAACAAUGACAUUAUCUAUGGGGUUCGCAGCAAUACCCCUCAAAAGCAGUAACACAUGACGAGCAAGGGGUCCUGCUCGGUGCCACCGCUCCUAUCCUAUCCUGAAAUACUUGCUCUUUGCAUGUACAUUCUAAAUUCCUUUAUUUAAAAUCUAAACUCUGUAUUGUACUGCACUUUUUGUAACAUUAGUAUUUUAAUCUAGUAGGCAUUUUUACAGUUAUACUGAUCUGUUUUCUGAAAUUCAUAUACUCGGCUGUGCAACAUCAAUUUACUGCCAUCUGUGCAAACAGUCAUCAGAAUUUUAUUUGAUUGCCUACAUAAUCAGCAAAGGCUUUGUUGUUGUUGUUGCCUACAUAAUCAGUACAUCAUAUUUAUAUCAGAAUUCACAACGUCACCAGCAUCAUGUGUCUGUACUAGUCAGCAAAUGGCUUAACUGAAGAAAUUUGUGACAAGAGGCCACAUGGCAUGUCAGCCCGCUAUUCGUUUUACCAACUACUCACAGAGUACUAGAUAUCUCAUAUGUGAAACGAAAGAAAACAACCUCACAGGGUACCAUGCGCAUGCGGAUGUACUCAUCCUAAAUGGCUGCACUGUCCAAUUAAUCAGACAAGCAUACCACAAUUUCAUAUAAUGUCUCACAAAACAAAACAAAAUCUGCAAACGAGGAACGAACCUUUUAGUCCACCCAGAUGGUUGAAGGUUCAUCUUUCCGGUCAGCUCUCCACUAGUAGAAAACGGGCCUUUUGUCCCGGUUCGUAAGGGCCUUUUGUCCCGGUUCCAGAACCGAGACUAAAGGGUCGUUACUAAUGUCCUGACCCUUUUGUCCCGGUUUUGGGGGGUUAAUUUAGGUAUUUCAUAUAUUGUGUUAGAUAGCUAAUUAAUAGAGAGAAGUGUCCUCUCUUAUGUCCGUGCUUGGUCGACGCUACGUACUAUACAUACGUAUAGAGAGGACUAGACAUGCUAGCUAGCUAGUAAGCAAACGAAGGAAACAGAAGAUCGUCAUGAACAUAUAUGCAUACAGAGAGAAGUGAUAUCAACCACCUCUCCUUCUCCGAGAGAUUGGUCGAACAACAAGUUCUCGUAUAUCUAUCGUCUGACACUACCGGCUACAUAUAUAUAAUAAUUAUCUCUUACAAAUAUAAUCUCCUAAAUUAUGGCGCAUGGUCCACAUAGUAUUCUCCGUCUUCAGCGAUCACGUGGUCAAAAAAGAAUGCCGUCAAUUCCUCUUGAAUUGCUCGCAUGCGAUCUGGUGCUAGGAGUUCAUUCCGCAUCCGAAACAUCUAAUUUGAAGAAGGGGGUCAAUACAUAUAUAUAUGAAUGAAUGAAACUCAACACAAAUGAUGGUAAUAAAAUAAAAUUGUGAAUAUUGUUAUUUACGCACUUCAUAUUGUUCGUCAGAGUACCCGCCCCGCUCACAGGUCGUGUGGCGGAUGGACUCGCAGACGUAGUAUCCACAGAAAUCAUUCCCUUGUUCCUGCCACAACCACUUUACAAGAAAUAGAGGUCAAUCAAACUGAUAAGCAAGAAUGCCAAAUGGUAUUGAUGAAACUAGCGCUUGAAUCACUAGGAGAUGCGCGGAACAUGCUACUAUAGUACUUACUUUCGGGUGUCUAAAUUUCAGCUCCUUCGGCAGUCCCGGAGCUUUUUUGGUGAAUUUUCUCCAAACCCUGCCGGACAAAGAAAACAAUUACUUGAUAUCAGGAAAUGAACAAAGUAGCUGAUAUGGUGGAUAAUGAUCGAUUUAACUUACUUCUGGAGGAUUUCAGUCAUGUCCACAUACUCCUAGGGAUCUUUUCGUCUAGAGUCCAAGACAAUUACUACUCCCUGCUCAAGAAUAAUCUCUAGGAGAAUAUAGUGGUAACUGCGCACGCAUGCAUAACUCAUCAAUUACAUUACUAUAACCUGGACUAAUUUAUAAGGGAAACCGAAUAUGCACAAGACAGUAACACUCACUUGAAGUUGUAAGGAAAGAGUAUUAUAUCUUUGUGUUUAUUUCUUUUGAAUGAUCGUAGCAAGUUGGCCUCCGUAUCUUCGGGCCUUUUUUCAACCUCAGUUGCAUCUAUGAGAUAUGUGUUAACGAACCCAAUAUCACCGAUUUGUCUUUUCUUCAAUUUGGCGAUCUUCAAUCUGCAUAAUAUAGUGAGGAUAAUUAUAAGUACAUGCAAUGAAAGAGCUGAGCUAUAUAGAGAGACUUAAUGACAGAAGUAGUAGUACUUACAGACAGUAGCAGGUGACCGUUGUUUUAUCGAGGGCCAAUUGAUUGAAAAACUGAUAGAACUCCUCAAAUGGAAUAGGCAACAGUUCAAUUCCAACGAGGUCAUGCUCCGGUUUAACACUCGCAUACAAAGUACUCCUCCCCCCAGACUCUCUGCAGAUUUUCAAGUACCAAUCAUGCAAUUUUCGCAUCAUCAUUGAUAGAGAUUUUUCAUCUUUGACAAGAGGCUUCCCGUACUCGUAUAUGUGGAUCUACACAUCCAUGGGAUCAUAAUGUACAUCGUCGGGCAGGUAAUCGUCAAGACUGCUAUAACCGGGCACCAUCCUCGGAUCGACGAUGUCGCUAGGCACCUUGAGCGGGGGGCACGAUUGCUUCGCUUGUCCGCCGAGCUGGGCAAUUUGUUUCCCAGCUGCUCAUCGUUCUUUCAGCCUUUGAUCACUGACUGUACUUCCCGGCCGCUCCGCUUCGGCCCAUGUCUUUGCAAUAAUGCGCUCAUAGUUGCCUUUCGGCGGAGACUUGGGUGGUUUUGCCAGGGCAGCCAGAGUGCGCUUCACUUUCACCGGAUCUACCUUCUCCUCCGGAGGUGGAUGUCUCUUUGCUUUCAACCCUUGAAACCAGUCAUCCACUUCGGUUCGCGCGAUCUUCGCGUUCUCCUCCGGGGUCCUCUCGUAUGGUAACUUCUCUGGAGUCUUCAGAGAAGGACCGAAUCUGUAUGUCCUCCUGCCUCUGGCUGUACUGCUAGACGCCGGCUGAACAGACGGAGCGGCUGUCUUCUUUACUUGCUUACGAGGCAGAGGAGAAGGACUACGACGCGCCGGAGCAGCUGCCGGAGCGGCGGCGGGUCUCUUCCGCCCUUGCUGACGAGGCGGAGAAGGAGGAGGCUGGCUGCUCAGGCGCGCCGGCGCAGGCGGAGAAGGAGGCGGAGUGCCGCCACACGCCGGAGAAGGAGCCGGCCGAGAGCCCUGAUCGUCACUCGCCGGAGGAGGAGGCGGUGGAGGAGGCGGAGUGCCCUGACUCGCCGGAGGAGGAGGAGGAGGCGGAGGCGUCCAGUUCCGAAGGUUGAUGAGCUCCUUCCGCCAUAGGCAUGGAGUCUUCAGAGAAGAACCCAGCCGAGUCUCCCCUUCUCCGGUAGGGUGGUCAAGCGGGAGGUCCUCAAAUCCCUCCGUUAUUUCAUCCACCAUCACCUUAGCAUAUCCUUCUGGAAUCGGCCGGCAGUGAAAAGUUGCGCCGGGUUCAUUAGGAAAAACAGAGCCAACAGCCGCCUGUUGGGUAACGUAGCAGAAAUUCAAAAUUUUCCUACGUGUCACCAAGAUCUAUCUAUGGAGAAACCAGCAACGAGGGGAAGGAGAGUGCAUCUACAUACCCUUGUAGAUCGCUUAGCAGAAGCGUUCAAGUGAACGGGGUUGAUGGAGUCGUACUCGUCGUGAUCCAAAUCACCGAAGAUCCUAGUGCCGAACGGACGGCACCUCCGUGUUCAACACACGUACAGCCCGGUGACGUCUCUCGUGCCUUGAUCCAGCAAGGAGAGAGGGAGAGGUUGAGGAAGACUCCGUCCAGCAGCAGCACGACGGCGUGGUGGUGGUGGAGGAGCGUGGCAAUCCUGCAGGGCUUCUCCAAGCACCACGGGAGAGGAGAAGGACUUGGGAGAAGGGGAGGGCUGCGCCAGAACAUUGGUUCGGCAGCCCUCCCUUCCCCCACUAUAUAUAGGGCCAAGGGAGAGGGGGGCGCAGCCUUGGCCCUUCCUCCAAGGAAGGGUGCGGCCAGGGAGGAGUCCAUCCUCCCCAAGGCACCUAGGAGGUGCCUUCCCCUUUUAGGACUCUUCCUUUCCCUUAUCUCUUGGCGCAUGGGCCUCUUGGGGCUGGUGCCCUUGGCCCAUAUAGGCCAAGGCGCACACCCCUACAGCCCAUGUGGCCCCCCGGGGCAGGUGGACCCCCUUGGUGGACCCCCCGGACCCCUUUCGGCACUCCCGGUACAAUACCGAUAAUGCGCGAAACUUUUCCGGCGACCAAAACAAGACUUCCCAUAUAUAAAUCUUUACCUCCGGACCAUUCCAGAACUCCUCGUGACGUCCGGGAUCUCAUCCGAGACUCCAAACAACAUUCGGGUUACUGCAUAUACAUAUCCCUACAACCCUAGCGUCACCGAACCUUAAGUGUGUAGACCCUACGGGUUCGGGAACCAUGCAGACAUGACCGAGAUAACUCUCCCGUCAAUAACCAACAGCAGGAUCUGGAUACCCAUGUUGGCUCCCACAUGUUCCACGAUGAUCUCAUUGGAUGAACCAUGAUGUCAAGGACUUAAUCAAUCCCGUAUGCAAUUCCCUUUGUCCAUCGGUACGAUACUUGCCCGAGAUUCGAUCGUCGGUAUCCCGAUACCUUGUUCAAUCUCGUUACCGGCAAGUCUCUUUACUCAUUCCGUAACACAUCAUCCCAUGAUCAACUCCUUGGUCACAUUGUGCACAUUAUGAUGAUGUCCUACCGAGUGGGCCCAGAGAUACCUCUCCGUCACACGGAGUGACAAAUCCCAGUCUCGAUUCGCGCCAACCCAACAGACACUUUCGGAGAUACCUGUAGUGCACGUUUAUAGUCACCCAGUUACGUUGUGACGUUUGGCACACCCAAAGCACUCCUACGGUAUCCGGGAGUUGCACAAUCUCAUGGUCUAAGGAAAUGAUACUUGACAUUAGAAAAGCUUUAGCAUACGAACUACAUGAUCUUGUGCUAGGCUUAGGAUUGGGUCUUGUCCAUCACAUCAUUCUCCUAAUGAUGUGAUCCCGUUAUCAACGACAUCCAAUGUCCAUGGUCAGGAAACCGUAACCAUCUAUUGAUCAACGAGCUAGUCAACUAGAGGCUUACUAGGGACAUGGUGUUGUCUAUGUAUCCACACAUGUAUCUGAGUUUCCUAUCAUUACAAUUGUAGCAUGGAUAAUAAACGAUUAUCAUGAACAAGGACAUAUAAUAAUAAUCAAUUUAUUAUUGCCUCUAGGGCAUAUUUCCAACAGUCUCCCACUUGCACUAGAGUCAAUAAUCCAGUUCACAUCGAUAUGUGAUUAACACUCAAGGUCACAUCCCCAUGUGACUAACACCCAAAGAGUUCUGGGUUUGAUCAUGUUAUGCUUGUGAGAGAGGUUUCAGUCGACGGGUCUGCAACAUUCAGAUUCGUAUGUACUUCGCAAAUUUCUAUGUCAUCUGCAACUACUACGCUAUAUUUGGAGCCAUUUCAAAUAACUGUUCUACUUGGAGCUUUCUAAAUUGUUGCUCCAUUAUACGUAUCCGGUAUCUCUACUCAGAGCUAUCCGGAUAGGUGUUAAGCUUGCAUCGGCGUAACCCUUUACGAGGAACUCUUUUACCACCUCCAUAAUCGAGAAAAUUCCUUAGUCCACUAGUUACUAAGGAUAAUUUUGACUGUUGUCCUGUGAUCCAUUCUUGGAUCACUCUUGUACCCCUUGACUGACUCAUGGCAAGGCACACUUCAGGUGCGGCACACAGCAUAGCAUACUGUAGAGAGCCUAUGACAAAAGCAUAGGGGACGACAUUCGUCCUUCCUCUUUAUUCUGCCAUGGUCGAGCUUUAAGUCUUAACUUCAUACCUUACAACUCAGGCAAGAACUCCUACUUUGACUGAUCCAUCUUGAACACCUUCAAGAUCAUGUCAAGGUAUGUGCUCAUUUGAAAGUACCAUUAAGCAUUUUGAUCUAUCCUUAUAGAUCUUGAUGCUCAAUGUUCAAGUAGCUUAAUCCAGGCUUUCCAUUGAAAAACACUUUUCAAAUAACUCUGCAUGCUUUCCGGAAAUUCUACAUCAUUUCUGAUCAACAACAUAUAUUCAUCAGAAAUUCUAUAGUGCUCCCACUCACUUCUUUGGAAAUACAAGUUUCUCAUAAACUUUGUAUACACCCAAAAACUUUGAUCAUCUCAUCAAAGCAUAUAUUCCAACUCCGAGAUGCUUACUCCAGUCCUUAGAAGGAUUGCUGGUGCUUUGUAUACUUAUUAGCAUUUUAAGGAUUGACAAAACCUUCCGGUUGUAUCACAUACAACCUUUCCUCAAGAAAAUCGUCAAGGAAACAAUGUUUUGACAUCCUAUUUGCAAGAUUUCAAAAAUAAUGCAGUAAUCGCUAAUAUAAUUCCAACAGACUCUUAGCAUCGCUACGAGUGAGAAAGUCUCAUCGUAGUCAACUUCUUGAACUUGUCGGAAAACAUCUUAACGACAAGUCGAGCUUUCUUAAUGGUGAUACUUACCAUCAUUGUCUGUCUUCCUUUUAAAAUCCAUAUGUACCUAACAGCCUUACGACCAUCAAGUAGUUCUUCCAAAGUCUACACUUUGUUUUCAUAUAGGGAUCCUCUCUCGGAUUAUAUGGCCUCAAGCCAUUUUGGAAUCCAGGCCCACCAUCGCUUCUCCAUAGCUCGUAGGUUCAUUAUUGUCUAGCAACAUGACUUCCAAGACAGGAUUACGUACCACUCUGAAGUAGUGCGCAUCCUUGUCAUCCCACGAGGUUUGGUAGUGACUUGAUCUGAAGUUUCAUGAUCACUAUCAUAAGCUUCCACUUCAAUUGGUGUAGGUGCCACAGGAACAACUCCCUGUGCCCUGCCACACACUAGUUGAAGAGACGGUUCAAUAACCUCAUCAAGUCUCCACCAUCCUCCCACUCAAUUCUUUCGAGAGAAACUUUUCCUCGAGAAAGGACCCGAUUCUAGAAACAAUCCCUUAUUGCUUUCGGAUCUGAGACAGGAGGUAUACCCAACUGUUUUGGGUGUCCUAUGAAGAUGCAUUUAUCCGCUUUGGGUUCGAGCUUAUUAGCCUGAAACUUUUUCACAUAGGCGUCGCAGCCCCAAACUUUUAAGGAAUGACAGCUUAGGUUUCUCUAAACCAUAGUUCAUACGGUGUCAUCUCAUCGGAAUUACGUGGUGCCCUAUUUAAAGUGAAUGUGGUUGUCUCUAAUGCCUAACCCAUAAACUAUCAUGGUAAUUUGAUAAGAGACAUCAUGGUAUGCAUCAUAUCCAAUAGGGUGCAUUUAUGAUGUUCGGACACACCAUCACACUAUGGUGUUCUAGGUUGUAUUAGUUGUGAAACAAUUUCCACAAUGUCUUAAUUCUGUGCCAAACUCGUAAUUAAGAUAUUCAUCUCUAUGAUCAUAUCAUAGAUACUUUAUCCUCUUGUCACGACGAUCUUUUAACUUCACCCUGAAAUUACUUGAACCUUUCAAUAAUUCAGACUCGUGAUUCAUCAAGUAAAUAUACUCAACAUCUACUCAAAUCAUCUGUAAAGUAAGAACAUAGCGAUAUCCACUACACGCCUCAGCACUCAUUGGACUGCAUACAUCAAAAUGUAUUACUUCCAACAAGUUGAUUUCUAGUUCCAUUUUACUGAAAACGAGGCUUUCAGUCAUCUUGCCCAUGUGGUAUGAUUCGCAUGUCUCAAGUGAUUCAAAAUCAAGUGAGUCCAAACGGUCCAUUUGCAUGGAGUUUCUUCAUGCAUAUACACCCAUGGACAUGGUUCGCAUGUCUCAAACUUUUCAAAACGAGUGAGCCCAAAGAUCCAUCAACAUGGAGCUUCUUCAUGCGUUUUAUACUGAUAUGACUUACGUGGCAGUGCCACAAGUAGGUGGUACUAUCAUUACUAUCUUAUAUCUUUUGGCAUGAACAUGUGUAUCACUAUGAUCGAGAUUUAAUAAACCAUUCAUUUUAGGUGCAAGACCAUUGAAGGUAUUAUUCAAAUAAACAGAGUAACCAUUAUUCUCCUUAAAUGAAUAACCGUAUUGCGAUAGACAUAAUCCAAUCAUGUAUAUGCUCAAUGCAAACACCAAUCUCGAUGGUAGAGGGAGCGUGCGAUGCUUGAUCACAUCAAGCUUGGAAAAACUUCCAACACAUGUUGCCAGCUCACCUUUAGCUAGUCUCCGUUUACUCCGCAGCCUUUUAUUUCGAGUUUACUAACACUUAGCAACCGAACCGGUAUCUAAUACCAUGGUGCUACUGGGAGUACUAGUAAAGUACACAUUAACACAAUGUAUAUCCAAUAUACUUCUAUCGACUUUGCCAGCCUUCUCAUCUACCAAGUAUCUAGGGUAAUUCUGCUCCAGUGGUUGUUCCUUUUAUUACAGAAGCACUUAGUCUCGGGCUUGGGUUCAACCUUGGGUUUCUUCACUAGUGCAGCAGCUGAAUUGCCGUUUCACGAAGUAUCCCUUUUUGCCCUUGUCCUUCUUGAAACUAGUGGUUUCACCAACUAGCAAGAACGUUUCUUACCUACGCAAAAACCACAACGUGAUAUGCCAAUUGCUAUUUACCCUUCAUAAGGUCCCUUUUCAUCGAAUCCGAUCCGACUAAAGUGGGAGAGACAGACACCCGCUAGCCACCUUAUGCAACUAGUGCAUGUCAGUCGGUGGAACCAGCCUCACGUAAGAGUACGUGUAAGGUCGGUCCGGGCCGCUUCAUCCCACGAUGCCGUCGAAUCAAGAUAACACUAGUAACGGCAAGUAAAUUGACAAAAUCAACGCCCACAACUGCUUUGUGUUCUACUCGUGCAUACAAUCUACGCAAUGACCUAGCUCAUGAUGCCACUGUUGGGUAACGUAGCAGAAAUUUAAAAUUUUCCUACGUGUCACCAAGAUCUAUGUAUGGAGAAACCAGCAACGAGGGGAAGGAGAGUGCAUCUACAUACCCUUGUAGAUCGCUAAGCGGAAGCGUUCAAGUGAAGGGGGUUGAUGGAGUCGUACUCGUCGUGAUCCAAAUCACCGAAGAUCCUAGUGCCGAACGGACGGCACCUCCGUGUUCAACACACGUACAGCCCGGUGACGUCUCCCAUGCCUUGAUCCAGAAAGGAGAGAGGGAGAGGUUGAGGAAGACUCCGUCCAGCAGCAGCACGACGGCGUGGUGGUGGUGGAGGAGCGUGGCAAUCCUGCAGGGCUUCACCAAGCACCACGGGAGAGGAGAAGGACUUGGGAGAGGGGGAGGGCUGCGCCAGAACAUUGGUUCGGCAGCCCUCCGUUCCCCCACUAUAUAUAGGGCCAAGGGAGAGGGGGGCGCAGCCUUGGCCCUUCCUCCAAGGAAGGGUGCGGCCAGGGAGGAGUCCAUCCUCCCCAAGGCACCUAGGAGGUGCCUUCCCCUUUUAGGACUCUUCCUUUCCCUUAUCUCUUGGCGCAUGGGCCUCUUGGGGCUAGUGCCCUUGGCCCAUAUAGGCCAAGGCGCACACCCCUACAGCCCAUGUGGCCCCCCGGGGCAGGUGAACCCCCCGGACCCCUUUCGGCACUCCCGGUACAAUACCGAUAAUGCGCGAAACUUUUCCGGCGACCAAAACAAGACUUCCCAUAUAUAAAUCUUUACCUCCGGGCCAUUCUAGAACUCCUCGUGACGUCCGGGAUCUCAUCCGGGACUCCGAACAACAUUCGGGUUACUGCAUAUACAUAUCCCUACAACCCUAGCGUCACCGAACCUUAAGUGUGUAGACCCUACGGAUUCGGGAACCAUGCAGACAUGACCGAGAUAACUCUCCGGUCAAUAACCAACAGCGGGAUCUGGAUACCCGUGUUGGCUCCCACAUGUUCCACGAUGAUCUCAUUGGAUGAACCACGAUGUCAAGGACUUAAUCAAUCCCGUAUGCAAUUCCCUUUGUCCAUCGGUACGAUACUUGCCCGAGAUUCGAUCGUUGGUAUCCCGAUACCUUGUUCAAUCUCGUUACCGGCAAGUCUCUUUACUCGUUCCGUAACACAUCAUCCCGUGAUCAACUCCUUGGUCACAUUGUGCACAUUAUGAUGAUGUCCUACCGAGUGGGCCCAGAGAUACCUCUCCGUCACACGGAGUGACAAAUCCCAGUCUCGAUUCGCGCCAACCCAACAGACACUUUCGGAGAUACCUGUAGUGCACCUUUAUAGUCACCCAGUUACGUUGUGACGUUUGGCACACCCAAAGCACUCCUACGGUAUCCGGGAGUUGCACAAUCUCAUGGUCUAAGGAAAUGAUACUUGACAUUAGAAAAGCUUUAGCAUACGAACUACAUGAUCUUGUGCUAGGCUUAGGAUUGGGUCUUGUCCAUCACAUCAUUCUCCUAAUGAUGUGAUCCCGUUAUCAACGACAUCCAAUGUCCAUGGUCAGGAAACCGUAACCAUCUAUUGAUCAACGAGCUAGUCAACUAGAGGCUUACUAGGGACAUGGUAUUGUCUAUGUAUCCACACAUGUAUCUGAGUUUCCUAUCAAUACAAUUGCAGCAUGGAUAAUAAACGAUUAUCAUGAACAAGGAAAUAUAAUAAUAAUCAAUUUAUUAUUGCCUCUAGGGCAUAUUUCCAACACCGCCUUGACCUUCAUAUUAAUCCAUUGCGUCAUAAGGUGGCAAUUUUGAGCCUCCAUGAUAGCAUCCACGGGAUAGCUGGCAGGAGCCGUCAAGACAAGCUCCGGCUGAAGCAGCUCGGUGGAAGCCACGCUGCUUCUCCGCUGAGAUGGCGGGGUAGCUUCAGGGGAAGCUUCGGCAAGUCGUUUGCUGCGAUUUGCUUCUCGUUCCUCUAUCGCUUGUACCCUUGCGUGCAGCGCCUGCAGUUCGGUCUGCUGCACUUUUUUCCUCCUCUCGUGGCUUUUGUAACCGCCUGCAUCCGGAAACCCAGCCUUCCACAGAAUGGAGCCUGGCGUGCCUCGUGUCCGUCCAGGGUGCUCAGCAUUUCCGAGGGCCUUUGUGAGCUCGUCGUUCUCUCUGUCUGGAAGGAACGUCCCUUUCUGCGCUGCAGCGAUAUAGUACCGAAGCUUCUUCAAGGGUAUGUCAAGUUGCUCGUCCAUCCAAAUGCACUUCCCUGUUACAGGGUCCAAGGUUCCGCCAGCCCCGAAGAACCAAGUCCGGCAAUGGUCUGGCCAGUUCAUUGUCUCUGGUUCGAUCCCUUUUUCAACCAGAUCAUUCUCAGCCUUGGCCCACUUAGGCCAGGCUACGAGGUAGCCACCUGACCCCGUGCGAUGGUGAAGCUUCUUCUUCGCAACAUUUUUCUUGUUUGUCGCCGACAUCUUCUUACUCUUUUCCGAUGUCUUGUUAGCCACAAAUGCGGGCCAGUGAUCUCUGAUCUUCUCAUAUCUGCCCUUGAAUUCUGGUGUCUCUUUUUUAUCGACAAACCUAUUCAGCUCUUUCUUCCACCUCCUCAAUAGGUCUGCCAUCCUCUUAAGAGCAAAAGACUGGAUUAAUUGCUCUUUAACUGGCUUCUCCGGAUCAUCCUCUGGCGGUAGGGUGAAAUUUGACUUCAGCUCAGUCCAAAGAUCAUUUUUCUGCAUAUCAUUAACGUAAGACACAUCAGGGUCUUCUGUAGCCGGCUUUAACCAUUGCUGGAUGCUGAUCAGGAUCUUGUCCCUAACCAGAACCCCGCACUGAGCAACAAAUGCGUUCUUUGUUCGGACGGGUUCAAUCGGUUGGCCGUCGGGCGUGAUUGCUAUGAUCUCAAACCUUUCAUUCGAGCUCAACUUUUUCUUCGGGCCUCGUCUCUUUACCUCAGUUGUGCUCGAUCUGGAGGGCUAGAAAAAAGAACAAAGACUUAAUUAAUAUUUGUACAUACCAAAACAAUGAAUGCAUCAAUUAGCUAGUCAGCACAGGCUUAACUAAUAUAUAUACCUGGUCGGACUCGGUUCGGUCACCGGAGCCGUCAUCACGGUCUCCUUCUUGCACCGGCAUUGGGUCACCGGAGCCGUCCUCACGUUCUCCUUCUUGCACCGGCAUUAGGUCACCGGAGCCAGCUUCUUCACCCUCUCCUUCCAUACCAUCGGUGUCGUUGAGAAACAACGAGACGGCAUCACUUCCUUCUGCGAUUAUGUCCCUCAACAACGCUUCUUUUGCUUCGUCUCGGGCGGUGUCCAUAGUUUCUACAAAUAUUUACAACAUGGCAAUUAUUAUUCAAACAUGACAGAUGGAUAUAUUAGUGGCAAACGUAGAACUAGCUAGCUAAUCAUAGUAAGGAAUCAUCUAUAUUAAUUAGUGGCCUCGACGCUGCUUCUCUAGGGUUUGGGGUGGCCUCGACAACGCUUCAAGGGUUUGGGGUGGCCUCGAAAACGCUUCAAGGAGGGGGUAAUAUCGACCCCCCCCCCCNNNNNNNNNNNNNNNNNNNNNNNNNNNNNNNNNNNNNNNNNNNNNNNNNNNNNNNNNNNNNNNNNNNNNNNNNNNNNNNNNNNNNNNNNNNNNNNNNNNNNNNNNNNNNNNNNNNNNNNNNNNNNNNNNNNNNNNNNNNNNNNNNNNNNNNNNNNNNNNNNNNNNNNNNNNNNNNNNNNNNNNNNNNNNNNNNNNNNNNNNNNNNNNNNNNNNNNNNNNNNNNNNNNNNNNNNNNNNNNNNNNNNNNNNNNNNNNNNNNNNNNNNNNNNNNNNNNNNNNNNNNNNNNNNNNNNNNNNNNNNNNNNNNNNNNNNNNNNNNNNNNNNNNNNNNNNNNNNNNNNNNNNNNNNNNNNNNNNNNNNNNNNNNNNNNNNNNNNNNNNNNNNNNNNNNNNNNNNNNNNNNNNNNNNNNNNNNNNNNNNNNNNNNNNNNNNNNNNNNNNNNNNNNNNNNNNNNNNNNNNNNNNNNNNNNNNNNNNNNNNNNNNNNNNNNNNNNNNNNNNNNNNNNNNNNNNNNNNNNNNNNNNNNNNNNNNCUAGAGGAGAAGAAGAAAGGAAUAGCUAGAGGAGAAGAUCGAAGAAAAAAAAGAAGAAAAAAAGAGGAGAAGAAGAAAGGAAUAGUGGAGAGGAAGAGAAAAUAGAAUAUUCUAUUUUCUCUUCCUCUCCACUAUUCCUUUCUUCUUCUCCUCUUCUUUUUCUUCUUUUUUCUUCUUCUUAUUUAUUUCUCCUCUUCUUUUCCUCUCCUCUUCUUCUUUCUUUACUCUUCUUACUUUCUUCUUUCAUAUCCUUCUUUUUCUAAAAUUGUAACUUUUGCAUAUAUAAAACUUUUCUAAAAUUGUAACUUUCUAUAUAUGAACAAAAAACUUUCUAUGAACAAAAAACAUUUUUAACAUAUAUAUUUAGCAAAUUCUAGCCACAUACAUCACAUACACAUAUACAUUAUAGAAACAUACACAUAUACAUCACAUAUGAACAAAAAAAUAAACUAAUAAAAAUAAAAAAACAUAUUGCAACAUAUGAACAAAAACAUAUAGCCACAUACAUACACAUACAUUAUAUAUAUAUAUGAAAAAAAUGAAACUAAUAAAAAAAGUGGUGGCGCCGGCGGGGCAGAGGGGCAUGGCGGCAGCGGUGGCGCCGGCGGGGCAGGGCAGGGCAGGGGCGCGGGAGCGAGGCAAGGCAGGGGCGCGAGGCAGGUGCUCACAGAGGGGUGGCGGAGCAUGGCGGGCGGCGUCGGGGCGCGGGGACCGGCGCCGGCGUCGGGGCAGAUGGCGUCGAUCGAGGGCGGCGGAGACGGCAAAGUAGAGCAGCCUGACGGUGUCGGAGGCGGCGACGACGGUGAGGUGGACCAGCCUAACGGCGUCGGAGGCGGCGGCGACGACGAGGUGGAGCAGCCUGACGGCUCGGCGGCGACGGCGACGAGGCAGAGCAGCGGGCAUCGGGCGGAGAAGAAAGGGAUGGAUUUUGGAGAAACUGCUAAGUGCUGCUUAUAUAGCAAAGCCUUUAGUCCCUGUUCGUGGCACAAACUGGGACUAAUGCCCCCCUUUAGUCCCGGUUGGUGCCACCAACCGGGACCAAAGGCCUUUUUUCAGCAGCCCAAANNNNNNNNNNNNNNNNNNNNNNNNNNNNNNNNNNNNNNNNNNNNNNNNNNNNNNNNNNNNNNNNNNNNNNNNNNNNNNNNNNNNNNNNNNNNNNNNNNNNNNNNNNNNNNNNNNNNNNNNNNNNNNNNNNNNNNNNNNNNNNNNNNNNNNNNNNNNNNNNNNNNNNNNNNNNNNNNNNNNNNNNNNNNNNNNNNNNNNNNNNNNNNNNNNNNNNNNNNNNNNNNNNNNNNNNNNNNNNNNNNNNNNNNNNNNNNNNNNNNNNNNNNNNNNNNNNNNNNNNNNNNNNNNNNNNNNNNNNNNNNNNNNNNNNNNNNNNNNNNNNNNNNNNNNNNNNNNNNNNNNNNNNNNNNNNNNNNNNNNNNNNNNNNNNNNNNNNNNNNNNNNNNNNNNNNNNNNNNNNNNNNNNNNNNNNNNNNNNNNNNNNNNNNNNNNNNNNNNNNNNNNNNNNNNNNNNNNNNNNNNNNNNNNNNNNNNNNNNNNNNNNNNNNNNNNNNNNNNNNNNNNNNNNNNNNNNNNNNNNNNNNNNNNNNNNNNNNNNNNGGGACCAAUGCCCCCAUUUAGUCCCGGUUGGUGCCACCAACCGGUACCAAAGGCCUUGUGCUGCCCCGCGCCCAAAUGUUUAGUCACACCUCGCUAGUUGAGAGGGAGCCGCACCUGUUUAUAAGGUGCGGUGCGCCUUCCCUCUCGAGCUCCUCUCUAAAGCAGGCUUUCGGGCCUAACCGUGCAAUGUGUGCCUGUGGGCCUACUGAGCCUCCCGUGGGCCUGAAUCCUGGGCCAUGGUAGGGUUUCUAGUCGUAUUCAGGCUGUGGGUGCCCAGUAGGUGGCACUUUUUUUUGUUUUUUUUGUUUCUACUUACAACAAAAUACUUAUUGUUGCUAUAUUUAAUUUUUUUUCCAGUUUUUAUGUUUUGUUUUCUGCAUUAUUUAUUUUAUUUUGUUUCUACUUACAAAAAAAAUACUUAUUGUUGCUAUUUUUUAUUUUUUUCCAGUUUUUUUGUUUUGUUUUCUGUAUUAUUUAUUUUCUUUUGUUUCUUGCUUUAUUUUUUAAUUCUUUUUGCUUUUAGGUCAGCAAAAUUAUAAACUUUCUAUUAGUGCCAUUAGUUUUAAAAAAAUAUAAACUUUAUGUUAGUGCCAUUAGUUUUCAAAUUUGAAUAAUUAAAAUUUGAAUUCUUUGAAAUUUGUGUGAAUCACAAGUUUGUGAUUAACUUUACUAAAAAAUGAACAUAGAUGCACCUAUAGAGAAAAUUCGACCUAAAUUCAUAGUUUUCAAAUGAACUCUGAAAAAGUUGGCAUAGCAUACUAGUCUGUUACAAAUUUGGCAUGGUAUCAUCAUAAUAGUUGCGGGAGAAAGUCUUCACUUUUUCUUCGCUUAUGUCAUUUUCUUAUUGCGCCGUAACCAUGGAUAAUCUUCAGCGUUUAUCAGGAUGCUUGGGUCAGCCUUGACAUUGAAGGGAGGAAUUCCAUGAAACGUUUCAUAAUCUUCAGACAGGUCUGUCUUGCCCUCCACUCCCAGGAUGUCCCUUUUUCCUGAAAGAACUAUGUGGCGCUUUGGCUCAUCGUAUGAUGUAUUCGCUUCCUUAUCUUUUCUUUUUCUCGGUCUGGUAGACAUGUCCUUCACAUAGAUAACCCGUGCCACAUCAUUGGCUAGGACGAACGGUUCGUCAGUGUACCCAAGAUUUUUCAGAUCCACUAUUGUCAUUCCGUACUGUGGGUCUACAUGUACCCCGCCUCCUGACAGAUUGACCCAUUUGCACUUAAACAAAGGGACCUUAAAAUCUUGUCCGUAGUCAAGUUCCCAUAUGUCCACUAUGUAACCAUAAUAUGUGUCCUUUCCCUUCUCGGUUGUUGCAUCAAAGCGGACACCGCUGUUUUGGUUGGUGCUCUUUUGAUCUUGGUCAAUCGUGUAAAAUGUAUUCCCAUUUAUCUCGUAUCCUUUGUAAAUCAAUACAGUCAAAGAUGGUCCCCUGGACAACAAGUACAACUCAUCACAAACUGUGUUGUCACCUCUAAGACGUGCUUCCAACCAACUGCUGAAAGUCCUAAUGUGUUUACAUGUAAUCCACUCGUCGCACUGCUCCGGGUGUUUGGAGUGCAGACUGUUCUUGUGUUCAUCGACAUACGGGGUCACCAAGGUAGAGUUCUGUAGAACUGUGUAGUGUGCUUGAGAACAAGAAUGCCCGUCCCUGCAUAUUAUUGAGUCCGCUCCUAGCGUGCCUUUUCCAGUCAGUCUCCCCUCAUACCGCGAUUUAGGGAGACCUAUGUUCUUAAGGCCAGGAAUGAAGUCAACACAAAACCCGAUAACAUCCUCUGUUUGAUGGCCCAUGGAGAUGCUUCCUUCUGGCCUAGCGCGGUUACGGACAUAUUUCUUUAGGACUCCCAUGAACCUCUCAAAGGGGAACAUAUUGUGUAGAAAUAUGGGCCCCAGGAUGACAAUCUCGUCGACUAGAUGAACUAGGACGUGCGUCAUGAUAUUGAAGAAGGAUGGUGGGAACACCAGCUCGAAACUGACAAGACAUUGCGCCACAUCACUCCUUAGCCUUGGUACGAUUUCUGGAUCGAUCACCUUCUGAGAGAUUGCAUUGAGGAAUGCACAUAGCUUCACAAUGGCUAAUCGGACGUUUUCCGGUAAAAGCCCCCUCAAUGCAACCGGAAGCAGUUGCGUCAUAAUCACGUGGCAGUCAUGAGACUUUAGGUUCUGAAACUUUUUCUCUGGCAUAUUUAUUAUUCCCUUUAUAUUCGACGAGAAGCCAGUCGUGACCUUCAUACUAAGCAGGCAUUCAAAGAAGAUUUCUUUCUCUUCUUUCGUAAGAGCGUAGCUGGCAGGACCUUUAUACUGCUUCGGAGGCAUGUCGUCUUUUUCAUGCAAACGUUGCAGGUCCUCCCGUGCCUCCGGCGUAUCUUUUGUCUUCCCAUACACGCCCUAGAAGCCUAGCAGGUUCACGCAAAGGUUCUUCGUCACGUGCAUCACGUCGAUUGAGGAGCGGACCUCUAGGUCUUUCCAGUAGGGUAGGUCCCAAAAUAUAGAUUUCUUCUGGCCUAUCUUGUUAAGGCCAGGAAUGAAGUCAACACAAAACCCGAUGACAUCCUUUGUUUGAUGGCCCAUGGAGAUGCUUCCUUCUGGCCUAGCGCGGUUACGGACAUAUUUCUUUAGGACUCCCAUGAACCUCUCAAAGGGGAACAUAUUGUGUAGAAAUACGGGUCCCAAAAUGACAAUCUUGUCUACUAGAUGAACUAGGACACGCGUCAUGAUAUUGAAGAAGGAUGGUGGGAACACCAGCUCGAAACUGACAAGACAUUGCGCCACAUCACUCCUUAGCCUUGGUACGAUAUCUGAAUCGAUCACCUUUUGAGAGAUUGCAUUGAGUAAUGCACAUAGCUUCACAAUGGCUAAUCGGACGUUUUCCGGUAGAAGCCCCCUCAAUGCAACCGGAAGCAGUUGCGUCAUAAUCACGUGGUAGUCAUGAGACUUUAGGUUCUGGAACUUUUUCUCUGGGAUAUUUAUUAUUCCCUUAAUAUUCGACGAGAAGCCAGUCGGGACUUUCAUACUGAGCAGGCAUUCAAAGAAGAUUUCUUUCUCUUCUUUCAUAAGAGUGUAGCUGGCAGGACCUUCAUACUGCUUUGGAGGCAUUCCGUCUUUUUCGUGCAAACGUUGCAGGUCCUCCCGUGCCUCAGGUGUAUCUUUUGUCUUUCCAUACACGCCCAAGAAUCCUAGCAGGUUCACGCAAAGGUUCUUCAUCACGUGCAUCACGUCGAUUGAAGAGCGGACCUCUAGGUCUUUCCAGUAGGGUAGGUCCCAAAACAUAGAUUUCUUCUUCCACAUGGGCGUGUGUCCCUCAGCGUCAUUCGGGACAGCUAGUGUGCCGGGACCCUUUCCAAAGAUUACGUGUAAAUCAUUGACCAUAGCAAGUACGUGAUCACCGGUAUGCAUGGCGGGCUUCUUCCGGUGAUCUGCCUCGCCUUUGAAAUGCUUGCCUUUCUUUCGACAUUAAUGGUUGGUCGGAAGAAAUCGACGAUGGCCCAGGUACACAUUUUUCUUGCAUUUGUCCAGGUAUAUACUUUCAGUGUCAUCUAAACAGUGUGUUUAUGCGUGGUAUCCUUUGUUUGUCUGUCCUGAAAGGUUACUGAGAGCGGGCCAAUCGUUGAUGGUCACGAACAGCAACGCCUUUAGGAUAAAUCCCUCUUGUUUGUGCUCAUCCCACGUACGUACACCGUUUCCAUUCCACAGCUGUAAAAGUUCUUCAACUAAUGGCCUUAGGUACACAUCAAUGUCAUUGCCGGGUUGCUUAGGGCCUUGGAUGAGAACUGGCAUCAUAAUGAACUUCCGCUUCAUGCACAUCCAAGGAGGAAGGUUAUACAUACAUAGAGUCACAGGCCAGGUGCUGUGAUUGCUGCUCUUCUCCCCGAAAGGAUUAAUGCCAUCCGCGCUUAAAACAAACCAUAUGUUCCUUGGGUCCUUUGCAAACUCAUCCCAGUACUUUCUCACGAUUUUUCUCCACUGCGAUCCGUCAGUGGGUGCUCUCAACUUCCCGUCUUUCUUACGGUCCUCACUGUGCCAUCGCAUCGAAUCGACUUGGCAUGCUUUCCGUUUCUGAACAGACGUUUCAACCGUGGUAUUAUAGGAGCAUACCACAUCACCUUCGCAGGAACCCUCUUCCUGUGGGGCUCGCCGUGAACAUCACCAGGGUCAUCUCGUCUGAUCUUAUACCGCAAUGCACCGCAUACCGGGCAUGUGUUCAGAUCCUUGUAUGCACCGCGGUAUAGGAUGCAGUCAUUAGGGCAUGCAUGUAUCUUCUCCACCUCCAAUCCUAGAGGGCAUGCGACCUUCUUUGCUGCGUAUGUACUGUCUGGCAAUUCGUUAUCCUUUGGAAGCUUCUUCUUCAAUAUUUUUAGUAGCUUCUCAAAUCCUUUGUCAGGCACAACAUUCUCUGCCUUCCACUGCAGCAAUUCCAGUAUGGUACCGAGCUUUGUGUUGCCAUCUUCGCAAUUGGGGUACAACCCUUUUUUGUGGUCCCACUAGUAGAAAAGGGGGCAACGGUUCAGGCCGGGGCAGCCCAUUAGUCCCGGUUCAGACCAGAACCGGGACCAAUGGGGGCAUUGGUCCCGGUUUCGUGAGCCCAGGGGGCGGCCCGGGCCACGUGGGCCAUUGGUUCCGGUUCGUCUGGACCUUUUGGUCCCGGUUGGUGGGACGAACCGGGACCAAUGGGCCUGGCUCCUGGCCCACCACCAUUGGCCCCGGUUGGUGGUGUGAACCGGGACCAAAGGCUCCCCUUUGGUCCUGGUUCGUGCCACGAACCGGGACUAAAUGGUCGGUCCUCGUUGCGAUUCACAGUUUAGUCCCACCUCGCCAACCGAAGGGCGCCCACACUGGUUUUUAUAAGCCCGUCCCUCUCUGCCUUGUUGAGCUCCUCUCAAAAUGAAAAUAGAUGCCCCUAUACAGGAAAUUUGACCUAAAUUCAUAAUGAAUUUCUCUGAAAUUCGUAGAAAUUGAUAAUGAAUUUAGGUUGAAUUUUCUCUAUAGGCGCAUCUAUGUUCAUUUUUUUAGUAAAGUUAAUCACAAAUUUGAGAUUCACACAAAUUUCAAAGAAUUCAAAUUUUAACUAUUCUAAUUUGAAAGCUAAUGGCACUAACAGAAAGUUUAUAAUUUGAGAUCUGUUAGAGAUAGGUAUAAAAGAUAAGUAAACGUGUAAAAUAAGGUAAAGAUAAAUAAAUUGCAGCAAGGUAUUUUUAAGUUUUUUGAUUUUAUAAAUCCUAAAAUAAAAAAGAAAGCACUACAAAACAAAAAAGUGCCACCUACUAUUAAAUAGCAGGAAAAAGAUUGACUCAAAAAUCAAUUUUAACUAUUCUACAAAGUGUUUUCACACAAAUUUAGUAAACUAGUGAUUUAUAAACUAGUGAUUCACACAAAUUUUAAAAAAUUCAAAUUUAAACUAUUCAAAUUUUAACUAUUCAUAAACAAAUUUUGUGACCUAAAAUAAAAAAGAAAUCACUACAAAACAAAAAAAGUGCCACCUACUAUUAAAUAGCAGGAAAAAGAUUGACUCAAAAAUCAAUUUUAACUAUUCGACAAAGUUAAUCACAAACUUGAGAUUCACACAAAUUUCAAAGAAUUCAAAUUUUAACUAUUCAAAUUUUAAAACUAAUGGCACAAACAGAAAGUUUAUAAUUUUUGUGACCUAAAAGAAAAAAGAAAUCACUAAAAAACUAUAAGUAUUUAGUUCUAAGUAGAAAUGAAAAAAUAAAUAGGAAAAAAGAAAAAAAAAGAUGCCACCUACUGGGCCACCACGGCCUGAAUACGACUAGAAGCCCAUCCAUGGGCCAGGAUUCAGGCCCGCAGAAGGCCCAGCAGGCCCACCGGCAUAGCGGUGUGAGAUUAGGCCCAUAGGCCUGCAGUUCUGAGGAGUUCGAUGGAGAUGGCGAGACAGCGCUUAUAAGCAGGUGUGGCCGCUCCUCAGCUAGCAAGGUGGGACUAAACAUCCCACCGCACCGCGGCUUUGGCAGGUGCAGGAUAUUGGUCCCGGUUGGCGCAACGGACCGGGACCAAUGCAUACCUUUGGUGCCGGUUUGUGGCACCAACCGGGACCAAUGCCCCCUUUUAGUCCCGGUUGGUUCACCAACCGGGACCAAAGGCCUCCGCUUCCCGCCCUUUGGGCUGCCGAAAAGUGGCCUUUGGUCCCGGUUGGUGGCAUCAACCGGGACUAAAAGGGGGCAUUGGUCCCGGUUGUUGCCACGAACCAGGACCAAUGCUUCGUCUAUAUAAGUAGCACUUGUGAAAUUUUUCAUUCAGUUCGUUCUUCCCCGCCCGAUCGACGACGCUGCCAGGCUGCGCCUGAAGGAAAUAUGCCCUAGAGGCAAUAAUAAAGUUAUUAUUUAUUUCCUUAUAUCAUGAUAAAUGUUUAUUAUUCAUGCUAGAAUUGUAUUAACCGGAAACAUAAUACAUGUGUGAAUACAUAGACAAACAGAGUGUCACUAGUAUGCCUCUACUUGACUAGCUCGUUAAUCAAAGAUGGUUAUGUUUCCUAACCAUGGACAAAAGAGUUGUUAUUUGAUUAACGAGGUCACAUCAUUAGUUGAAUGAUCUGAUUGACAUGACCCAUUCCAUUAGCUUAGCACAUGAUCGUUUAGUAUGUUGCUAUUGCUUUCUUCAUGACUUAUACAUGUUCCUAUGACUAUGAGAUUAUGCAACUCCCGUUUGCCGGAGGAACACUUUGGGUGCUACCAAAUGUCACAACGUAACUGGGUGAUUAUAAAGGAGCAUUACAGGUGUCUCCAAAGGUAGAUGUUGGGUUGGCGUAUUUCGAGAUUAGGAUUUGUCACUCCGAUUGUCGGAGAGGUAUCUCUGGGCCCUCUCGGUAAUGCACAUCACUUAAGCCUUGCAAGCAUUACAACUAAUGAGUUAGUUGCGAGAUGAUGUAUUACGGAACGAGUAAAGAGACUUGCCGGUAACGAGAUUGAACUAGGUAUUGGAUACCGACGAUCGAAUCUCGAGCAAGUAACAUACCGAUGACAAAGGGAACAACGUAUGUUGUUAUGCGGUCUGACCGAUAAAUAUCUUCGUAGAAUAUGUAGGAGCCAAUAUGGGCAUCCAGGUCCCGCUAUUGGUUAUUGACCGGAGACGUGUCUCGGUCAUGUCUACAUUGUUCUCGAACCGUAGGGUCCGCACGCUUAAGGUUUCGAUGACAGUUAUAUUAUGAGUUUAUGAGUUUUGAUGUACCUAAGGAGUUCGGAGUCCCGGAUGAGAUCGGGGACAUGACAAGGAGUCUUGAAAUGGUGGAGACGUAAAGAUCGAUAUAUUGGACGACUAUAUUCGGACAUCGGAAAGGUUCCGAGUGAUUCGGGUAUUUUUCGGAGUACCGGGUAGUUACGGGAGAAGUAAUGGGCCUUGAUGGGCUUUAGUGGGAAGAGGAAAAGGCUGCUGCGCCCCCCCUCCCCUUUGGUCCGAAUUGGACUAGGGAAAAGGGGGCCGGCCACCUCUCCUUCUCCUCCUAUUCCUUCUCCCUUCCUCCCCUCUUGAUGGACUCCUACUAGGACUUGGAGUCCUAGUAGGACUCCCAUCCUGGCCGCACCUUAUGGCUUGGCCGGCCUCCUCCUCCUUCAUCCUUUAUAUACAGGGGCAGGGGGCACCCCAUAGACACACAAGUUGAUCAUUGUUGAUCGUUCCUUAGCCGUGUGCGGUGCCCCCUGCCACCAAAUUCCACCUCGAUCAUACCGUUGUAGUGCUUAGGCGAAGCCCUGCGUCGGUAGUACAUCAAGAUCGUCACCACGCCGUCGUGCUGACGGAACUCCUCCCCGAAGCUUUGCUGGAUCGGAGCCCGGGGAUCGUCAUCGAGCUGAACGUGUGCUAAGAACUCGGAGGUGCCGGAGUAACGGUGCUUGGAUCGGUCGGAUCGGGAAGAAGACGUACGACUACUUCCUCUACGUUGUGUCAACGCUUCCGUUGCGAUCUACAAGGGUACGUAGAUCAGACUCUCCCCCUCGUUGCUAUGCAUCACCAUGAUCUUGCGUGUGCGUAGGAAAUUUUUUGAAAUUACUACGUUCCCCAACAGUGGCAUCCGAGCCUAGGUUUUAUGGUUUGAUGUUAUAUGCACGAGUAGAACACAAGUGAGUUGUGGGCGAUAUAAGUCAUACUGCCUACCAGCAUGUCAUACUUUGGUUCGGCGGUAUUGUCGGAUGAAGCGGCCCGGACCGACAUUACGCGUACGCUUACGCGAGACCGGUUUCCCCGACGUGCUUUGCACAUAGGUGACUUGCGGGUGACUGUUUCUCCAACUUUAGUUGAACCGAGUGUGGCUACGCCCGGUCCUUGCGAAGGUUAAAACGGAGUCUAUUUGACAAACUAUCGUUGUGGUUUUGAUGCGUAGGUGAGAUUGGUUCUUGCUUAAGCCCGUAGCAGCCACGUAAAACUUGCAACAACAAAGUAGAGGACGUCUAACUUGUUUUUGCAGGGCAUGUUGUGAUAUGAUAUGGUCAAGACGUGAUGAGAUAUAAGUUGUUGUAUGAGAUGAUCAUGUUUUGUUGAAGUUAUCGGCAACUGGCAAAACCUUAUGGUUGUCUCUUUAUUGCAUAAGAUGCAAGCGCCAAAUAAUUGCUUUACUUUAUCGCUAUGCGAUAGCAAUAGUUGCAAGAGCAAUAGUUGGCGAGACGACCGUGUGACGACACAUUGAUAUAGAUCAAGAUGAUGGAGAUCAUGGUGUCAUGCCGGUGAUGACAGAGAUCAUGACAGUACUUUGGAGAUGGAGAUCAAAGAAGCAAGAUGAUGAUGGCCAUAUCAUGUCACAUAUUUUGAUUGCAUAUGAUGUUUAUCUUUUAUACAUCUUAUUUUUGCUUUGAUUGACGGUAGCAUUAUAAGAUGAUCUCUCACUAAAUUAUCAAGAAGUGUUCUCCCUGAGUAUGCACCGUUGUGAAAGUUCUUCGUGCUGAGACACCACGUGAUGAUCGGGUGUGAUAGGUUCUACGUUCAAAUACAACGGGUGCAAAACAGUUGCACACGCGGAAUACUCAGGUUAUACUUGACGAGCCAAGCAUAUACAGAUAUGGCCUCGGAACACAGAGACCGAAAGGUCGAGCGUGAAUCAUAUAGUAGAUAUGAUCAACAUAACGAUGUUCACCAUUGAAAACUACUCCAUCUCACGUGAUGAUCGGUUAUGGUUUAGUUGAUUUGGAUCACGUGAUCACUUAGAGGAUUAGAGGGAUAUCUAUCUAAGUGGGAAUUCUUAAGUAAUAUGAUUAAUUGAACUUAAAUUUAUCAUGAACUUAGUCCUGGUAGUAUUUUGCAAAUUAUGUUAUAGAUCAAUAGCUCGCGUUGUUGCUUCCCUGUGUUUAUUUUGAUAUGUUCCUAGAGAAAAUUAUGUUGAAAGAUGUUAGUAGCAAUGAUGCGGAUUGGAUCCGUGAUAUGAGGUUUAUCCUCAUUGCUGCACAGAAGAAUUAUGUCCUUGAUGCACCGCUAGGUGACAGACCUAUUGCAGGAGCAGAUGCAGACGUUAUGAACGUUUGGCUGGCUCAAUAUGAUGACUACUUGAUAGUUUAGUGCACCAUGCUUAAUGGCUUAGAAUCGGGACUUCAAAGACGUUUUGAACGUCAUGGACCAUAUGAGAUGUUCCAGGAGUUGAAGUUAAUAUUUCAAGCAAAUACCCGAGUUGAGAGAUAUGAAGUCUCCAACAAGUUCUAUAGCUAAAAGAUGGAGGAGAAUCGCUCAACUAGUGAGCAUGUGCUCAGAUUGUCUGGGUACUACAAUCGCUUGAAUCAAGUGGGAGUUAAUCUUCCAGAUAAGAUAGUGAUUGACAGAAUUCUCUAGUCACCAUCACCAAGUUAGUAGAACUUCGUGAUGAACUAUGAUAUGCAAGGGAUAACGGAAACGACUCCCAAGCUCUUCGUAAUGCGGAAAUUGACGAAGGUAGAAAUCAAGAAAAACAUCAAGUGUUGAUGGUAGACAAGACCACUAGUUUCAAGAAAAGGGCAGAGGGAAGAAGGGGAACUUCAAGAAGAACGGCAAGCGAGUUGCUGCUCAAGUGAAGAAGCCCAAGUCUGAUCCUAAGCCUGAGAAUAAGUGCUUCUACUGCAAAGGGACUGGUCACUGGAAGCGGAACAACCCCAAGUGAUUGGCGGAUAAGAAGGAUGGCAAAGUGAACAUAAGUAUAUUUGAUAUACAUGUUAUUGAUGUGUACUUUACUAGUGUUUAUAGCAACCCCUUAGUAUUUGAUGCUAGUUCAGUUGCUAAGAGUAGUAACUCGAAACGGGAGUUGCAGAAUGAACAGAGACUAGUUAAGGGUGAAGUGACGAUGUGUGUUGGAAGUGGUUCCAAGAUUGAUAUGAUCAUCAUCGCACACUCCCUAUACUUUCGGGAUUAGUGUUGAACCUAAAUAAGUGUUAUUUGGUGUUUGCAUUGAGCAUGAAUAUGAUUUGAUCAUGUUUAUUAUAAUACGGUUAUUCAUUUAAGUAAAAGAAUAAAUUGUUGUUCUGUUUACAUGAAUAAAACCUUAUAUGGUUAGACACCCAAUGGAAAUAGUUCAUUGGAUCUCGAUCUUAAUAAUACACAUAUUCAUAAUAUUGAAACCAAAAGAUGCGAAGUUAAUAAUGAUAGUGCAACUUAUUUGUGGCACUGCCGUUUAAGUCAUAUUGGUGUAAAGCGCAUGAAGAAACUCCAUGCUGAUGGGAUUUUGGAAUCACUUGAUUAUGAAUCACUUGAUGCUUGCAAACCAUGCCUUAUGGGAAAGAUGACUAAACGCCGUUCUCCGGAACAAUGAAGCAAGCAACAGAUUUGUUGAAAAUCAUACAUACUGAUGUAUGUGGUCCGAUGAAUAUUAAGGCUUGCAGCAGGUAUCAUUAUUUUCUGACCUUCACAGAUGAUUUGAGCAGAUAUGGGGAUAUCUACUUGAUGAAACAUAAGUCUGAAACAUUUGAACAGUUCAAAGAAUUUCAGAGUGAAGUGGAAAAACCGUCGUGACAAGAAAAUAAAAGUUUCUACGAUAUGAUCGCAGAGGUAAAAUGUUUGAGUUACGAGUUUGGUCUUCAGUUAAAACAAUGCGAAAUAGUUUCACUACUCACGCCACCUGGAACACCACAGCAUAAUGGUGUGUCCGAACGUCAUAACCGUACUUAUUGGAUAUAGUGCAAUCUAUGAUGUUUCUUACCGAUUUACCACUAUCGUUUUGGGGUUAUGCAUUAGAGACAGCUGCAUUCACGUUAAAUAGGGCACCAUCUAAAUCCGUUGAGACGACACCGUGUGAACUAUGGUUUGGCAAGAAACCUAAGCUGUCGUUUCUUAAAGUUUGGGGUUGCGAUGCUUAUAUGAAAAAGUUUCAUCCUGAUAAGCUCAAACUCAAAUCGGAGAAGUGCGUCUUCAUAGGAUAUCCAAAGGAAACUAUUGGAUACCUUCUAUCACAGAUCCAAAGGCAAGACUUUUGUUGCUAAAAUUCGGAAACUUUCUGGAGAAGGAGUUUCUCUCGAAAGAAGUGAGUGGGAGGAAAGUAGAACUUGACGAGGUAACUGUACCUGCUCCCUUAUUGGAAAGUAGUACAUCACAGAAAACUGUUUCUGUGACACCUACACCAGUUAGUGAGGAAGCUAAUGAUGAUGAUCAUGAAACUUCAGAACAAGAUACUACUGAACCUCGUAGAUCAACCAGAGUAAGAUCCGCGCCAGAGUGGUACGGUAAUCCUUUUCUGGAAGUCAUGCUACUAGAUCAUGAUGAACCUACGAACUAUGAGCAAGCGAUGAUGAGCCCAGAUUCCGCGAAAUGGUUUGAGGCCAUGAAAUCUGAGAUAUGAUCCAUGUAUGAGAACAAAGUAUGGACUUUGAUGGAUUUUCCCGAUGAUCGGCAAACCAUAGAAAAUAAAUGGAUCUUCAAGAGGAAGACGGAUGCUGAUAGUAGUGUUACUAUCUACAAAGCUAGAAUUGUCAAAAAAGGUUUUCGACAAGUUCAAGGUGUUGACUACGAUGAGUUUUUCUCACUCGUAUCUAUGCUUAAGUCUGUCUGAAUCAUGUUAGCAAUUGCCGCAUUUUAUGAAAUCUGGCAAAUGGAUAAACAAAACUGCAUUCCUUAAUGGAUUUAUUAAAGAAGAGUUGUAUGUGAUGCAACUAGAAGGUUUUGUCAAUCCGAAAGGUGCUAACAAAAUGUGCAAGCUCCAGCGAUCCAUCUGUGGACUGGUGCAAGCAUCUCGGAGUUGGAAUAUACGCUUUGAUAAGUUGAUCAAAGCAUAUAGUUUUAUACAGACUUGCGGUGAAGCCUGUAUUUACGAGAAAGUGAGUGGGAGCACUACAGCAUUUCUGAUAAGUAUAUGUGAAUGACAUAUUGUUGAUCGGAAAUAAUGUAGAAUUAUUCUGUAAAGCAUAAAAGGAGUGUUUGAAAGGAGUUUUUCAAAGAAAGACUUCGAUAAAGCUGCUUACAUAUUGAGCUUCAAGAUCUAUAGAGAUAGAUCAAGACGCUUGAUAAGUUUUUCAAUAAGUACAUACCUUGACAAGAUUUUGAAGUAGUUCAAAACGGAACAGUGAAAGAAAAAGUUUCUUGCCUGUGUUACAAGGUGUGAAGUUGAGUAAAGACUCAAAGCCCGACCACGGCAGAAGAUAGAAAGAGAAUGAAAGUCAUUCCCUAUGCCUCAUUCAUAGGUUCUAUAAAGUAUGCCAUGCUGUGUACCAGAUCUAUUGUAUACCCUGCACUGAUUUGGUAAGGGAGUACAAUAGUGAUCUAGGAGUAGAUCACUGGACAGCGGUCAGAAUUAUCCUUAGUGAAAUAAGGAUGUGUUUCUUGAUUAUGGAUGUGACAAAAAGGUUCGUCGUAAAGGGUUACGUCGAUGCAAGUUUUUUACACUGAUCCAGAUGAAUCUAAAGUCACAAUCUGGAUACAUAUUGAAAGUGGGAGCAAUUAGGUAGAGUAGCUCCGUGCAGAGCAUUAUAGACAAAGAAUUUUGCAAAAUACUUACGGAUCUGAAUGUGACAGACCUGUUGACUAAAAUUAUCUCACAAGCAAAAACAUGAUCACACCUUAGUACUCUUUGGGUGUUAAUCACAUAGAGAUGUGAACUAGAUUACUGACUCUAGUAAACCCUUUGAGUGUUGGUCACAUGACGAUGUGAACUAUUGGUGUUAAUCACAUGGUGAUGUGAACUAUUGCUGCUAAAUCACAAGGCGAUGUGAACUAGAUUAUUGACUCUAGUGCAAGUGGGAGACUGAAGGAAAUAUGCCCUAGAGGCAAUAAUAAAGUUAUUAUUUAUUUCCUUAUAUCAUGAUAAAUGUUUAUUAUUCAUGCUAGAAUUGUAUUAACCGGAAACAUAAUACAUGUGUGAAUACAUAGACAAACAGAGUGUCACUAGUAUGCCUCUACUUGACUAGCUCGUUAAUCAAAGAUGGUUAUGUUUCCUAACCAUGGACAAAAGAGUUGUUAUUUGAUUAACGAGGUCACAUCAUUAGUUGAAUGAUCUGAUUGACAUGACCCAUUCCAUUAGCUUAGCACACGAUCGUUUAGUAUGUUGCUAUUGCUUUCUUCAUGACUUAUACAUGUUCCUAUGACUAUGAGAUUAUGCAACUCCCGUUUGCCGGAGGAACACUUUGGGUGCUACCAAACGUCACAACGUAACUGGGUGAUUAUAAAGGAGCAUUACAGGUGUCUCCAAAGGUAGAUGUUGGGUUGGCGUAUUUCGAGAUUAGGAUUUGUCACUCCGAUUGUCGGAGAGGUAUCUCUGGGCCCUCUUGGUAAUGCACAUCACUUAAGCCUUGCAAGCAUUACAACUAAUGAGUUAGUUGCGAGAUGAUGUAUUACGGAACGAGUAAAGAGACUUGCCGGUAACGAGAUUGAACUAGGUAUUGGAUACCGACGAUCGAAUCUCGGGCAAGUAACAUACCGAUGACAAAGGGAACAACGUAUGUUGUUAUGCGGUCUGACCGAUAAAGAUCUUCGUAGAAUAUGUAGGAGCCAAUAUGGGCAUCCAGGUCCCGCUAUUGGUUAUUGACCGGAGACGUGUCUCGGUCAUGUCUACAUUGUUCUCGAACCGUAGGGUCCGCACGCUUAAGGUUUCGAUGACAGUUAUAUUAUGAGUUUAUGAGUUUUGAUGUACCGAAGGAGUUCGGAGUCCCGGAUGAGAUCGGGGACAUGACGAAGAGUCUCGAAAUUGUCGAGACGUAAAGAUCGAUAUAUUGGACGACUAUAUUCGGACAUCGGAAAGGUUCCGAGUGAUUCGGGUAUUUUUCGGAGUACCAGGUAGUUACGGGAGAAGUAAUGGGCCUUGAUGGGCUUUAGUGGGAAGAGGAAAAGGCUGCUGCGCCCCCUCCCUUUGGUCCGAAUUGGACUAGGGAAAAGGGGGCCGGCCACCUCUCCUUCUCCUCCUAUUCCUUCUCCCUUCCUCCCCUCUUGAUGGACUCCUACUAGGACUUGGAGUCCUAGUAGGACUCCCAUCCUGGCCGCACCUUAUGCCUUGGCCGGCCUCCUCCUCCUUCAUCCUUUAUAUACAGGGGCAGGGGGCACCCCAUAGACACACAAGUUGAUCAUUGUUGAUCGUUCCUUAGCCGUGUGCGGUGCCCCCUGCCACCAAAUUCCACCUCGAUCAUACCGUUGUAGUGCUUAGGCGAAGCCCUGCGUCGGUAGUACAUCAAGAUCGUCAUCACGCCGUCGUGCUGACGGAACUCCUCCCCGAAGCUUUGCUGGAUCGGAGCCCGGGGAUCGUCAUCGAGCUGAACGUGUGCUAAGAACUCGGAGGUGCCGGAGUAACGGUGCUUGGAUCGGUCGGACCGGGAAGAAGACGUACGACUACUUCCUCUACGUUAUGUCAACGCUUCCGUUGCGAUCUACAAGGGUACGUAGAUCAGACUCUCCCCCUCGUUGCUAUGCAUCACCAUGAUCUUGCGUGUGCGUAGGAAAUUUUUUGAAAUUACUAUGUUCCGCAACAGUGGCAUCCGAGCCUAGGUUUUAUGGUUUGAUGUUAUAUGCACGAGUAGAACACAAGUGAGUUAUGGGCGAUAUAAGUCAUACUGCCUACCAGCAUGUCAUACUUUGGUUCGGCGGUAUUGUCGGAUGAAGCGGCCCGGACCGACAUUACGCGUACGCUUACGCGAGACCGGUUUCCCCGACGUGCUUUGCACAUAGGUGACUUGCGGGUGACUGUUUCUCCAACUUUAGUUGAACCGAGUGUGGCUACGCCCGGUCCUUGCGAAGGUUAAAACGGAGUCUAUUUGACAAACUAUCGUUGUGGUUUUGAUGCGUAGGUGAGAUUGGUUCUUGCUUAAGCCCGUAGCAGCCACGUAAAACUUGUAACAACAAAGUAGAGGACGUCUAACUUGUUUUUGCAGGGCAUGUUGUGAUAUGAUAUGGUCAAGACGUAAUGAGAUAUAAGUUGUUGUAUGAGAUGAUCAUGUUUUGUUGAAGUUAUCGGCAACUGGCAAAACCUUAUGGUUGUCUCUUUAUUGCAUAAGAUGCAAGCGCCAAAUAAUUGCUUUACUUUAUCGCUAUGCGAUAGCAAUAGUUGCAAGAGCAAUAGUUGGCGAGACGACCGUGUGACGACACAUUGAUAUAGAUCAAGAUGAUGGAGAUCAUGGUGUCAUGCCGGUGAUGACAGAGAUCAUGACAGUACUUUGGAGAUGGAGAUCAAAGAAGCAAGAUGAUGAUGGCCAUAUCAUGUCACAUAUUUUGAUUGCAUAUGAUGUUUGUCUUUUAUACAUCUUAUUUUUGCUUUGAUUGACGGUAGCAUUAUAAGAUGAUCUCUCACUAAAUUAUCAAGAAGUGUUCUCCCUGAGUAUGCACCGUUGUGAAAGUUCUUCGUGCUGAGACACCACGUGAUGAUCGGGUGUGAUAGGUUCUACGUUCAAAUACAACGGGUGCAAACAGUUGCACACGCGGAAUACUCAGGUUAUACUUGACGAACCAAGCAUAUACAGAUAUGGCCUCGGAACACACAGACCGAAAGGUCGAGCAUGAAUCAUAUAGUAGAUAUGAUCAACAUAACGAUGUUCACCAUUGAAAACUACUCCAUCUCACGCAUUGCCGCGCGCCGCCGCUGCCGCCCCGGCCUGCUCUCUCUGUUUUUUUCAUAUAUAUUUUGGAUGAUCCACCGCCCCGACAUGUAUAUAUGGAUGUUGUAUGUAUAUGUAUAUAUGUGCAGAUGUAUGUAUGAUCCAUUGAUAUGUAUGAAUUGAUGUAUGAUUUUUUUUGUUCAUAGAAUUAUUAUUUUCAAUUUAUGUAUAUAUAUGUUCAUAUGUAUAUAUGUGCAUAUUCAGAAGAAAAAAAUUGUGUUGCAAAAGUUACAUUUAAGGUUAGUUGAUUUAAUGCACUUGAGGUUAUUAGUUCUACUGUUAGUGCAUUUUAGGAUAGUACAUUCUAGGUUAGUGCUUUGAACUAGUUUAAUUAGUAGUUGAAUUAGUUGAUUUAAUAAGUACUACUUUAUUUUACUAUAUAUACAAGUAGUUUAUUUUUAGUUAGUACUACUUUAUUUUAUUUAUAGUAAUUAACUACUUAUAUUAGUAGUAGUUGAACUGGUUGAUUUAAGAAAACUAGUUUAUUUACUAUAUAUAGAAAUAGUUUAUUUUUAGCAAGAAAAUUAAUAGAACUAGUUUAUUUUUUUAGUUAAAGCAAUUAUUCCCGCAUCGACGUGGAUGAUGCCUAUCCCGCAUCCUCGUCGUCGAGUCGGCGGAGGACAACACCUGCUUGACCAGAUGGGCCAUGUCCGGGACUGGGCUCCGCCGGGGUGGUACUGGGAGGCGCUACCUUCCGGGGGGCGUAGCUUGGUGAGGAGCCAGCCCGUCGUUGACCCGAUCCUUGUUUGGUGGCGGUCGCAUGGGCCAGUGACGGUGCCGAGGCUUCCGGACACCGCGGAGGUGGUACGUCACCGUGUCAGCGAGGAGGACGAGCACGUCCGUCGCUACAUGGUUGCGUUGGAGGGCAGGUUCGAGAAUACCUAGCAGGUUCUUCAGGCAUCUCAAUGGAGCUAUGAUCCUGUGAUGGUUCCUUCCCUUUGGGUGUCCACCGCCCGCGCCGGUAUCCGUCGGGCGCUACGGUUCUAGCUGUACUGGCGAUAUGUAUGAUAUAUAGUAUUCGGCGUGUAUUAGUGAUAAUAUUCGAUGUACGGACACAUGGAGAUGAUGUAGUUUUUCUUAUAAUUGAAGGCAUCCUAAUUUGAAUACUACUUUAUUUUGCGAUUUGAUUUUUCUGAUUGAAUGCUCAAAUUGGAGAGCACUAUGCAAGGCAUAUGCAUAUGAUUAGUUGAAUAAUAAUGAUCUAAUUUAGUCUUUGAAUUAUGAACGUAUAGGAAAUGUCAUCAUCGGACGACGAAAGUCUCCCGGGGGAGUGUGACUGGUGCCACGACGAUCGAGGUGAGUGCGACAGGCCUCACCUGGACGAUGGUCGGCGCUUCAGCAUUAAGCUCGAGGAGACCUUCGAAGUUGAAACGGUACGCAACGAUGACAAGUGUUUUUUUUCAUAAUUAAGCAUGACUUCAACUAUUUCAACGUGUAAUUUUCAUCUUUUACAAUUCGAGUAUAGUUUAUCCCAUGCCAUGCAAGACGCUAUGUCUUGGAGAGGAUGGAUUUUGAAGACCAUGAAAAUUUUGAAACGAAGAAAAUUCACCUAAGGACCCAUCAUGAUGUGGAUUUUGAAGUAAAGUUGUAUAAUGCUGAGAGCGUAACCCAUUUUGGUUGCAAAAAUUGACAAGCAUUUUGCAAAUUGUAUGGUUUUGAUGAGGGUAUGCUUGUCACCAUGGAUCUUGGUGAUCCUGAAAUCGAGCAAGACAAUAUGGACAUUUGGGUCCUUGUUGAUACUCCUCCAGUUCUACCGCUAUGUGAGUUUCUCAAACAUAGUUAAUUAUUAACUAAUUUAUAUUGUUCAUUUCAAAAUAGUUGACAGCUUAUUUCCAUUGACAACUUAUUUUGAAGUAUCAAAGAAUGUGCAGAAGAUGGUAGAUAGAACUUACUACACCGAUGACGCUGAGUUAACUUACAAGGAGAAAACUCAUCUGGUUGGAUUUUGUAAUGAUCUUGAGAAUUACAAUAUCUACAAUCGAACUCCUCAACAUUAUGGUCAAUACGUGCCACCAGUGCACGUGUUGAACUACGGUAACUACCAUGGAGAUACCCUGGCAAGUUUUUUUACUAUUACGACAUCCGUGCAUCUUUUUGCAUACUUCUAAAACUAGUACAUCAUUGCUAACUAUGAAGUUAUUACUAUGUUUUUCAACAGAGAAUCCCAGAGGAUUGUGUGCCUCAUUUGAUGUAUCAAAACAGCGGCAGCCUUCGUGUUUUGAACAUAUAUCCAGGUCAUCCUACGAAUCUCAACUGUCCAUACCGGAUUUCUAAAAGAAGUGGAGACAUGAUAAUCAAAGGAUGGAAAAAAUGUAUGGACAAUCGUAAGGAGCUUCUUGGAAGCAAAAGGAAGCGAGGCGCAAGAAUUGGAGACAGGAUGAUCUCCAUUCUUCAUAAUGGAGAGUCAGGGUCUAUAUUGUUUUAUGCUAUUUUACCUUAAGUGUGUUCAGGUCCUACCUGAUACUGAUGAUCAUGUGCUAAGAACAAUUAUGUAGGGUUGGGUUCGAUGACUAUGAGGAUGAUGAUCGUAUGACUUAUUAUUAAUAACGAGUAGAAGUUGUAUGAUGAUGCUUGAUUAAUUAGUAGGACUUGUUAUUAUAUAUGAUGAUGUAUGAUGCGAGCAUGCAUGAGUUAUUAUAUAUAUAUAUCUGCGGGUGAAAUGAACAUAGCAGUAGCGUAGGUAAACCAAGGACUACAUAUAAGAGAGGACACUUCUCUCUAUUAGCUAGCUAAUAACAACCUAAAAAUAACCCCCUAAACCCCUAAAACAGCCACUUUUUUUUAGAAAAAAAGAAAAACCUCAGCUCCAGCCAGCUGCUGACGCGUGGAAGCCUUUUCGUCCCGGUUUAUGUCAUCAACCGGGACCAAAGGCCCCCCUGCCUGGGCUGCCGGCAGCGGCCACAUGGAGGCCCAUCUGUCCCGGUUCUGGUUUGAACCGGGACUAAAGGGUGAGGGUAUUAGUAACGACCCUUUAGUCCCGGUUCAGGAACCGGGACUAAAGGCCCUUAUGAACCGGGACAAAAGGUCGGUUUUCUACUAGUGUCCUCUAACAUGCGAUCGAACUUCAGCUUCUCCUUUUGACUUUCGCAUUGCGUCCUUGCAUCGACAAUGACCCGGCGGAGAUCAUCAUCAUCGGGCACAUCGUCUGGUUCCUCUUGAUCUUCAGCAGCUUCACCCGUUGCAGCAUCAUUGGGCACAUCGUCUGGUUCCUCUUGAUCUUCACCAGCUCCCCCCAUUGCAGCAUCACGGUAUUCAGGGGGCACAUAGUUGUCAUCGUACUCUUCUUCUUCGUCGUCUUCCAUCAUAACCCCUAUUUCUCCAUGCCUCGUCCAAACAUUAUAGUGUGGCAUGAAACCCUUGUAAAGUAGGUGGGUGUGAAGGAUUUUCCGAUCAGAGUAAGACUUCGUAUUCCCACAAUUAGGGCAUGGACAACACAUAAAACCAUUCUGCUUGUUUGCCUCAGCCGCAUCGAGAAACUCAUGCACGCCCUUAAUGUACUUAGAGGUGUGUCUGUCACCGUACAUCCAUUGUCGGUUCAUCUGCGUGCAUUAUAUAUAAUUAAGUGUCCAAAUUAAUAGAAGUUCAUCAUGACAUGCAUUAAAAGCAAAGUACAUACAUAGUUCUCAUCUAACAACAUAUAGCUGUCCAGAGCAUCUAAUUAAUUAAACCAUACAUUGAAACUAUGUAAAACAUUUUAAUGCGAAAACAAAGGCGGUCAUAAUCGCAACCAAGGUAACAAUUGAUCCAACGGCAUAAUGAUACCAAGCCUCGGUAUGAAUGGCAUAUUUUCUAUUCUUUCUAAUCUUCAAGCGCAUUGCAUCCAUCUUGAUCUUGUGAUCAUCGACGACAUCCGCAACAUGCAACUCCAAUAUCAUCUUCUCCUCCUCAAUUUUUUUUAUUUUUUCCUUCAAGGAAUUGUUUUCUUCUUCAACUAAAUUUAACCUCUCGACAAUAGGGUCGGUUGGAAUUUCCGGUUCACAUACAUCCUAGAUAAAUAAAAUCUAUGUCACGUUGGUCCGCAUAAUUUUCAUAAAAAUAAAUGAACCAAUAGUUAUAAAGAUUAAUAUAUAUACCACAUCCGAAUCAUAGACAGGACGAGGGCCGACGGGGGCGGAUACCAAAACCAUCGCACUAUAUAAGAUGCAAUAAUAAAAGUAAGAAAAUUAUACAAGUAUCUAUCUAAACAUACAAGUAAGAAUAUUUUUUCUUUCAGAAAGAAGAUAAGAACAAGAGGCUCACCAUGGUGGUGUCGGUGAUGAGAUCGACGCAGGUGAUCGACGGCGGUGAAGACGGGGGUGGGGCGUGACGGACCACUAAAUCUAGACAAAUCUCGAGGAAAAUGGAGCUUUGAGGUCGAGCUUCAAAAGGAGAAAGCUUAACUAGUGUGGCUCGGGCAUUUCAUCGAACACCUCAUGUGCAUAGGAGGUGAGCUAGAGCACCACAAACCCCUCCCCUCGCCGGCCAGAGAAAAACAAAGCAUUGGAGUGCUCUUCUCGCGGGCGAGGGUAUAUAUAUGCACAUCAUUGCUCCCGGUUGGUGGCCUGUGAAGGAAAUAUGCCCUAGAGGCAAUAAUAAAGUUAUUAUUUAUUUCCUUAUAUCAUGAUAAAUGUUUAUUAUUCAUGCUAGAAUUGUAUUAACCGGAAACAUAAUACAUGUGUGAAUACAUAGACCAACAGAGUGUCACUAGUAUGCCUCUACUUGACUAGCUCGUUAAUCAAAGAUGGUUAUGUUUCCUAACCAUGAACAAAGAGUUGUUAUUUGAUUAACGAGGUCACAUCAUUAGUUGAAUGAUUCUAUUGACAUGACCCAUUCCAUUAGCUUAGCACCCGAUCGUUUAGUAUGUUGCUAUUGCUUUCUUCAUGACUUAUACAUGUUCCUAUAACUAUGAGAUUAUGCAAUUCCCGUUUACCGGAGGAACACUUUGGUAGAUGUUGGGUUGGCGUAUUUCGAGAUUAGGGUUUGUCACUCCGAUUGUCGGAGAGGUAUCUCUGGGCCCUCUCGGUAAUAUACAUCACAUAAGCCUUGCAAGCAUAAUAACUAAGAUGUUAGUUAUGAGAUGAUGUAUUACGGAACGAGUAAAGAGACUUGCCAGUAACGAGAUUGAACUAGGUAUUGGAUACCGACGAUCGAAUCUCGAGCAAGUAACAUACCGAUGACAAAGGGAACAACGUAUGUUGUUAUGCGGUCUGACCGAUAAAGAUCUUCGUAGAAUAUGUAGGAGCCAAUAUGGGCAUCCAGGUCCCGCUAUUGGUUAUUGACCGGAGACAUGUCUCGGUCAUGUCUACAUUGUUCUCGAACAGUAGGGUCCGCACGCUUAACGUUACGAUGACAGUUAUUAUGAGUUUAUGCAUUUUGAUGUACCGAAGGUUGUUCGGAGUCCCGGAUGAGAUCACGGACAUGACGAGGAGUCUCGAAAUGGUCGAGACGUAAAGAUUGAUAUAUUGGAAGCCUAUGUUUGGACAUAGGAAGUGUUCCGGGUGAAAUCGGGAUUUUACCGGAAUACCGGGAGGGUUACCGGAACCCCCCGGGAGACUAAUGGGCCUAUUGGGACUUAGUGGAAAAGAGAAAAGGGGCAGCCCACAGGUGGCCGCGCCCCCCCCCCCCUUCCCCAAGUCCUAGUAGGACUAGGAGAAGGGGCCGGCCCCCCUCUCUCUCCUUUCCCCCNNNNNNNNNNNNNNNNNNNNNNNNNNNNNNNNNNNNNNNNNNNNNNNNNNNNNNNNNNNNNNNNNNNNNNNNNNNNNNNNNNNNNNNNNNNNNNNNNNNNNNNNNNNNNNNNNNNNNNNNNNNNNNNNNNNNNNNNNNNNNNNNNNNNNNNNNNNNNNNNNNNNNNNNNNNNNNNNNNNNNNNNNNNNNNNNNNNNCCCCUUGAGAGUCCUAGUUGGAAUAGGAUUGGAGGGGGGAGUCCUACUCUCGGUAGGAGUAGGACUCCCCCUGCGCCUCUCUCUCUCUGGCCGGCCAGCCCCCCUCCCUCCAACCUUUAUAUACGGGGGCAGGGGACACCCCAAGACACACAAGUUGAUCCUUGAGAUCAUUCCUUAGCCGUGUGCGGUGCCCCCUGCCACCAAAUUCCACCUCGAUCAUACCGUUACAGUGCUUAGGCGAAGCCCUGCGUCGGUAGUACAUCAAGAUUGUCACCACGCCGUCGUGCUGACGGAACUCUUCCUCGACGCUUUGCUGGAUCGGAGCCCGAGGAUCGUCAUCGAGCUGAACGUGUGCUAAGAACUCGGAGGUGCCGGAGUAACGGUGCUUGGAUCGGUCGGAUCGGGAAGAAGACGUACGACUACUUCCUCUACGUUGUGUGAUCGCUUCCGCAGUCGGUCUGCGUUGGUACGUAGACAACACUCUCCCCUCUCGUUGCUGUGCAUCACCAUGAUCUUGCGUGUGCGUAGGAAAAUUUUCGAAAUUACUGCAUUCCCCAACAGCCUGAACCGGGACCAAAGGCUCCCCUUUGGUCCCGGUUCAGGCCACCAACCGGAACCAAUGGUGGUGGGCCAGGAGCCAGGCCCAUUGGUCCCGGUUCGUCCCACCAACCGGGACCAAAAGGUCCAGAUGAAUCGGGACCAAUGGCCCACGUGGCCUGGCUGGCCCCCUGGGCUCACGAACCGGAUCCAAUGCCCCCAUUGGUCCCGGUUCUGGACUAAACCGGGACUAAUGGGCUGACCCGGCCUGAACCAUUGCCCCCUUUUCUACUAGUGCUCACGUCUCUGGUCACCACAAAUUUGACCAGCACCGUAGCUUGCUCCGUCGCCAUGACCUCGCUCAUCGGCAUAUCGAUGGGGAUUAUGCUCUCGCCCACCUCCUCAAUCAACGGGAAUCUGGUGGGGUAGGAGCACGCAGCAAAAUCCAAGUUAAAAUGGAACCAUAGGCAGGCAUAGACGAAUCUAGCUGAAAAUCAGGUACCAAUGGUGCGUUACCUUCGGAUGGAUUGCAAUGGAACCCCAUCGCCGAUGUUGUUGCCUUCUUCUCCCCAACCGGCCACCGUCCUUAUCAAACUGCCCCGUCGGGACGGAAAGUCCAGAUCCUGUUCCGCGAUCCUCUUUCAACGAAACGGACUUGGACCACGGAUCAGGAACAGUACGCGGACGGCCAUAACGAUUCUCACCAUGUCCGUCGGCCGUUUUCCUAGCCCACAUGCCCAUACGUACGCCACAUAUUUACCUCUUUACUGGUAGCCCGUAUUGCGCCAGAAUUCUUUAUGGCACAUAUCCAAACACGCCCAACAGCGGCCCAGAUAAAGAGAGCAUCUGAGCUCCCUUGUUGUACUCCUCCUCCUCACACGUGACAAGCGAUAUAAGGGAGCGACUAGUUGCUGGGUACCCUUUGCGAGGGAUACCUAGCAGAUAGUACGGGGAGCCCCCAGCGGGACACAUGGUGCGAACCAGCGCCACCACGUGUUGCGUACUAGUGCAUCCCACGGGAACCCAAUUUUAUUCUAUUUUUAGACGUGUUUUUUGCAUUUUUAUUUUUGGUUUUUAGAUUUUUCUUUUUUCUAUUUUUAAAAUUAAUAUCAUUUUUCUUGCAUGAAGCACACCAUAUGAAAAAAAGCAUAAUUAUGCUUUUCGGGAAGUGAAAAUCACAUUUUGUUUCGGCAUGAAGCGCAUUUAUGUUUUCCAUAGUUGUGCUUAUUGAAACGUAAAAAGCAUAGAUGUGCUUUCGCAAGGAGCACAAUUACACUUCACGUGAAGCACAAUUGUGCUUCUUGAAAGUGAAAAGCACACAUGUGCUUCUAAAAGUGAAAAAAAAAACACAGACAUGCUUUCAAAAAGUGAAAAAGCACAUGCGUGUUUUCAAAAAAGUGAAAAGCACAUAUAUGUCUCGGUUUUGUUUUUCUGUUUCAGUUUUUUCUUUUUUUUUGCUUUUUUUCUUUAGUUCUUGUUUUUUUUGAAAAAAAAGUCAUUCAAACCAAUUGACGUGGGAUCUUGUUUGAAAGAUCUCAACGCAAGAAAUACAAUGGUAAAAAUGACACAUGAUUUGAAAGCAUGGUUCAAGAGAUAAAAUGUUUUGAAAAAUGGAUGAACAUAAAAAGCAUAAAACCCUAUGUUGCGACAACACAUGAGCAGUGUGGCAAUUGUCACCACUUUGAAAAGGUGAAAGUCCUUUACGAAGGUUACCCGUUAGCUAGUGAUUUCAACGGUAUACAAGUUCUCCAAGCCUGGGUCAUGAAUUCUUUCUUAAUGUUUUACAUGGCCCGUGGUACACCAGCCUAACAGAGCCUGUCCCAAUCAUGGUUGACACAUCUCCUACACUCAUGCAUGGCUACACUGGCUGUCUAGCACGCCCAGACGCCCAUGUCGCCUCUUUGUGACCUAGUUUUUGACUUGUUUUGCUGUGGCGUUUAUUUGCACUGCUCGCCAACUUUGACAACCAGUGUAUGUGAUAUGCUGUUUCGUUCCCUAUAUUUGCACUGGUGGCGAACUUUGAUGCCUAGUGGAUGUAAUAUGUGUAAUAGCCAUGAUAGCCUAGCAUAAGUUGUUUGCUUAUUUAUUUCCCUGUUAUCUUGUUUAUUUGUUUGCUUGUAGUCAAUGCAGUUCUUUUUUCGCGGUUUGCUAGUGGCCACAAUAACCUAUUUUUUAACUAGGCCACAAUAACCAUGGGCUACAUAUUUACUGUAGUGACCAUGGGCCUUCUACGGGACGUAUGAUCGAUUGGCCAAACACGGGCCAAUAACGGACCGCAUUAUGGGUCGUAAAUGGGCUAGAGUUGGAAUCGUCCGUUCAUGGACCGACCAUAGCGGGCCGUCGUUAAUCGACCGUAUUUGAUGACGCUAUGAAAACGGCCCAGUGGAUUAACGGGCCACAAACGGGCCGACUGUAACCACAGGCUGAAUUUGACCCACAAGCAGAAAAGGCUAGUAACGGGCCAUAAGUAACCGAAUGCUGGAAAAGAGCCCAAGAAUAAAUGGGCCCUGAGAAGGCCGAAAGAUAACACGGGCUGGAAACGGCCCAAUAAAAUAACGGGUCAUUAAUGGGUAUAAAGCGAUACACUAUUCAUUACGGGCCAGUUUCACCAUGGGUCGUUAAUGGGCCAAGAGUUACAAAGGGCCUCAUAUGGGCCGGAAGACGUCAUGGGCCAUACAUGGGCCAGAAGUUACAACGGGCUGGAAUCAUAUUGGACGGCCCAGAUGACGCUACUGGGCCUAAUUCGGAUAGGCCGUAACGGGCCGUGAGUUAGCGGGUUUUGAAUGGGCUAUAUGCGAGCCGACCCGCUACCUUUUGACCAAGUCAAACGUGUCGACCUUUUCACAGGAAUGGGCCUCUGUUGGCCUGUGCCACGUGUCGACAUAUCAUAAGCACCUUCGGUCCAAUGAGUGGAUAACAUCUGUCCCAACUGUGAGCCGACACGUGGUUCCUUUGGCCAUUGAGAAUUUUACUUGUGGAAAAUCUGGUGGAUAUCAUGUGUCGAUUACCCUUGACGAAAGCAAUUCUAUGAUGCGCGAUUUAUCAUCAUGGAAGUGGACACUUCCAUGAUGAUAAUUUUGGUAAUGUCAUGAAACACUUCUACGAUAGCACAGGUAUGACUAUCUUGACUCUAUCAUAAAAUCGUCAUGGAUGUACAUGUAUGACAGAAAACGUGACCUACUGUGACAAACACGUAUCAUCACGGAAGUGUAUUUUUUUGUAGUGGGGGAUACAGUCAUUAGGGCAUGCAUGUAUCUUCUGCACAUCCAAUCCUAGAGGGCAUAGAAACUUCUUUGCUUCGUACGUAUAGUCGGGCAAUUCGUUAUCCUUUGGAAGCUUCUUCUUCAUUAUUUUCAGUAGCUUCCCAAAUUCGUUGUCAGAUACAUCAUUAUCUGCCUUCCACUGCAGCAAUUCCAGUGUGGUACCAAGAUUUGUGUUGUCAUCUUUGCAAUUUGAGUACAACCCUUUUUUGUGAUCCUCUAACAUGCGAUCGAACUUCAACUUCUCCCUUUCACCUUGUCAUUGUCUCUUUGCAUCAACAAUGACCCGGUGAAGAUCGUCAUCCGACACAUCAUCUUGUUCCACUUGAUCUUCAGCUUCCCUCGUUGCAGUAUCACCGCAUUCAGGGGAUAGUUGUCAUCAUCCUCUUCUUCUUCGUUGUCUUUCAUAAUAACCCCUCUUUCUCCAUGCUUGGUCCAAACAUUAUAGUGUGGCAUGAAACCGUACUCAAGCAGGUGGAUGUGAAGCGUUUUCAAGUUAGAGUAAUCCUUCGUAUUCUCACAGACAGGCAUGGACAAGACAUAAAACCAUUCUGCUUGUUUGCCUCAGCCACUUUAAGAAAUUUAUGCAGGCCCUCAAUGUACUCGGAGGUGCAUCGGUCACUGUACAUCCAUUGCCGGUUCAUCUGCGUGCAUUAUAUAAUUAAGUGUAUCAAAAACCAUUACAAAACAUCAUAAAUAGAGAAGUGACCAAAUUAAUACAAGUUCAUCAUCACAUUAAAACCAAAAUACAGUAGUGAUCAAAUGUUAUUACUGAAAAAAGAAACACAUAAAGUUCAUACAUAGUUCUCAUAGAACAACAUAUAGCUCUCUAGAGCAUCUAAUUAAAACAUACAUUGAAACUAUGAAAACAUUUAAAUGUAACAAUAAAUGCGAUCAUAAUCACAACUAAGGUAACAAUUGAUCCAACAGCAUAAUGAUACCAAGCCUCAUUAUGAAUGGCAUAUUUUCUAAUCUUUCUAAUCUUCAAGCGCAUUGCAUAUCUUGUGAUCAUCGACGACAUCCGCAACAUGCAACUCCAAUUCCAUCUUCUCCUCCUCAAUUUUUUUUCAUUUUUUUCUUCAAGUAAUUGUUUUCUUUUUCAACUAAAUUUAACCUCUCGACAAGAGGGUCGGUUGGAAUUUCCGGUUCACAUACCUCCUAGAUAAAAACAUCUAUGUCACGUUGGUCGGCAUAAUUGUCAUAAACACUAGAUGAAACAAAUCAUAAUAAAAAAUAAUAUACCACAUCCGAAUCAUAGACAAGACGAGGGCUGACGGGGGCGGAUACCAAAACCAUGGCACUAUAUAAUAACAAACAAUAAUAAAAGUAAGAAAAUCAUACAAGUAUCUAUCUAAAUCAUACAAGUAAGAAUUUUUUUCUUUUAAAAAGAGGAUAAUAAUAAGAGGCUCACCACGGUGGUGCCGGCGACGAGAUCGGCAUGGGCGAUCGACAGCGGUGAGGACGGGGACGGGACGGGACGGACCGCCAAACCCAGACAAAUCUUGGGGAAAAUGGAGCUUGCGGGUCGAGCUUGGAGAGGAGAAAGUUUAAGUGUGGCUCGGCCAUUUCAUCGAACACCUCAUGUGCAUGCAUAGAAGGAAGACAGAGCAGCGCAUGCACACACCUCCCAUACGGCCAAAAAACAGAGGAGUGAGCAGGCAGGGGCGAGGGUAUAUAGGCAUAUCUUUAGUCCCGGUUGGUGGCUAGAACCGGGACAGAAGACUAACAUUUAUUCUCGGUUCCAGCCACCAACCGGGACUAACGGUGCUGCGCUAGGAGCGAGGCCCAUUGGUCCCGGUUUGUGUCUGGAACUGGGACCAAAGGGGUCAGACGAACCGGGACAAAUGGCCCUCGAGGCUCGGCCGGCGCCCUGGCCUCGCGAACCAGGACUGAUCCACUCAUUGGUCCCGGUUUGUAGGAGAACCGGGAUUAAUGCCCUUUUCUAGCCUGGACCAAAGCCCUGUUUUCUACUAGUGUACAUAUGAUAAUGCAAAGCCAGCACUGGCAAGAUCUUUCAAAAAGAAGUUGUUUUAGAUUUGUUUAGAUGCGAGUGUAGACAACUAAUUUGGGACAGAGGGAAUAAAUGUCAAUGCAAUCUCUUUUUCUUGUGGGGGAACUGCUAAUGCAAUCUUGAUAGUGAAUCAUAUGGAUGAGUACAAAGUACUGCUAAUAUGAUUUCAAUCCCAAUGGCUUCCACGCAAAAAAUCUAUACCUACUAUUAAAGGAAAUAUGUAUUCUUGGUUUGGUUUAGUCCUUUUCGUUGAUUUCGUUUGGUGUUUUUUAGACAGUGUUGGUUUCGUUUGGUUUGAGCGCACGCUAAUGUUUUUCGUACGGUUCGCUCUACACAAGAUAAGCCAUCUGGGCCAAGUGCUUGUACAUUGAUGGGCCUUCCAUGGGCUUUCACAGAGACCGCGAAAAAUAAUUGGGUCAAAAUAAAUCAACAUUGUGGGAAUUGAACAGAGGACCUACUGUCUGGCUCUUCAAUGUAACAAUCAAUGAGCUAUGCAUCUUUCAUGUUUCCUAAAUCCACCUUGCUCUUUUACAAUGAUUCCCACCAGUAAAUAUAUGAGCGGCCCUAGGAAACAACCAACAGACAUGUUUAGGGUGAGCUAAUUAAUUGAAUGAGCUAAUAAAGAAAUGAUUAUGGGCUUAAAUAGGAUGUGACUAAUUAAAGAAAGAACUAUGGGUAAACCGGUGGAAUAAUUAAAAGAAAGAUUAUAGGCUUAAUAAAUAGAAUAUUUGGAUAUAUGAGGCUAAAUAAAGGAAGGAUUUGAAGUAAAAAGGUAGGAUAAUUAAAGGAAGGAUCCGUAGGCUUCAACGUGGUGGGGCUACUAAAUUAGAAAAUGAAGGAUUUGAUUUCAGACUAAAACGGGUGAGGACUUCAUGGUAAUUAAUUGAAGGAUUAUACUUAAAUGGAAUUAAUGGCAGAUUAUGCCUGAAAAAGAAAAUAUGAACGCGGCUAAAUUGCAUCAUGUUUUUUAUGUUCAUCUUGUAGAAGGAUGUUGCGUUGCAACAUGUUCUUCGUAGCGAAUCCGAUGCUAUGCGACAUUAUGCUUGCACAAAACAUCAAAUUUUCCCGUUGCAACGCACGGACAUAUGUAUAUCCUAAUGGUUGUCAUGUGAAUGCAGAAACCAUAUAAAAGGAUGUCUUCCUCUAAUUAGACACGACACGAGGUAGUGGGACCUGCAUAAACAAAAAGAGAAAGUUUGAGACAGUCGCAGGCGACGUAGCCAAAUCAAACCUUUUGUUAGCGAACAUUUCCGUUCACUAUGGUACCACCCCCGGCAUAAUGAGCCACGGGGAUUAGUUUACGAAGUUUACCGACUUAAUUAAUCAUAGGCUAAUAGGAUUGGAGAGACUGGGGAGGUUGGGCCCCACCCCCGGCUGAAAUUCAGGGGGUGGGCAUCAUUUUUGUUGUACGGAUGCAAAUCCUGAUUUCUAUGGAUUCAGAUUCGUAACAUAAUGAUUUGGAAGCAAAAUAUAUAUCUGUGGAAGCAGGGCGUCCUUUCUGUUGUACGAAUGCAAAUCCUGAUUUCCAUGCAUUCAGAUUCCAUAUUCUUUCUAUGGAAGCAAAUGCUCAUUUCUUUGGAUGCAAACUCAUAUUUAUUCGGAUGCAUAUACCAAUUUAUUUGGAAGACAAGUUCAAUUUAAAUAUUUUUCGUAAAGAGUCCAUAACAAUUGUAAAAAAAUGUUUGACCGAAGGAUGAAAUUGUAAUGUUGGAAGACAGGCAUCUCCAUUGUGCUUGGACGAUGCAAAAUAAAGUGUCAUGUUGGAUACAAAUCUCACCAAAUUGAAAAAAAAAAACAGUUGAUGUGGAGCAAAUUUGCUAGCCGGUAGAAGCAAAAUGAAUUGAUACACUUUCACUCUUAACAGAACAAGGUCAUUUCCCUUACUUGCCCUUCCUAUCUCUAGCUCACGGCCUCUAUGAGCCGCACGGUCAGACUCAGUAUUGUGAGCGUGAUAAACAAAACCGGGGCGCCAAGCUGUUGCUGCUGCCAGUAACAAUACCCUGAGAAAGAAAACACAACACCACAUCUUGCGACUGAAUAUUUCAACACUGGCCCAAACAAAAAUAAACUGUCAACUAAUCCCUACAAAGAAAACACUACAAAAACUAGACAUUGAAAAGGUCUGAUGCUUCAGGAAAAAAAAAUGGUCCUAUAAUAAGUUUACAUUCUGUUACAUUGGGCCACAGCCUAAAUGGCUCUGAACAGGGGAGCAGUUAGCUAAAAUUAAAUGGAAACCGCAUUGCACGACUGUGAUAAUGCCCGCCGUAAUGCUUUAGCCUGGCAUUGGCUGCAAGGCUCCAUAACAGUUAACUUAACUGUAGAUGGAACUUUAUUCUCAAUGUAUGUUCUGAUAGCCGAGAGUGCCCUGGGGGUUUCCAUGAGAAUACCAACCCCCAUGGGCAUACACCAAUCGUACUUGCCGUCAUCAUAACACCUAUGCCCAUAAAUGGUGUCCAAUGUAAGACACUCAAGUGACACCGCGUUCUUGAGAAUAUAACAUGUCAGUUCAAUCAAGCACUUCGCAGAGCUGAAACCACUGAUCUUCACGCUCUUGAGGCAGCUAUGGCGGUGUUCAGGCAUGUGCCUCAGUUGAGAAUCAGCAAAAAUUGACUUGUGCAACAUACGCAACUGAGUC